GGUUCCACAUGUUUCCUCUAAGGCUUAUCAUUCUUCUUCUUCUGAUCAACACCAUCAGAGGGAUCAGUCUCUUCAGAGGAUUCCUCUACAAUCAUUCUUCUCUUCUUCUUCUUCUUCUUCUUCUUUGGAGGAGAAUCAAAUUCUGGAGCUGGUGGCAGGGUUCUGAAAAAUUCAUCCACAUCUAUUUCAAAACCUUGUUCCCUCAUAUCAGCUAGAUAGUGCAAGAUAGCAACUAGGUCAUCAGCUUUGGACCAUAGAGGGUAAUCGUUCAGAGGGACUCUUCUCUGUCGGACUUCAUCAGACGUGUCUUCUUGAACAGGUGCAACCUUUGUUUUAAUCAAUCCCAUCUUUUUCAUGGAAGUGGGAGUGAAGACAUCACCAACAACAGUUGUCAGAUCCUCUGUGCAGCCUGCUAUAGUCAGAUCUUCUAUCAAUUUGCUUUCCAGGAAGAGAUCUGAGAGCAAUCUUCCGAAAGGAAUGUAUCUGAUUGCAGAUUUUGGAGAAGCAGUGGUUCUGGACUUCUUGAUGCACUCUUUGAGAUAAGAGAACAGGAAGAAAGGAAGGCAGAUCUUCUUGCGGUCCUGAAUGAAGAAAAGCAUCACUUUCUGACAGAAAUUGAUGUAAUCUGGGGAGCUUCCCUUUGACCUUUGAUUGAUGCAAUGCAGAAGAAUCUUGUGCCAAAUCCUCAGCUUAGGAUGAAGUUCUACCACUUUGCAGUCAUUCUUUCCUGGCUGCCAGUUUGUGUAGAGAGUUUGGUUAACAACUUCUUUGGUCUUGGGUUUCACCUUUGAUUCCAACAGUUGGAAUCUGUAGCCUGUACUGGUAUCUUCACCCAGAAGAUCAAUGAUUGAUUUCUCCGUGAUGAUAAUUCUUCUGCCAGCGAUGUAGGAGACCACUUGGUUAUCAUCACAGUCGGCAUGCUUCUAGAAUUCCUUUACCAAUUUGAUGUAAACUGGACCAGGAAGCCUGUUGAAGUAUUCUUCCCAGCCUUGAGCUUUUACUUCAGGACGAAGAUCAAACCCGUGUAAGAUCAAUAUUGAGGAUGCCUAAUAUCAAACCCGUGUACCAUCGGGAUGCCUAAUAUUGAGGAACAUAUCUUCCUCAAACACCUUCCUUCUGAGCUCUUCUAAUGCCAUUCUGUAUGAUGCCAUUUUUUUUCUUCCUGAAUAUUAUUCGAGGUGUGAAGCUUACCUUUCUCUCCAACGUUUUUAUAGGCUUCACUUUCUCUCUGAAAGUUAAUGCUCUUACAGUUUCUCGAGGUUAAGUUCUUGGUAACUGACCCUUCUAUUUACUCACUUGACCGGUGGUAAACGUUCAUCCCUUGCAUUAACUCUUCUAUUUAUUAUCGCCUAACUCUGAUUCUUACAUCGUCUUCAUUUUCUUUAAACUUAGACCUUCUCUAAGGGGGAGUACCUUGUACUUCAAGCUAAGUUUUUCACACCCCAAGCUUUUUGCUUAUGACAAAAAGGGGGAGUAAACCCAGUUUUUGAUGUGUAAGAUGUGUUAGUGUGACUUAUUUUUCUUUUGGAGAUUUUAAGAGUUCCACCUUCAUGACCAUAGAUGUGUCACUGGGCAAAUACAAGGAAUACAUUUCACUUCGUCUGAAGUGAUUCUAAGUUGACUCUGAUACCCAAGACUCUGAUACCCUGUUCAUGACUCUGAUCACUUAUGCGCUCUGAUUAUUCGUUUUUCAUCUUUGUCAUAAGCUUUUCACUCUGAACUCUUAUAUGUUUUAGCUCAGAAUCUAGACUUUACUAACGUUUUCAUCAAGUAUUAGAUUCAGGGGGAGCUAAGCUCAGAAUCAAGCAGUGACUUGAAUUCAGAAUGAGCAAGAUAAACUAUUCACAUCAGGAUAAGUCUUAUUCUAUAUCUCUAAACUCUGAGUGAAUUCAGUUUAAUGUUUAAGAAUUGUUCAUCAAAAAUCUUAGUUUUGUCAUCAUCAAAAAGGGGGAGAUUGUAAGAUCAAGUUUUGAUCUAGUAGUACAACUCUAUGUUUUGAUGAUUACAAGUUAACCUUUUGAUAUGAACAAUUGUGGUACUCUAACGUGUUUUUCUGAGUGUGCUAUUUACAGGCUCUGACCUCAACUCAAUCUCACACAAAUCAGAAGCACUGUGUAUAAAGGGUAACCCAAGCAACGCUUUCGCAUUCACCAUGUUCAGUAUGAACAGUGGAAAAGCUUCAGAAGUUCUGAAGUUAUACAAACUCUGAUGUGGACUCAGUCGCUAGAAGCUCUGAAGAUCCAGAAGUUCUGACAACCAAGAAACACUGAAGGUUCAGAUGUUCUGAUGGUGUAGAAGACUCUGAAGAUCCAGAAGCUGAAUAGUGGAAACUCUGAAGUCCAGAAGCAAGAAACUCUGAAGGCCAUGUUCUUCCCUCUGAGUUCAGAAUCAGAAGAUACAAUGGUCAGAGGAUCUGUGCUAUCCCUCUGACUCUGAUCAACCGGCUUCACAAGUUCCAAUACGAAGCAUUCCUCUGAUCAGAAGUCUCCUAGGUUAAAAGGUCAAGUCGCUAUCCAAGUACAAAAGCAAGUGUACCUUCCUGACGACCUACCUAACGUUCUCAGCCACAGCAGAAGCUGGAUUUUCCAGAACUGCCCUCCAACGGUAGCAUUUCCCAUGCAACGCUCAACCCUAAUCCUUGGAGUAUAUAUAGAGGCUGAAGAUUGAAAGAAGCGGCCAGAGAAGAGAAUACAAGAAGCAACACACGCGCAAGAUAUUCAAAAUAUUCUAAGCCUUCUUUCAUCUGAAAUUCAUUGUGUUUACUAUCAGCUUUUUAGAAGCAAAUCCCUUGUAAACAUUUCUUUGAUAAACAGUUUGUUUAGUUCCUUUAGGAGAUCAAGGUUGAUCGGAUCCUAGAGAAGACUAAGAGAGUGAAUCUUAGUGUGAGCUAAGUCAGUGUAAUUGUUAGUCACUUGUAGGUUUCAAGUGCAGUUGUAACUCUUACCUGAUUAGUGGAUUGCCUUCAUUCUAAGAAGGAAGAAAUCACCUUAACGGGUGGACUGGAGUAGCUUGAGUGAUUUAUCAAGUGAACCAGGAUAAAAUCCUUGUGUACUUUUCUAUCUCUUAUCUUUUGCACUUAGUUCUCGAAAAGAUUUGUUAAAAUCUUUAAGGUGGUAGUUUUGUACUGAAAACGUUAUUCAAACCCCCCUUUCUACCGUUUUUCAUACCUUCAAUUGGUAUCAGAGCGCAAGUUCUGAUUACCACACCUAACAGUGUUCAGUGAUCCGGGCCGGUGUGAAAAACAAUGGCUGCCACCACCAGUGAAGCUCAAAGAGAUGGUUACAAUGCAAAGCCUCCUAUGUUCGACGGUCAAAGGUUCGAAUAUUGGAAAGAUAGACUGGAAAGUUUCUUUCUGGGUUUCGAUGCAGAUCUCUGGGAUAUUAUUGUGGAUGGCUACGAGCGUCCAGUUGAUGCAGAUGGCAAGAAGAUCCCAAGGUCAGAGAUGACUGCAGAUCAAAAGAAGCUGUACUCACAACAUCACAAAGCAAGAGCAAUUCUUCUAAGUGCUAUUUCCUAUGAGGAGUACCAGAAGAUUACAGAUCGUGAGUUUGCUAAAGGCAUUUUUGAUUCUCUGAAGAUGUCUCAUGAAGGAAACAAGAAAGUCAAAGAAUCAAAGGCAUUGUCUUUGAUCCAAAAGUAUGAAUCCUUCAUCAUGGAGCCAAAUGAGUCCAUUGAAGAAAUGUUCUCCAGAUUUCAACUGCUUGUAGCUGGCAUACGUCCUCUCAACAAGAGCUACACAACAAAAGAUCAUGUCAUAAGGGUCAUCAGGUGUCUUCCUGAAAGUUGGAUGCCUUUGGUGACUUCAAUAGAGCUCACGAGAGACGUUGAGAAUAUGAGUUUAGAAGAACUCAUCAGCAUUUUGAAAUGCCAUGAGCUGAAGCGCUCAGAGAUGCAAGAUCUGAGGAAAAAGUCCAUAGCCUUGAAAUCCAAAUCUGAAAAGGCUAAGGUUGAGAAGUCAAAGGCUCUUCAAGCUGAAGAAGAAGAAUCUGAAGAAGCAUCAGAAGAUUCUGAUGAAGAUGAGCUGACUCUGAUCUCCAAGAGACUCAACCGCAUCUGGAAGCACAGGCAGAGCAAGUUCAAAGGCUCUGGAAAGGCAAGAGGAAAGUCUGAAUCCUCAGGUCAGAAGAAGUCAUCAAUCAAGGAAGUCACUUGCUUUGAGUGCAAAGAAUCAGGGCACUACAAAAGUGACUGUCCAAAAUUGAAGAAGGACAAGAAGCCAAAGAAGCACUUCAAGACCAAGAAGAGUCUGAUGGUGACAUUCGAUGAAUCAGAGUCAGAGGAUGUUGACUCUGAUGGUGAAGUCCAAGGACUCAUGGCUAUUGUCAAAGACAAAGGAACAGAGUCAAAGGAAGCUGUUGACUCUGACUCAGAAUCAGAAGGAGAUCCAGACUCUGACGAUGAAAAUGAGGUAUUUGCUUCCUUCUCUACCUCUGAACUGAAACAUGCUUUGUCUGAUAUCAUGGAUAAGUAUAACUCCUUGUUGUCUAAGCAUAAGAAGCUGAAAAAGAACUUAUCUGCUGUUUCUAAAACUCCUUCUGAACAUGAGAAAAUCAUAUAUGAUUUGAAAAAUGAUAACCAUGCUUUAGUUAAUUCUAACUCUGUGCUUAAGAAUCAAAUUGCUAAGUUAGAAGUUAUUGCCUGCGAUGCCUCUGAUAGUAAGCAUGAAUCUAAGUAUGAAAAAUCUUUUCAAAGAUUCCUGGCUAAAAGCGUAGAUAGAAGCUUAAUGGCUUCAAUGAUCUAUGGUGUAAGCAGAAAUGGAAUGCAUGGCAUUGGCUAUUCUAAACCAAUUAGAAAUGAGCCUUCUGUGUCUAAAGCUAAAUCCUUGUAUGAAUGCUUUGUUCCCUCUGGUACCAUAUUGCCUGAUCCUGUACCUGCUAAAGUUGCUAAAAACCCUCUUAAAAAGGGAUCUUUCUCUAUGACUAAAUAUCAUGCAAAUAUUCCUUUAAAAUAUUAUGUUGAGACACCCAAGGUGAUCAGAACCUCUGGGGUAACUAACAAAAGAGGACCCAGAAAGUGGGUACCUAAGGACAAGAUUAUCUAUGUUGCAGAUAUCCUUGAUAGCUCCACUGAAACACCAAUCAUGGUAUCUGGACAGUGGAUGCUCGCGUCACAUGACGGGAGAAAAGCGUAUGUUCCGAGAGCUGAAACUUAAGCCUGGAGGCGAAGUUGGCUUCGGAGGAAAUGAAAAGGGUAAAAUUAUUGGUACUGGUACUAUUUGUGUAGAUAGUAGUCCAUGCAUUGAUAAUGUUUUAUUGGUAGACGGCUUAACACAUAACUUAUUGUCUAUAAGUCAAUUAGCUGACAAGGGUUAUGAUGUUAUAUUCAAUCAAAAGUCCUGCCGGGCUGUAAGUCAGAUCGAUGGCUCUGUUCUGUUUAACAGCAAGAGGAAGAACAACAUUUAUAAGAUCAGAUUAUCUGAGUUGGAGGCUCAGAAUGUGAAGUGCCUUCUGUCUGUUAAUGAAGAGCAGUGGGUAUGGCAUAGACGGUUAGGGCAUGCCAGUAUGAGAAAGAUUUCUCAGCUGAGCAAGCUAAACCUUGUCAGGGGCUUACCCAAUCUGAAGUUCGCUUCAGACGCUCUUUGUGAAGCAUGUCAGAAAGGCAAAUUCACAAAAGUCCCUUUCAAGGCAAAGAAUGUUGUCUCAACCUCAAGGCCGUUAGAACUUCUGCAUAUCGACCUGUUUGGACCAGUGAAAACUGAGUCUAUAGGUGGCAAGAGAUAUGGGAUGGUUAUCGUUGAUGACUAUAGCCGCUGGACAUGGGUAAAGUUUCUAACCCGCAAGGACGAGUCUCAUGCUGUGUUCUCUACCUUCAUUGCUCAAGUGCAAAACGAGAAGGCUUGUAGAAUUGUGCGUGUCAGAAGUGACCAUGGUGGAGAGUUUGAGAAUGACAAGUUUGAGAGUCUGUUUGAUUCCUAUGGAAUUGCACAUGAUUUCUCUUGUCCCAGAACUCCUCAACAAAAUGGUGUUGUUGAGAGGAAGAACAGAACUCUUCAGGAGAUGGCUAGAACCAUGCUCCAAGAAACUGGCAUGGCUAAGCACUUUUGGGCAGAGGCAGUAAAUACAGCAUGUUACAUUCAGAACAGAAUCUCUGUGAGACCAAUUCUGAAUAAGACUCCUUAUGAAUUGUGGAAGAACAUAAAACCCAACAUUUCUUAUUUUCAUCCUUUUGGCUGUGUUUGUUAUGUUCUCAAUACUAAGGAUAGAUUGCAUAAAUUUGAUGCUAAAUCUUCUAAGUGUCUAUUACUUGGUUAUUCUGAUAGAUCUAAAGGUUUUAGAUUUUAUAAUACUGAUGCUAAGACUAUUGAAGAAUCUAUUCAUGUUAGAUUUGAUGAUAAGCUUGACUCUGACCAGUCAAAGCUAGUUGAAAAGUUUGCAGAUUUAAGCAUUAAUGUUUCUGACAAAGGCAAAGCUCCAGAGGAAGUUGAGCCAGAGGAAGAUGAACCAGAGGAAGAAGCUGGUCCCUCUAACUCACAAACUCUGAAGAAGAGCAGAAUCACUGCAGCUCAUCCUAAGGAAUUGAUUCUGGGCAACAAAGAUGAACCAGUCAGAACCAGAUCUGCCUUCAGACCCUCUGAAGAGACCUUGCUGAGUCUGAAAGGAUUGGUGUCCUUAAUUGAACCCAAGUCCAUAGAUGAAGCUCUUCAGGACAAGGAUUGGAUUCUGGCCAUGGAAGAAGAAUUGAAUCAAUUCUCCAAGAACGAUGUUUGGAGCUUAGUGAAGAAGCCUGAGAAUGUCCAUGUUAUUGGAACGAAAUGGGUAUUCAGAAACAAGCUAAAUGAGAAAGGAGAUGUAGUCAGAAACAAGGCAAGGCUAGUUGCUCAAGGCUACAGCCAGCAGGAAGGAAUAGACUACACUGAAACAUUUGCUCCAGUAGCAAGACUGGAGGCAAUCAGACUAUUGAUUUCUUUCUCAGUAAAUCACAACAUAGUUCUACAUCAGAUGGACGUAAAGAGUGCCUUCCUAAAUGGUUAUAUCUCAGAGGAAGUCUAUGUUCAUCAACCCCCAGGUUUUGAAGAUGAAAAGAAACCAGACCAUGUGUUCAAAUUGAAGAAAUCACUCUACGGUCUGAAGCAAGCUCCCAGAGCAUGGUAUGAGAGACUUAGCUCAUUCCUUCUGGAGAAUGAGUUUGUAAGGGGUAAAGUAGAUACAACUCUCUUUUGCAAGACUUAUAAAGAUGAUAUCUUAAUUGUGCAAAUUUAUGUUGAUGAUAUUAUAUUUGGUUCUGCUAAUCAAUCUCUAUGCAAAGAAUUUUCUGAGAUGAUGCAGGCUGAAUUUGAGAUGAGUAUGAUGGGAGAAUUAAAGUACUUUCUGGGAAUACAAGUUGAUCAAACACCAGAAGGAACAUAUAUCCAUCAGAGCAAGUACACUAAAGAACUUCUGAAGAAGUUCAAUAUGCUGGAAUCUACAGUGGCCAAGACUCCAAUGCAUCCAACAUGCAUUCUGGAAAAAGAAGAUAUAAGUGGUAAAGUAUGUCAGAAGCUCUAUCGUGGCAUGAUAGGUUCACUUCUAUACUUAACUGCAUCUAGGCCAGACAUAUUAUUUAGUGUUCAUUUAUGUGCUCGUUUCCAAUCAGAUCCAAGGGAAACCCACUUAACUGCUGUUAAGAGGAUCCUAAGGUAUCUGAAAGGCACCACUAACCUUGGCUUGAUGUAUAAGAAAACAUCAGAGUAUAAGCUUUCAGGUUAUUGUGAUGCUGAUUAUGCUGGAGAUAGAACAGAGAGAAAAAGUACUUCUGGAAAUUGUCAAUUUCUGGGAAGCAAUCUAGUCUCAUGGGCAAGCAAGAGGCAAUCAACCAUUGCACUAUCAACUGCAGAGGCAGAAUAUAUCUCAGCAGCAAUAUGCAGCACUCAGAUGCUCUGGAUGAAACAUCAGCUGGAGGAUUAUCAGAUCCUUGAGAGCAAUAUCCCAAUCUAUUGUGAUAACACUGCUGCAAUUUCGUUGAGCAAGAAUCCUAUCUUGCAUUCAAGGGCAAAGCACAUUGAGGUAAAGUAUCACUUCAUUAGAGAUUAUGUGCAGAAGGGCGUACUUCUUCUGAAGUUUGUUGAUACUGACCAUCAAUGGGCAGAUAUCUUUACAAAGCCCUUAGCUGAAGAUAGAUUUAAUUUUAUUCUGAAAAAUCUAAACAUGGACUUUUGUCCAGAGUGAAGAUAGAUCAGAACCUCUGACUAUGAUACUUCUUGAUCAGAAGAUGUCUAGUCCAGAAGGUAACUCAAUCAGAGUGUGUGUGCCCACUGGUACUGACUCUGAAGCUGAGACAACAACACGUGCGUCAGAAUUUCUGAUGCAUAGUUCCUUGUGCCCGUGUGACAGUCUGUUAUGAUUGCGUGUAGAUAUGCUUAUCUCCUGUGUGUGAUUGUGUAUUUUACUGUUACUAUCUAUCUUUAAUUUUCAACCGUUGAUCUUAAAGUGCUUUUUGAAUCAACAACGGUUAUUUGAUAAAACCCACUAUACACACACGUUCUCUCUCACUUCCGGUUUUCACUCUCGCACUCUCUGCUUUUCAAAACCGCCUCCUUCUUGAUUUCUCUCUCGAUCUCUCUUCAUCCUUCAAACUUCAUCUUCUACCUCAAACCUUCAACCUCUUCAAAAUGGUGAGACAAACCAGAAGAUCUACUGCAGAUGCACCUCAGUUCCCUCACAUGGUAGUCGGUUUGGCAACGGGUCAACAGGGCUCUGAGAACCCAGCACAAGAACAAGCUCAAGCUCAAGAGGAGAUUGUUCCUAUUGCAGAACGGGGCUGUGCCGUUCACUGUGUAUUUCCUCCUGAGGAACUCCAAGUCCUGGCAGAAUGGAGAUUCAACCUCGACAACUUGGCUGCAAAUGGGUUUGAUCUCCGUCCUGAAGUCCAAGCUCAAGGUUGGGGAAACUACUUCAAUCGACUUCGAGGACCGGUGUAUGAGAAGCUGGUAAAGGAAUUCUGGAAGCACGCCGACUGUGAUGACACUCAGGUGGUUUCUUACAUACUGGGUAGGAAGAUCAUCAUCACGGAGAAGUCAUUCGUGAAUCUGCUAGGUGCAGAAACUGCUCAUGGGUAUCGGUUCUCACUGACGGAAUCGAAGCUGAAACCCAGAACCAAGGACAUAGUCAACAAGGCCCUGUACACCACCUUCAAACCGGGCAAGACGAGUUACAAGGUGAUGGACCUUCACCCCAAACUGAGAAUCUGGCACAAGAUCCUGCUCAACUGCAUCAAUCAACGACCAAAGGGCAGUUCUCCAGACUACAUCAACUUCAACCAGAAGGCGAUGCUGUUCUUCAUUCAAGACAAGGAGAAGAUCUGCCUUCCCUACUUCCUGUUCUCCUAUUUGAAGGAAUGCAUCCGGAAGUCUCGCACCACCGCCUCCAUCAAGUCUGCAAUCAAAUAUAUCCCUUUUGGGAGGCUGCUCUCAGACUUUCUCAUUGAAAGCAACUUGGUGCAAGAUUUGAUCGAUGCUGGUUGCACAGAGGACUUGAGCACAAUUGUCAGCGAUGUCUUCACUGCCAACUCUCUGAAGAAGAUGGGCUUAGUCCAGAAGAAGAUUGCUCCUGCUCAUGAGGACACAUCUUCUGAGAUCAGAGGAAGAAGAAUGCCUCUGAAUGACUACCCUCUGUGGACUCAAGCAGACCAUCCUGAAGCCAUCAGAUGCUAUGUUGAAGACCUCAGGGCUCAAGGAUUCGAGAUUGAUCUUGAUGAUUUUGUCAGCAGACUUCCACCACCUCCAGAGUAUUCUUCUCCUCCAAAGAAGAAAACCAAGAGGAAGAUGGUUCUGGAAGAAUCCUCAGAGGAAUCUGAUGUCCCUCUGGUCAAGAAACCGAAGAGCAAGCCUGCUGCUGAUGAUGGUGAUGAUAGUGAGGAUGGUCCUCCAAAGAAGAAGCAGAAGAAAGUCAGAAUUGUGGUGAAGCCUACUCGGGUGGAACCAGCUGCUGCAGAGGUCAGAAGGACUGAACCUCCUGCCAGAGUGACUCGAUCAUCAGCACAUACAAGUAAGCCUGCACUUACCUCUGAUGAUGAUUUGAAUUUAUUUGAUGCACUCCCAAUUUCUGCCUUACUCCAACACUCUUCAAAUCCCCUCACUCCUAUUCCUGAAUCCCAGCCAGCCGCACAAACCACCACUCCACCACAUUCCCCAAGAUCUUCAUUCUUUCAACCUUCUCCUACUGAAGCACCACUCUGGAAUUUGCUUCAGAACCAACCCUCUAGGUCAGAAGAUCCAACCUCUCUCCUCACCAUUCCAUACGACCCAUUACCUUCUGAACCCAUCAUCCAAAACCAACCAGAACCCAAACCAACAGAACCACAACCCAGAACGUCUGAUCACUCUGCUCCCAGAGCAUCAGCACGUCCUGCUGUCAGAACCACGGAUACAGACUCUUCAUCAGCCUUCACACCUGUAUCCUUCCCCAUCAAUGUCAUUGACUCUCCUCCCUCCAAUACCUCUGAAUCAAUUAGAAAAUUCAUGGAGGUUAGGAAAGAGAAGGUAUCUGCCUUGGAAGAAUAUUACCUUACCUGUCCAAGCCCUAGGCAAUAUCCUGGCCCUAGACCUGAACGUCUAGUUGACCCAGAUGAACCUAUCUUGGCCCAUCCUAUCCAAGAGGCAGAUCCCCUAGUUCAACAAGCUCACCCUGUCCCUGCCCAACAAGAGCCAAUUCAACCAGACCCUGAACCCGAACAAUCAGUAUCUAACCAAUCCUCGGUUAGAUCACCUCACCCUCUGGUUGAAACUUCAGACCCUCACCGUGGAACCUCUGAACCCAAUGCUCCCAUAAUUAACAUUGGUUCUCCACAAGGUGCCUCUGAAGCUCAUAGCAGCAAUCACCCAGCCUCUCCUGCACCCAACCUCUCCAUCAUUCCCUAUACUCACCUUCAACCCACAUCUCUCUCUGAGUGCAUCAAUAUUUUCAAUCAUGAAGCCUCCUUGAGGCUCCGCAAUGUGCACGGUCAGACUGACCUCAGUGAGAAUGCUGAAAAUGUGGCUGAUGAGUGGAACGAUUUGAGCACUUGGCUAGUGGCUCAGUUUCCCGUUAUGCUGCAGCUCCUGCAUGCAGAAGGAAGUCAGAGCAUUGAGGCUGCAAAGCAAAGGUUUGCUAGGAGGGUGGCUCUUCACGAACUAGAACAGAGAAACAAGCUUCUUGAAGCCAUUGAAGAAGCCAAGAGACAGAAAGAACAAGAAGAAGAAGCUGCACGUCAAGCAGCAGCUCAGGCUGAACAAGCCAGACUUGAGGCAGAACGUCUUGAAGCUGAGGCUGAGGCAGAGCGACUUGCACCAGUUAUGUUUACUCCUGCUGCUUCUGCUUCCAUUCCAGAACCUCAAGCUGUUCAGAACGUUCCUUCCAGCUCUACUCCGACAAGCUCAUCCAGACUCGACAUCAUGGAACAACGUCUUGACACUCAUGAAUCCAUGCUGAUUGAGAUGAAGCACAUGAUGAUGGAACUUCUGCGCCGUACUGACAAACCUUAGUUUUUAGGAUCNNNNNNNNNNNNNNNNNNNNNNNNNNNNNNNNNNNNNNNNNNNNNNNNNNNNNNNNNNNNNNNNNNNNNNNNNNNNNNNNNNNNNNNNNNNNNNNNNNNNNNNNNNNNNNNNNNNNNNNNNNNNNNNNNNNNNNNNNNNNNNNNNNNNNNNNNNNNNNNNNNNNNNNNNNNNNNNNNNNNNNNNNNNNNNNNNNNNNNNNNNNNNNNNNNNNNNNNNNNNNNNNNNNNNNNNNNNNNNNNNNNNNNNNNNNNNNNNNNNNNNNNNNNNNNNNNNNNNNNNNNNNNNNNNNNNNNNNNNNNNNNNNNNNNNNNNNNNNNNNNNNNNNNNNNNNNNNNNNNNNNNNNNNNNNNNNNNNNNNNNNNNNNNNNNNNNNNNNNNNNNNNNNNNNNNNNNNNNNNNNNNNNNNNNNNNNNNNNNNNNNNNNNNNNNNNNNNNNNNNNNNNNNNNNNNNNNNNNNNNNNNNNNNNNNNNNNNNNNNNNNNNNNNNNNNNNNNNNNNNNNNNNNNNNNNNNNNNNNNNNNNNNNNNNNNNNNNNNNNNNNNNNNNNNNNNNNNNNNNNNNNNNNNNNNNNNNNNNNNNNNNNNNNNNNNNNNNNNNNNNNNNNNNNNNNNNNNNNNNNNNNNNNNNNNNNNNNNNNNNNNNNNNNNNNNNNNNNNNNNNNNNNNNNNNNNNNNNNNNNNNNNNNNNNNNNNNNNNNNNNNNNNNNNNNNNNNNNNNNNNNNNNNNNNNNNNNNNNNNNNNNNNNNNNNNNNNNNNNNNNNNNNNNNNNNNNNNNNNNNNNNNNNNNNNNNNNNNNNNNNNNNNNNNNNNNNNNNNNNNNNNNNNNNNNNNNNNNNNNNNNNNNNNNNNNNNNNNNNNNNNNNNNNNNNNNNNNNNNNNNNNNNNNNNNNNNNNNNNNNNNNNNNNNNNNNNNNNNNNNNNNNNNNNNNNNNNNNNNNNNNNNNNNNNNNNNNNNNNNNNNNNNNNNNNNNNNNNNNNNNNNNNNNNNNNNNNNNNNNNGGCCAUUAAUCUAUCCCUGUCUUGAGGAAAGAAAAUCAUUUGGAACGCUCAGAUCUACUCUGAAAGAUAGCCUCCAAAAGUCCUAUACCACAAUAAAUUCAUUCUAGAGAUACUUCCAAGCGUCUUUGAGAAAUCUACAGUCAAACCGUCACUAUCCAAGACUUCAAUCUGAAGUCAAUUCCCUCAAGACUGAGGUUAAAAGUCUCAAACAAAUCCAAAAUAGUCAGCAGCUUAUCUUGGAAAAACUGACUAGAAAUUAUGAGGAAGAUGAUUCUUCUGUACCUGAUUCCAAUCCUGCUCCUAACAACAAUUGCGAAGACUUUCUGGAAAAUAUUAACUAGGUCACCAUUCAGAAAUUCUUCAUCCAUGUCAAAAUCCUCAUAGGAGAUUUUAUUCUCGAAAUCCCUGCCCUCUUUGACACAGGGGCAGAUUCCAGUUGUAUCUCGGAGGGACUCAUUCCUACCAGAUAUUUUGAGAAAACUACUGAGAAGCUCAGCGCUGCUGAAGGAUCUAGAGUAAAGAUCAAGUAUAAAAUCCCCUCAGCUAUCAUAAAAAAUGGUAGUCUUGAAAUCGAAACUCCAUUUCUGUUAGUCAGAAAUUUGAGUCAAAAAAUCAUUAUAGGGACCCCUUUCAUUAAGAAGCUCUUCCCCUAUUAUACUGACGAAAACGGCAUCACUGUUCAGCAUCUUGGACAGCCUAUCUUGUUCAAAUUCUCUGAACCUCCCAUAGAUAAGACUUUGAACGUCAUAUCCUACAAGGAGAAGCAGAUCAACUUCCUCAAGGAAGAAAUCUCUUACAGAACCAUUGAGGAUCAAUUGCAACAACCUUCUGUUAAAUCAAGGAUUGAGAAUAUUUUGGAAGAUAUUCAAUCUAACAUCUGUUCUGAUCUACCCAACGCCUUUUGGCAAAGGAAGAGCCAUAUGGUGGAACUUCCUUAUGAAAAAGAUUUUUCAGACAAACAGAUUCCAACCAAGGCUAGGCCUAUUCAAAUGAAUGAAGAACUUCUUCAUUUCUGCCAAAAGGAAAUCAAUGAUCUCCUUGAAAAGAAACUUAUUCGCAGGAGUAAGAGCCCUUGGUCCUGUGCAGCCUUCUAUGUCAACAAACAAGCUGAGAUAGAACGGGGAACCCCUAGGCUGGUUAUUAACUACAAACCUCUCAAUCAAGCCCUUUGUUGGAUUAGAUAUCCUAUCCCCAACAAGAAAGAUCUCUUAGCCAGACUGCAUGAUGCUAAGGUCUUUUCAAAAUUCGACAUGAAAUCUGGAUUCUGGCAAAUCCAAUUGCAAGAGAAGGAUAGGUAUAAAACUGCUUUUACUGUUCCUUUUGGGCAGUAUGAGUGGAACGUUAUGCCUUUUGGGCUAAAGAACGCCCCAUCUGAAUUCCAAAGGAUUAUGAACGAAAUCUUCAAUCCUUAUUCAAAAUUCACUAUUGUCUACAUUGACGAUGUUCUAAUCUUUUCCCAAACUUUAGAUCAACAUUUCAAACAUCUCAAUACGUUCAUCUCUGUUAUCAAAAGGAAUGGCUUGGCUGUAUCCAAGACAAAGGUCAGUUUGUUCCAAACCAAAAUCAGAUUCCUUGGUCACAACAUCCACCAAGGAACCAUCAUUCCUAUCAAUAGAGCCAUCAAGUUCACGGAUAAAUUCCCUGAUCAAAUCAUUGACAAAACCCAACUACAAAGAUUCCUGGGUUGUCUCAAUUAUGUUGCGGACUUCUGUCCUCAACUCAGUACCAUAAUCAAACCCCUUCAUGAUAGACUCAAGAAGGAUCCUCCACCUUGGUCCGAUAUUCAUACCAAUGUGGUCAAACAAAUCAAACUUCGUGUCAAGAAUCUCCCUUGUCUUUAUCUCCCUAAUCCUCAAGCUUUCAAAAUUAUUGAAACUGAUGCCUCUGAUAUUGGCUUUGGUGGUAUUUUGAAACAAAAGGUUUUUGACAAGGAACAAAUUAUUUCUUUUACUUCAAAACAUUGGAAUCCUGCUCAGCAGAAUUAUUCUACUGUCAAAAAAGAAGUUUUAGCAAUCGUUUUAUCUAUUUCAAAAUUUCAAUCUGAUUUGAUUAAUCAAAAAUUCUUAGUCCGUGUGGACUGCAAAUCUGCGAAAGAAAUCUUACAAAAAGAUGUCAAAAACUUAGCUUCAAAACAUAUCUUUGCCAGAUGGCAAGCUAUUUUAAGUGUUUUUGACUUUGAUAUUGAAUAUAUAAAAGGAUCUACCAAUUCUCUCCCUGAUUUUCUUACUCGUGAAUAUUUGCAGGGAAGAACCUAACAUGGCCUCCAGAGGCCCCUCCUCCUCCUCCUCACGAGGAAGAGGCAAAAACAGAGAAAGGAAUAAAGGUAUUGUAAUCUCUGACCCUUUAAUCUUAUCUGAGCCCACUGCUCACCAAUCUGGACCCACUGUCCAAAAAAUUGAGCCCACUGCUCAGACCCAAUCUUCCCAACCAAAACAACCAAAACAAACUAAAGCAGAUUAUGCUUUAUCCAUCCCAACACUCCUUGCCUUCAAACAAGCAGGCUUAGAUGAAAUACCUCAAGGCCUCACCAAACUUCCAAAUAAAUCUUGGGCCAGCAUCGCCGACAAAGAUGAUGACCAAGAAAUUCAAUCCCUCCAAGCUUUUAUUGAUAGAACCAGAAGCUUAGCAACUUAUGAUGGGAAAAAACCUGUUGUUGUUGCCCAACCUAGCCCAGUUGCCCGACCUAGCCCAAAUCCAGGUUACUUGGCUAAAGCAGAUAUGAAAUUCCAAACCUUCAUCGAACCAGAAUGGUGGGACAAUUCUGGAGGAGUUAACCUGGCCAAUAAAAUUGGUACCAAGCUCUUCCCAAGUCAUCUUGAUCCCACUCACCCAAACAAAAACCAAAGAUUCUAUGAGUUUAUUUUGGUUGACACAAACAGUGUGGAAAUCAAACAUUUUAGGGAUAAAAAUGAUAAUUCCCUAAUUACCCAUUCUACACUACAAAUCCUCCGUGUCCUUCGUCCCAAUGACCAAAUCCAAACAGUUACAAAAAGUUCUCCCAGAAUUUCGACCCAGUUGGUUUUAAUUAUUGGGACUAUAUCAGGGCUUGGGAUAAUAUAAUCCUUGGUCUGCAAAACAAAAGUUUCAAACAUUCUUGGCUCAUUUAUUUUAAAUGGACCAACAAAUAUUCUUUUCCAAAUUGGUUUCAUUCAUGGUGGAGCUUCUUUGGACCUACAGCUGAAAUUUUCCCCUCUGAAGUUCUUGAGGGAUACAAUCACUUCAUUAAACACUGGAACAAAGAGUUGAACAAUUAUCCAGAUUGUUUAAACUUUUUUACAAUCUUUUCCCUCUCUUGGGUGUUCUCUUGGCGUUAUAGUCUUAAGACCAAAACCCAACCAAUCCUUUACAAACAGGCUCUCAUCAAAUGGUGGAAAAUCUUUGAUGCGACAAAAGCCCACAAAGAAAAUGUGAGCCAAUGGUUCAAAACCAAUCAGAAAUAUCUCAAGCAUGCAAGUCCACAGACAAGUCUCUUGCUAAACCAAAAGGCCCACAUCACAGCGGCCCUUGCAGGAGCUUCAACAGAAGAAGACUUGCUGAGAAACCUUCAAUCUGCUCUUCAAUUAUUGAAGGAGCCAAUUGAGCAGGCCUCAUCUUCAAAGGCCCCUCAACACAAAGUCUCCGAGCCAUCCUCUCUUGGGUCGUCAGAUUUUGUCCAAACCACAGAAUCAGAUGAUGAUGACUUCUGCUAAGUUUGUCGUCUUGUAAUCAUUUUAUUCUGUAAUAAUUCAAUUUUUGUACUGUAGCAACAGUAAAAUUGACUUUUUACUGUAGCAAAUAGUGCCAGUCAAAUAGUACCGUCUACCGGAACUAUUCAACCGGAACUAUUCAAACAGUGUCUUAUCUUUUCUUUAAAUAGGCUCAUUCUAAACCUUGUAAAGGAGAGUUUUGGAUAGAGCUUAGAUAGAGAGUUUAGAGAGAGAAACACUGAGAGAAUUCCUUCUGUAAGUUCUCCUUCAGUUUUCCUUUCUUUCAAUCUUUUCUAUUUUUAAGUUUCAGUUUUUCAGUUUUUAAGUUUCAGUUUUGUAAUCUAUGUUUAUGUAAUAUAUAUCUUGUUCAAGUUUUAUUUUUCUGUUUAUGGAAGGCUGAGCCUCCUGUUUUAAUUCUUGUUUUUAAUUUCUGCAAGUUUUAUUUUUCUGUUUAUGGAAGGCUGAGCCUCCUGCUUUAAUUCCUGUAUUUAAUUUUCUGCAAAAAGCCCCUCCGUGGUGGCGUCCUACUUCUCUUAAUCCUCUUCUCAUCCCCCUCCUUCUGCUUCCGACCCCCUCUUGGUAUCAGAGAAAUAUAUAUAUAUCAACAUAUAUCUAUACCCCAUAUCACAUGUUGAGUGUAUAUCUACGUAUUUCUGUGAGUUGACCCUAGCACCUUGGCUUUGGUUGCAUGUUUGUGUUUGGGCGGUCGGCCUGCUGCCAGAUGUCGAUGGCUGACUGGUUUUCGAUGGUCUCUCCCUCGGGGGGGAUCAGGUAUGAGCUUGUAGAUCGUGCUGCCCCCACCGCUUGGGUGAUAGAUGUCCCUGGUCACCGGGCGACGUACAGGGGAAGGGUCAUGGAGGACCGGACGGAUGAGCGAGGACGCCUGACGAGAGGUGUGCUACCGCGUAUGGAGCUGAGUUUUGACUUGCCGCCCUCAGUUCACUGUGGACCAGGCACUGGUCAUGGACCACCUGCACCACCUCCGACUUCACCUUCUGUUGAGGAGGACCCGGCGGAGACCGAGCCUGCUGUUGCUGCACCUGUUGCGCCACCUCUUGCUACUGCCAUCGAUCCUACCGACGUGGCGUCGUCCUCUAGGCGUGUGCGGCCGAAGAGGGAGUCCGUCGUCCCAUCUGCCUCACGUCUCUUUUCUUUCUCUUCACCGCACGGCUACCGUGUGGAGCCCUUGAUGAGGGUGGUGGAGGAGGAUGUUCUUACAGGAGAGGUGGAUGUGGAGACCGGCUCGACUAGGACGGUGCGCAGGACAGUUAGGAGGGAGGUCGUAGACUUGGACACCGAGAUGAUUACGGUGGAUUCCGAUUCUGACUCCGAGAGCAGUGGGGAGAGCUACUCGCCGAGCAGCGAUGAGGAGGAGGAGGAGCUAUGAGCUGAGCUGGGAGGGGAGGUUAGGUUAGCGUCAUUUUUUGUGUAGAGCUCUGAUCGUCAGUCUUUUUGGGACAGGGUAGGUUCCGAUGUGUGGCUUUUUGUGUGGUUCUUUUGAGGAGGAUCACAGAGAGUCUGUCGGAGUAUAGAGGUCUUUCUUUCAGGCCAUUUUUGGGUGCCGACUUUCUCUGGAUAACUGUAUAUUUGAUACUUUUACUUACAGUGCUGGUUUGUAUAUAUUUGCCUGCGGGCACACUACUUGGAGUCACUGCGAGUGCGCGUGAUGUGGAGUGCAGCUGAGGCUGUACGUGUGCAUAUAUUGUAUAUCGGUUAGUUUAGUUGUUGGGUUUUGUCUUUAUUUCCUUAUCGCUUUUAAUUAAAGGAAUCAAUCGAAAAAAAAUUACCUGUUUUCCGCGUAAAGUUUAUUUUUGGUUACUAAAGUGACACCUGGAAAUCGGGGUGUUACAGAUCUUCCAAGGCGUUGACGGCAUACCGUGGAAACUCCCAUAGUCAAAAGUCACAACAUCCUUCUCAAUUAAAAUAAUACAGGAAGUCCCGCCAACGUCAACAGACAUUGUAAAACAUUGCAGAAUCGGACGAUGCAUUUGAACUAAAAUUUUGUCGUACUCAGCCGAUGUCGCGACAACGUUGCUAUAUCAGAUGACAUAUAAGUCCCCAACUUUCAAACUUCAGGACCACUUCAUUCGCUCGCAAGGGGAUAAAACGAAAGUUGUACAACCCAAUGGCAUGGAUUUGAGCAUACACGCUUGAGCACAUCUGUGGACCCAAUCCUCAUCCAAAUCAGACGUUGUAAAUUGCAAUUGACAACCCUGAGCCUGUUGUGGAGCCUCCUGUAUCUGAACUGAUGUUUCUUUCUGCUUCAAAUUUGCCGCAUGGUUACGCACCUCAGGUUUAACUUUUGCUCGCCAAGCUUUUCCUUGAAUUUCAUACCGAUGUCGUUCCGGCGACGGCAACGGUACGUUCGACCUUCGGGCAGGUUAUUGAAAUUUAGCUUUUUGUACCACAAUAAAAUUCCCUUCCAGCCUCAAACCAUUGAACAUUCGAAUCGCGCGCCAUGCAUCCUCAUUACUAUGAAACCGUACAAAUCCAAAACGAAAGCGCCGACCAUAUUUCUUUUUCUGCUGAACAAACACAUCACGCAGCUGCCCUGCUUUACUAAAAAUAGACCGUAAUUUUUCCAAUGUCAUCCUCUCGCCUAGGCCAUCAAUGAAAACAGCAAAAGAUGUUGAAAGCUUAUCUGGAUGCAUAUUUCCAUUAGAUCUGGACAAAUGUUGUCGUUGAUAAGAGUUCCUCCCCCAAGCUUGUUAGGUGCGUGCUGGCUUGCUUUGUUGCCGCUGAUGCCAUGACGGCGGCCACCGUGGCGGAGGAGCUCUUCCAGAGCCUCUCUCUCUCUCUAACAUCUCUACAGUGAUAUAGUUUAAACUUAUCUAAUCAACAAUUUUGAAAUAUAUCAAAUAAAGUUUUUUUUUAUCAACAACCUAAUCAAUUAUGAUUAUGUUCAGAUUUCAACUAAUAUUAUCCAAUAAUAUCAUCUUUUUAUUUUUCAAUUUUCAAAAGAUUUACCUAAGAUAUGUGCUAGAUUACCUCCUAAAAUCAAAAUUAAGCAAACUAACACACUUUGUCUCUCUCCUAAAUACUAUCCACGAAAAUUCCAACUCACAAGUGGAUAUAUAAAUUAUUUUUCUCUUUAUGAUAUUUAAAUAAUUUAUUUAUUUAUUUUCAAGCCUAUUUCUACAACAAUUUUUAGUUUUAUUAAUAACCUAAGGCUUCAAAAAUUAUUUCUAUACAACAGUCACUUGUUUGACCAAUCCAACACUCCCACAAUUUAAAAUACACUCUUACUCAUGCACACAAUUAAUUUCACUUAUUUCUUCAUUCGUUUUGACUAGUCAGUUAUCAGUCAGCUAACAGAACAGUAAAAUAGAGAACAAUUUGACAUCAAUUUCAUCAUAGACAACAAAUCAACCAUUCAAUCAAAUAAUAAUAAUACUAUUAUAAUAAUAUAGAUAAUUAUUAUUUUUAUAAUAAUUCAAAAAUUGAGGGCCUUACAAUAGUGGUGGCAAAAGGUGUGUUGCAGUAACGUUGGUGGAGGUUGUCAUAUAGUAAGUUAGAAGCACAAACUCCAAGACACUAAUGACUAUGGUUAAGGGUAUUGAGUGGCAGUCGUGGGUAUCAUGCUGUUAUGUAGGAUGCAAAGUGAUGGUGGUAGUAGCUAGUGAUGGAGGAAGUCAUGUGGUGGAAGUAGACCUAGUUAACAUGUAGCGAUUAUAGUGGAGGUUUCUGUAUGAAGUUGAUUGAGGACAUAAUAGAUAUAAGAAAAUGAUGGGAAUGAAGCUAUUAUAUUUUUAUGAAACUAAAAAAACUUUUCUUGGACUUAAAAACAAUGCUAAAAUCAUUUUAGAAUUAAGCAAUUAACAAUUUCGGCUAUAUUUUAGCCAAACAAAUUUUAUUUAAAAAUCAAAAUUGAAAACUCAAAACCACCCAAAUGGCUUUGAGUAAUCUUUUAAUAAUAUGUGUUGGUAAUCAUUUGCUCUCUCUCUUUUUCUUGAAGUAGCUCCUUAGAGAAUUUAAGAAUAGAUUCUCAAAAGGAAAAAACUAAGUAAGUUUUCUUUUGGUUGUUGUCUUGGCUAGGGCUGUCCAUCGGGCGGUUUCGGUCGGUUUCAAUCUGAUAUCAUCGGUUGAAAUAUGCAAAACUACUAGACCCGCCACCGACCAUUCUCUAGUUGCGGGUUAGUCGGUUUCGGAUGUCGGUUUUACCGGGUGGGUUCACGAGGUUAGCUAAUCCCAAAACACAAAAAAAAAUGAAAAAGAAGAUGAAAGAAAUAGAUCCAGAUUCAAACAGAUUCAUAUUCCAUUAACCCAUUACAGAAAAAUCUUAAACAAAAUGAAGAAGAAAAAUGUGCAUGUGGUCUGAAAAAAACAAAAAUUUGUAAACAAAUUAGAAAAGCACUGAAAGACAACAGAGGUGGGAGGGGGAGAUCUAUUACUGUAGAUAUAUUACAAGGGAUUAAACCCAAAAGAAAAGUAUGAAGGAAAGUCAUAACAAAAUAUUAAUAAGCUCAUAAGCCACAGAGCUCGCCUCCAUCUCUUCUACCUCUUCAUCUUCCUUCUUCGUCGUCUUCCCACGUCUUCCUUCUCACCUCUAGGGUUGGGAUUUGAGACUUGCAUGCAAGAAGAUCUCCUCUACUGUAAUGAGAACGUUCCUCCGAUUUGCAACAGGGAGGAGAUGAAGCUGUAAGAUCAAGUUUUGAUCUAGUAGUACAACUCUAUGUUUUGAUGAUUACAAGUUAACCUUUUGAGUAUGAACAAUUAUGGUACUCUAACGUGUUUUUCUGAGUGUGCUAUUUACAGGCUCUGACCUUGAUUCAGUCUCACACAAAUCAGAAGCACUGUGCAUAAAGAGUGACCCAAGCAACGCUUUCGCAACAUCUAUGUUCACUCUGAACAGUAGAAACGCUUCAGAAGAUCUGAAGUUAUACAAGCUCUGAUAUGGACUCAGUCACUAGAAGUUCUGAAGAUCCAGAAGUUCUGACAACCAAGAAACUCUGAAGGUUCAGAUGUUCUGAUGGUGUAGAAGACUCUGAAGAUCCAGAAGCUGAAUAGUGGAAACUCUGAUGUCCAGAAGCAAGAAACUCUGAAGACCAUGUACUUCCCUCUGAGUUCAGAAUCAGAAGAUACAACGGUCAGAGGAUAUGUACUUUCCCUCUGACUCUGAUCAACCGGCUUCACAAGUUCCAACAUGAAGCAUUCUCCUGAUCAGAAGUCUCCUAGGUUUAAAGGUCAAGUCGCUAUCCAAGUACAAAAGCAUAUGUACUAUCCUGACGACCUACCUAACGUUCUCAGCCACAGCAGAAGCUGGAAUUUCUAGAACUGCCCUCCAACGGUAGCAUUUCCAUGCAUCGUUCAAACCCUAAUCCUUGGAGUAUAAAUAGAGGCUGAAGAUUGAAAGAUGCGGUUGGAAGAAUUACACACGCGCAAGCUAUAUUCAAAAACCUUCAAGCAUUCUUUCAUCUGAAUUCAUUGUUUACUAUUAGCUUUUCAGAAGCAAAUCUCUUGUAAACAUUCUUUGUUAAACAGUUUGUUUAGUUACCUUUAGGAGAUCAAGGUUGAUCGGAUCCUAGAGAAGACUAAGAGAGUGAAUCUUAGUGUGAGCUAAGUCAGUGUAAUUGUUAGUCACUUGUAGGUUUCAAGUGCAGUUGUAACACUUUACCUGAUUAGUGGAUUGCCUUCAUUCUAAGAAGGAAGAAAUCACCUUGACGGGUGGACUGGAUUAGCUUGAGGGAUUUAUCAAGUGAACCAGGAUAAAAAUCCUUGUGUGCUUUUCUAUCUCUUAUCUUUAGCACUUAAGUCUCGAAAGAUUUGUUGAAAUCUUUAAGGUGGAAGUUUUUAUUUGAAAACGUUAUUCAAACCCCCCCUUUCUACCGUUUUUCAUACCUUCAGAAGCUCCUAAGGGAGAGAAAAAGAGCGAUGGGCUGGUGGCGGAAGAGAACAGCGUUGAUGGUGAAGACGUUAAAGGCCAAGGAAGAGAACAGAUCUUCGUUUGCAAGUUGUUGUGGUAAAGGGAAGAAGAAACGUGGUGGUGGCGGCGGGCUGGUGGCGGCUGGAUAGAGAGAUUGAGAGAGUGUGGAAGGUUGGAGGCUAAGUUUGAAGAUGUUGAGAGAAAAUUAGAGAGGCAGUUAGGGUUAGGUUGAAGGCUGAUGGUUAGAAAAGUAUUUACAUGGGCUUGGGCUGAACCGGUUAGUGGGUGGAAUAAUGGACUGGCUAAACCUUUUUUAUUUACUAAUAUCUGGUUUGGUCAGUUUGGAGCCCGGAACGAAACCGACCGGUCAAACCCAUAUGAAUCCAUAAAAGUGAACCGGCCAAACCCGUAGCCGAACCGAACCGGCCCAUUCAAUAAAAAAGCGUCGGUUUGCUCGGGUCCGGUUCGGUUCAGAGUUUGUUGGACAAUAAGUGAUAGGAAAAGAUAAAAAAAUAAAUGGACUGAAAAUGAAAUAGAAUAGAAAGUGAGAUGUGGAUAAAACAUAAUUUACUGUGUUGCAGACUUUAGCAAACUAUCUUGUAGAGCAUGAAAUCAACCAAAUUGAAAUAAGUCAUUCUAUUUUAUUUAAACAUCUGAGAUAGAAUGAACACGUUCUGGAACAUAAACUAUAAAGGAUUAUAAUGUUGAUUGUAGAAUACAGACUAACUUUAUCAGUGUAUGAAUAUUGUAUUCAAUUUCAUUGAUAAAGAUCAGGAUUGGAUAGUCGUGGGGUGGGGAUGGCAACUAGAGGUGUUUCCUUUUUUAGAGUAAUACCAAACUUCUCUGAUAUAUCUAACUUUUCUCCUUCUGGUACUGUCCAAUCAAACAUGUGCACUAGUGUUGUUAGAAAGUACAAAACAGACCUCUCUGCCAUUGGUAUUCCUACACAAAUUCUUCUUCCAGAACCAAAGGGGAAAUAACUGAAGUCAUUCCCACUAAAAUCCCAUUUGGCAUCCAAGAACCUUUCAGGAUCAAAUUCUAGUGGUUUCUCCCAAAUGGAAGGGUCCCUAUGAAUAGCCCACACAUUCACAAACACCCGAGAACCCUUUGGGAUUGUGUAGCCUCCUGUAGAAGUGGCUUCACUGGGGCAGUGGGGGACUAAAAGUGGAACUGUAGGGUGCAGCCGAAGAGUUUCUUUCAUCACAGCAAGCAAGUAGGGAAGCUGAUGAAGAUGUGACUCUUCAACCAUGUUAUCUUUCCCAACUACACCUUCCAAUUCGUCUUGAACCCUCUUCAUUACCUCUGGCUUGUGCAUCAUUUCCGCCAUUGCAAACUCAACUGUGUUGGAGGACGUGUCACUUCCACCUACAAGCAUGUCCUGUUUGUGCUCAUCCAAAAAUUUCCAACAAUAUUAGUAAAUAAAUUGUGCAAUCUCUUUCUAUUUUUCCUUAAUCAAGUUUGGUUAGGCUUUGAAAUAAUUACGCAAAAGUUUCAGAAUUAACAAGAAUCUUAACACCAAACUAAAUUGGAAAGUAAAAUUAGGUUCCAGAAGUGUUUAUUAACAUAAGCAUUUAUGCAAAUAAAGCAAUGCUUGAUGGCUCAAAAAGAUAUUCCCACAAAUUCAACAAAAAAGUAAUUCAACAAAUGAAUAAUUAUGAGAUUAUCACCUAUGGUGAAAAUUGGAAUGCAUCAACCAAUCACAAUGGGAAAAGCUACUGAGACGAAAUUUAUCUCUGUCAUUCAACAUUUACAUGCAAGUAUUUGCCAAAGCUUAUAUAAAUAUUUUAUGCCUUUAGCUAUAACCUAUUUUGAACUCGUUUUCAUAAGUUAUUCACAUUAAUUUAUGAAUAAAAGUUUAUUUAUGCUCCAUAUUUUUUUAGCUCAUUUCAAUAAAUUUCUCGAAUAAAUUUAAAAAUAAGCGUUUAGUUAAAUUUUUAUCCAAAUCUUUAGCUCAUUUUAAAGAUACUUACCAUCAGAUUUCAUAAGAAAAGUAAUUAAUCUUUCACAUAAUAUGUUCCUAUGAGAUUAACAUAUAAGGGGAUCAAAUCCCCUAAUAAACCAGCGAGAGCGUAGAUUAACCAGCAGAGGGUUAUUAUAACUUAAGCAAAUAUCUCAAAUUCAAGACCUUGUAAAUAUAACAAUAUACUUGAUAGAGCAAGUUUUAUUAUCCAUGUGAUUUUACCCGUCUCAAAUUUGCCAAAGCAACUAAAAUAAAAUACACAAAAAAAAACACAGCCUAAUUAGUUACAAACGUACCAUGAGAAGUGCUUUAACGUGGGUUAUGGAAAGUGGCACCUUGGAAUCACCCUCUUCCUUCAAAUCCAACAAAAACUGCAGAAAAUCGUUGCUUUCAUUCUCCUUCCCCUUCGCUUCCAUCUUCACCCGUUCACCAAUCACCUUAUCGAAUAUUCUGUCGAAACGCAGAACCACCGCUUGCAUUUGUUUCUUCACGCCUUGCAAAUCAAACCUGGCCAAUCCUGGGAAGAAAUCUGACAGGUUCGGCUUCCCUAUAAGAGUCAUCAUAUCCGCCACCGCCUCCUUGAACUCCGCCCCCAUGGUUUCCCCCUCAGCCCCUUCCACCGACCUUCCCCACAUCAUGUUCAUAAGCACGUUCAUCUGCGUCAGAAACGCCUGCUCCCCCACGUUCACCGGAGACCCGACCCGAUUGUGCAGGCGCCUGACCAUUUUUCUGACCUCGUCGCCACGGAUGUGGUAAAGGGAAUCCAGAGUGGUGACGUUGAGCAUCUUGAGCACGCACACUUUCCUCAGCAUCCGCCACUCGGGUCCGUACGGGUUCCACACUAUGUCGGAGCCGCCGUAGAAGGCAGCUCUACCGGUGACGGUCACGUCACGGUUGGCGAAGACGGUGUCGUGGUCCUUGAGCACGUGACGGGCCAUGGAAGAUGAGGUGACCACGAUGGCAAGCUUGCUUCCGAGCCAGAGCUUGAAAAUCGGGCCAUGGGUUCGGGCCAACCUGGCGAAGUAAGUGUGAAGUUCCGGGUCGAGAGAUAGAAGGUUCCCGAAGAUGGGGAGGCCCGGUGGGCCUGGUGGCAGUGGUGGGCUCUGGGCUUUCGGUUUAAGGAAGCAGAGCCGUGCGUACCAAGUGGUGGCUGAAAUGACCAAGGUUGCUACGAUCAGGUUUGUGGUGUCACUACACCAAUCCUUCAAGUUCAGGUAUUGAAGCAAAGUUGAGAGCUGAAUCAUGGUGCAAUAACUAUUAGUGUUGAGAUUUCAGAAAGGAAAUAGUUGAAGGAUAAAUCAUAAGAUGUGGAGAUAAGGUAAUAUAGAGAAUAUGUCUUCUUUUUUUUUUUUUGAAACAAUAUAAUAUGUCAGUCCAAUGAAAUAUCAUAAUUUUUUUUUUCAUUUCAAAAAAAAAAUUAGGUUUUUAAAAUCUAUUUACCGGGUUCAUUUAUCAUACACAACUUUUAUCUUGUGCAAGGUUACACAACCCUAGAAUUACAUGCUAUAGCAGGUCAAGCAGGUCUUUUACUUUUAAAAAUAAAUAUUGAUGUAUUUUCAUUUAAAAAAAAUUACUGAUGCAUUUUCACACUUGGUUUUGGCCCACCCAUCCUCCUCUCAACUCUGCCGGUCAUCUGCCAUCGCCGUCGCCGCCACCGCCACCAGAUCUUCAGCUCCCUCACCCACCAAUCACCACCCAUCCCUUUCUCCUUCCCCUAGAACCCAAGAACACCGCCACUGAAAACCCCACACCCAACUACACCACCACCAGCCGUAAACUCAUCUACUCCCCUUCCUUUCCCCCAAUCCCUCCUCCUCUACUCCCUCUCACCAGAUCUAAACCCAAAGAACCCAACCUCAACCGUCGAACAAAAGAGGGAAGAUGGGAGAGGGGUGACCCUGUGGUGGAGACGCGAACGACGUCAGCCAUGGCCUCGAUGGUUUCGCGAAGACUGAAACAGUGGAGAUGCGGUGCUGCGUGACGACGCCUAGGGCAGAGAUUGUUCGAUUUCAGCGGAGUGGUGGCUUCCAGGAUCUCGACGGUGGAGGAAGCCAUUGGCGGUGAAGAGAAGCUCGGGGUCUAGUGAGAUGGUUCAUCCGUUAUUGGGUCGGUGAUGGUGAUUGUUGGUUCGAGGGAUUCAGGUUUGAUGGCUAUUCUCCUUCGUCUCCUUUCUCCUUGGUUGUGGUUUUGAUUCAGCUGUGGAGGCUGGGCUUGGGAUGGUGAUUGGCUCUGUUUUUGGUGGUGGAUAAGUGGCUGAGUUUAUGGGUGGUGGUGGUGCUUUUGGGUGGGUUAUUGUCGUGGUGUUGUUGUUGGAUUCCAGGGGAAGGAGGAAGAAGGGGGAGAGAAGGAAAAAAGGUGGAGGAAGGGAGGGCUGGUGAUUGGCGGGGGGGAGGAGAAGAAGAUCUGGCGGCGGCAGUGGUGGCGGCGUGGAGGUUGACGGGAGGACAAGUGGUGGGGAGGGGAGAGGAAAUAAACACAUAAAUGUUUAAAUUAAAAAUAGAUUUUAAAUUAAAAAUAAAAUUUUAAAUAGGUUACCUGUAAAGCAACCUAUAAUAACAGGUAAAACUAGGACUUGUGCAACCUUGCACAAGCAAAUUUUUGUGUACAGUAAAUGAACCCGGCAAAAAAAAUCAUAGGUGUUAAGGAUAAAAUCAUUUGUUAAGGAUAAAAGUGUUUCAUCAAUAAAAAAGAUCAAAAAAAUAUAAUUUUUAUCCACUUCAUGACAAUACGAUAAACCUCAUUCAUUUAAGUUCUUAGUCACCAUAAAUAACAAUAUUUACCAACCAGUGAAUGUAAAGGUGAGAGUUCGUUUAUAUUUUGUAGAAAAACUUAUUAGCUAGUGGCCUAUUAGCUAGCGACCAAUUAGUCAGUUGUCAACUGGCCCCUUCAAGAUGUUAUUCUAUGCUAAAUAGAUUUUUAAAAGAGUUAGUACUUAGUAGGUUAAAUCAAGCCGUUUAAAAAGUUAGGUUAGACCAUAAAAUUCAGUCUUCAAUCUCGAAUUUAAAUAAAAAUCAAGCUUAGACCACAUAAAGCCUUACUUAAUCUAUUUUCACCCUUGUAUAUACACAUGCAAGAGAUGAUACAAGGGCGCAUGCUCUUUGCAUCCUUAAAAUUGUAAGGGGAAUCAAAUUGAGUCCCUGAAAAUUUUUCGCAUUAAAUUGGAUCCCUAGAAUAUUCUUUUUAAUAAAUUCAAGUUAUUUUGCUCAAUUUUGACCGGUCAACGGUCUAGUGGCAAGCCUAGUCAGCUGAGGAUGACCACAUUGACUUUUUCACAUCAAUUUUAGUCUUUGACAAAUAUUUUAAUCAAUUUAAGUCCUUGUUCUUCCACCUUGAAAAAUAUUUGUUGUUGCCUUUGAUUUUCUAGGUUUGGAAGAACAAGGUGAAUAUGAACAUAUAGNNNNNNNNNNNNNNNNNNNNNNNNNNNNNNNNNNNNNNNNNNNNNNNNNNNNNNNNNNNNNNNNNNNNNNNNNNNNNNNNNNNNNNNNNNNNNNNNNNNNNNNNNNNNNNNNNNNNNNNNNNNNNNNNNNNNNNNNNNNNNNNNNNNNNNNNNNNNNNNNNNNNNNNNNNNNNNNNNNNNNNNNNNNNNNNNNNNNNNNNNNNNNNNNNNNNNNNNNNNNNNNNNNNNNNNNNNNNNNNNNNNNNNNNNNNNNNNNNNNNNNNNNNNNNNNNNNNNNNNNNNNNNNNNNNNNNNNNNNNNNNNNNNNNNNNNNNNNNNNNNNNNNNNNNNNNNNNNNNNNNNNNNNNNNNNNNNNNNNNNNNNNNNNNNNNNNNNNNNNNNNNNNNNNNNNNNNNNNNNNNNNNNNNNNNNNNNNNNNNNNNNNNNNNNNNNNNNNNNNNNNNNNNNNNNNNNNNNNNNNNNNNNNNNNNNNNNNNNNNNNNNNNNNNNNNNNNNNNNNNNNNNNNNNNNNNNNNNNNNNNNNNNNNNNNNNNNNNNNNNNNNNNNNNNNNNNNNNNNNNNNNNNNNNNNNNNNNNNNNNNNNNNNNNNNNNNNNNNNNNNNNNNNNNNNNNNNNNNNNNNNNNNNNNNNNNNNNNNNNNNNNNNNNNNNNNNNNNNNNNNNNNNNNNNNNNNNNNNNNNNNNNNNNNNNNNNNNNNNNNNNNNNNNNNNNNNNNNNNNNNNNNNNNNNNNNNNNNNNNNNNNNNNNNNNNNNNNNNNNNNNNNNNNNNNNNNNNNNNNNNNNNNNNNNNNNNNNNNNNNNNNNNNNNNNNNNNNNNNNNNNNNNNNNNNNNNNNNNNNNNNNNNNNNNNNNNNNNNNNNNNNNNNNNNNNNNNNNNNNNNNNNNNNNNNNNNNNNNNNNNNNNNNNNNNNNNNNNNNNNNNNNNNNNNNNNNNNNNNNNNNNNNNNNNNNNNNNNNNNNNNNNNNNNNNNNNNNNNNNNNNNNNNNNNNNNNNNNNNNNAAGCUUGAAAGGACGAAUGAGAUUCGGGCCAUGUUGUGGUGUUGUAUGGAUCGAGACAUUCUCUGGAGUCAUUUGGGGAUUAGGAGAUCCCGAGAACUUAUAGGAUUUGCGAUAAGACUAAAAAGGAUAUUAUUUUGAAAAGAAAACUCAUAAGACAUUAAACAACCUCUAAAUCUUUAAAUAAAGAUAAUAAACUCGAAAGGAAGCUUUGGAUGCAGAUCAUAGUUUUGGAAAACGAGAAUUGUCGUCGGAUCCCAGCAUUGAGAAAGUUGAGGGGCUUCGAGUAUGUAGAUGUUGUGGUGCUGUUGGAGCAGCGUUUGUUGUUGUGCUGUUGGAGCAGCUAUUGUGGUUGUGCUGUUGGAGCAGCUAUGUUGUUGGGCGUAUCUUCGACUUUGCGGCGCGAAUCCGUAUGUCCAAACCCGACGGUUUGGGCCGAUUCGGCAAUAAUUGUUGACACGCGCGAAUCCGUAUAUUCAAUCCGAUGGAUUGGAUCGAUUCGGCGGUAGUCACUCAGGCUCGCGUGAAUUCGUAUGUUCAAUCCGAGGGAUUGGAUCGAUUCAGCGACAACUUUUCGACACGCGCGAAUCCGUAUAUUCAAUCCGAUGGAUUGGAUCGAUUCGGCGGUAGUCACUCAGGCUCGCGUGAAUCCGUAUGUUCAAUCCGAGGGAUUGGAUCGAUUCAGCGACAACUUUUCGACACGCGCGAAUCCGUAUAUUCAAUCCGAUGGAUUGGAUCGAUUCGGCGGUAGUCACUCAGGCUCGCGUGAAUCCGUAUGUUCAAUCCGAGGGAUUGGAUCGAUUCAGCGACAACUUUUCGACACGCGCGAAUCCGUAUAUUCAAUCCGAUGGAUUGGAUCGAUUCGGCGGUAGUCACUCAGGCUCGCGUGAAUCCGUAUGUUCAAUCCGAGGGAUUGGAUCGAUUCAGCGACAACUUUUCGACACGCGCGAAUCCGUAUAUUCAAUCCGAUGGAUUGGAUCGAUUCGGCGGUAGUCACUCAGGCACGCGUGAAUCCGUAUGUUCAAUCCGAGGGAUUGGAUCGAUUCAGCGAUAACCUUUCGACUCGCGCGGAUCCGUAUGUUCAAUCCGAUGGAUUGGAUCGAUUCGGCGAUAGUCAUUGGACACGCGCAAUGUCCGUAUGUUCGACUCUUUUGAGUGAACCGACUUGGCGUUGUCAUUUGUUGCGUGUGCGAGUCCGUAUGUUCAACCCAGGGGGUUGGAUCGACUUGACAUGCCUAAUUGUUGGGCUAUCCUGGGGAUAAGUCCGGGAAACCGGGAGUUUCCGAGUAUGUGAUACUCUUUGCUUGUUGAGCAGUUGUGACCAUCGAAUUGAGAUGAGUCGGAUGAUCCGGAGAUCAUUAUGAGUUACUAUGUGGAUGUGAAGAAGUGUCUUUUGUCGCAGAAUCGACUUUACCUUAGGGUAAGCUUUUAGAGACUUUAAUUUACCUAGAACACGUGGCGACGUGACGAGUGAGAGUCGGAGACGUUGUUUGACUAAUCAUCCUGCAUUCAUGCAUACUGAUUUAGUUGUCGAGUGUGAUUGUUAAUUGUUAAUCCUAUUUGGAACAUGUUAAUUGUUAUUAUUGCUGUUAAGUUCAUUAUGGAAAAUGCAACCCUAGGAUGUUAUCCCUAGCUAUAAGCCUAAGUGGCUAUUCUCUUAUCUAUAUCUAUUGGUGCUAUUAUUUAUGUAAUUCUUUGGAGUUGACCCUCGCGUCUUCUGUGUGUGCUUUGGCGGACAAACGCCCUUUGUCAGAUGUCUUUGGCGGACUGGUUCACGACGGUUCACCCUUCGGGGGAAACUAGAGUUGGGAUGCUGGAACAGGAGCGCAUCGCGAUAGCGAGCGGAGGACGGAUGGUGUACAUAGACUAGGUCGUUCUGAAUUCAGGUUCGGGCGACGAUCAUGCUAGCAUGUAGGUUUUAGUGCUGGUGUGAGCUCCUCGAGAUGAGAUUAUUGUAGGAGUAGAGUCUUAGCUCUGGACGUCAUUUGUUUUCUUUAGGGACAGGGUAGUUUCCCACCUAUAGCUUUUUGUGUGGUUCUUUACGGGAAUCACAGAGAGUUGGUUGGACUUAGGAGGUCUUGCUUCAGGCCGAUGGGCCAGCCUAUUCUCAGUUUUGAGGGAUGGUGUUGCGGACACUUGACCUUUCUUUUGGAUUAUACCUUUUGCCUACGGGCGUUCUUUUCUACUACUUUCCGUCACUGGAGGUUACUCGUGACGAGGUUGGGUACUUACAGCGGGGGGGUUGUAAAUAUAUAUUGGAUAAUAGUUUUAUUGCUUUUUGCAUUUGGGUUUUAUUUAAUUCAGUCUUGUCUUAGUUAUUAUCAAAAAAAAAAUAUUUACGUUUUUCCGCAUUAAGUUUACUUUUGGUUACUAAAGUGACACCACCGAAAUCGGGGUGUUACAUUGUGGUAUCAGAGCACAGUCGAGUCUUUCGGGAGUUGUUGGGGAAUAGGUCUUCUGUGCUAGGUUGUGUGACUCUGCAAAGAGUGAAAAAUUGAUUGUCUGCAAGCGAUUUUUCGCUUAAAAAUUGAUUGAAGUUAUUGCUUAAUCAUAUUGUAUAGUUAUGGAAAUGCUAUCUUAUGAUGAGUACUAACUGUUUGUCUAACUAAACAGAGGACAUGGUGAACAUGAAUCAACUCGCUGGGGCAAUGACUGCUGUGGCCCAGGAAAUGACAAAUCAAACAGUGGAGAACGCUCAGUGGCGUGCUGACAAGGCUGAACGUGAGCGACAUAAGCGUGAGAGGGAGUUAGCCCUAGACCAGAACAGGGGACUGAAUGAUUUUAGAAGGCAGGAUCCACCCAAGUUCACGGGCGGGACUGACCCAGACAAUGCGGAUCUAUGGAUCCAAGAGAUUGAGAAGAUUUUCGAAGUACUGCAGACUGCUGAAGGGGCUAAGGUGGGCCUGGCAACUUAUCUACUGCUGGGCGAUGCUGAGUACUGGUGGAAGGGUACCAGAGGAAUUAUGGAAGCUAACGACGAGGAAGUGAAUUGGAUCUCCUUUCAAACUGCAUUCUUGGAAAAGUAUUUUCCAACUAGUGCUCGGGACGAGCGGGAGGCACAGUUUCUGACACUCCGACAAGGGAGCAUGUCUGUACCUGAAUUUGCUUCUAAAUUGGAGUCUUUGGCCAAACACUUCCAAUUUUUCACCGACCAUGUCGAUGAGCGCUACAUGUGUAAGCGUUUCGUCAAUGGACUGAGGCCAGAUAUCGAGGACUCUGUGAGGCCAUUGGGAAUUAUGCGUUUCCAAGCUUUGGUUGAGAAGGCAACAGAAGUUGAACUUAUGAAGAACAAGAGGAUGAAUAGAACAGGCACUGGGGGACCAAUGAGGUCGAACUUCCAAAAUAAUCAUGGGAUAGAGAGAUUCCGACAGAAGAAGCCGUAUCAACGUUCUGUGGCGGAAGGUUUUACCUCGGGGCAGUAUAAGCCCAUAAAUGCUGCCGGAGGAACAGGAAACAAGACUUCGGGUCAAGGAGUGACGUGUUACAGGUGCAAGAAGGUGGGGCACUACACUAACAAGUGUCCAAACGGAAGACCUCUAUGUUUCAACUGCAACCGUCUGGGGCAUCAAGCCAAGGAUUGCAAUGUAACCAAGGUUAAGCCAUCUGUGCAUACGGUGAGGGGAAGACGUUCUACUGCACGGGGAAGAGUCCAUGUCUUGUGCGGCGAGGGAGCUGAUGGAUUAGUCAGAGGAGAGCGCAAGAACGAUGGUAACUUUCUAUCUAUUCUUUCUCAUUUUAGUAUAAUAUACCCUUCGUCACCCCCGUAGCGUGUGCAACACGUCUGAACUUGCUUUUACCGCUUAUCGUUGACCUUAUAGUUAUUACGCCUAUGAAUACCUUAUUUGACCGUAGCUCGUAUUUUAGCUAUAGAAGUACACGAGGUUUAAGAUAACACGUUAAGCUUAGAAAGUAGUCUUGUACCGAUGCGUUUAAAAGGAAGCUAGAAGCUGAAGAAUGAAUCUCAUAGAGAUUUCUUAUGGAUAGUAUACGUAUGAUGUCGAGGGUGUGUAGUUCCGUAGCGACAUCAUUGAAGAAUUAAUAUCAAGAUUUUUGUGACUAUUGGAUGAUAGGAACACAUUGUCUGUUCCAGUGGGUUUUUCUAAAUUUCACCUUCAAUGUAUUAGGCUUGAUCAACUUAAUAUUGAGGGGGUGAUAUUCGGAAUCAGAGCUGGCUAUGGACUUUGAUAGAAGGAUGUGUAAGAUGAAUUUGAAUUGAUCGAGGAUUAGUCGGAUUUGGGAGGAAAGUUCGUGUUAAGUAAUUGAUUUUCUUUGGGAAGGAGUUAUCGUUGUAAGAGAUGAAUAUUCUUUUAGGAAAUGUUGGAGAGCUACAGAGCAUCAGAGAUCCAAACUUGGAAAAGGUUUAGGUUUUAAGUCUAUUAAUUCUUGUCAUAAGUGUAUAGGACUUGAAGUUUGUCAUAAUUUGAUUGGGAGAUUAAGAAGUUGAUUGACGAGAUGGUGAUCAAGUUACAGAAAAGGGAAGUGUUAGUAUUAAGAUGAACACUUGAGGUUGUCAUAUUUGGACAAGUUGCUUAAAGUCUAAGAGUGAAUGAAACUUGUUAUGGAUUUCGGUGAUACAAGCUAGAGAUUAGCGAGUGAAUUUUGCUAAGUGGAAUGAGAAUUUUAGGGUAAAGAUUGACUUCAGAAGCUGGAGAUCAUAUUCGAGUAAGAGUUUUAGUGGUGUUAUCAUUGAUGAUUGUAGUAAAACCUCGGCAAGUGAAAGAUGAUAUGUCUGUUGAGACGCCGUUGGUCAACCUUGGGACUAGAAGAGUGAAAAAAAAAAAAAAAAAAAAAAAAAAAUCGAAGGGAAAGCAGAGUGUUUUAGUGAAAAUUAUUUGGAAUAAAGACACGGACGGUGUUACGUGAGAGUUAGAGGAAAAGAUCAAGGAAUAAUAUCCAGAACUAUUACUGACCCUUAAGUUUCGAGGACGAAACUUUCUUUUUGGAGGGUAGUAAUGUAAGACCCAAGAUUUUAAGCUUAGAAUUAGUGGAAGAGAUUUCCAUUUACGAUUAGGAUUGAUGUAAUGUGAAGGGAAACCUGAACGAAAGUUUAUUAAAUGAAAUAUAUUUAUGAAGGAGAAAGUUCAGGAAAAGUUCAAGGAUUGCAUUAUGAUCGAUAAAAGUUAUAGCACGAACGUUUUACGCUUAAACCUAGGUCAGAACCCCUAGUAUAUCGCUAAUUUUCACUUUUAGGCACGACGGAAGUUAAUUCCAAAAAUCUUCAGAGAAAUGUUAGAACUUCUCUUUUUCCAUAUAUCACCAUCAUUUCGAGGCGAAACUCUAGGAUCUGCGAACGUCCGAUUCCAAUCAUCGGAAGUUUGCCGAAACCGAAUCCCUGGUAUUUCAAAACCCUAGAAUUUCUCGACAAUGAAGACUUUAUCUGUUCAGAGCUUCAAAUGAAUAUUCUACACGCGUACACCCAUUUCUCUUGAUGAUUUCAAUCUUUCUUCAGAAGGAAGUUUUCCAUUCCGACAUUCGAUGCAAAAAGCAACUUAUCGGGUAAAAUAGUUUUACACCGACUUUGCACCGACUUUGCAUUAGUUGCCAAAAAUACAAGGAGACAUCUUCUUAGCUUAGGAAUUCCUUUGCCAAAACCUAUCUUAGAAUUCAUGGAGAAUGAUGCCGGAAAAAUCAGAUUCGCGAAACUUUCAUUUUCCCGCGAAUUACCAUUUUCUAUAUAUAGCAAAGAAAGGAAGAAAAACUCAAAUUCUCCUCCAUUUCUCUCUUCAAACCCGCGAGCUUCAACAAGGAAGAAGGAAGAAGAGUUUUCUUCAUUACUUGCUUGAUCGUUGAUCCGUUAGUCGCUGCUUCAAGGUUUCGAGGUAUAGUCGCUAAUCCUUACCUCUGAUCGCUUUUUCCAUAGCUUUUCUGUAGAGUUUUCUGAGCGGAUAGUUUAUGGGUUUUUGCAAAACUAUCCUGAAUCUUUCAUUUCUGAUUCUAAACCUCUUCUAUAUGUGCCCAAGAUCACUUCUGCCGGAUUAGAUUUUCCGUUAUGUCGCCGGAAUUCCGCCGGAAUCAAUUCUAGCCUAAAAUACCCAUUUAUGUAGUUUUUGAGUAAAGUUCCAACCUUUAGGCUGUAAACUAUCGCCUUAGCUUAGUGUUAGUAGGAUUAGUUGUCAUAAACGUCGUUAGUAACGUCCCUGCAAAAUUUUAUUUUUGAGAUUUCAGUUUUGAAAAUCCUAAGUUAAAAAUCAUUACCAAAAUACCCCUGCGACAGUUUUUGAUCCGAUAAUUUUUCCGAGUUCAGAAUACCCUUAGUUACGGCUUAUGAAAGCAUAGGAACCAAGUUUGAUCGAAGAAAAAUCGAGCCCCAUAAUUAGCCAAAGUGGCCGAGCCCUAUUAAGGGGGAGGAAGAAAUUUCCUUUUUCCGAAAACUUGUCUUUCGCGCUAGAUUAUCGUACCUUAGAGUAUAGAUUACUUCGAGUAACCUUAGUACGUAUCGAUAACUUAGUUUUCGAUUGAUUCUGAUAGUAUUUCUGUGAUUUUGUUUUAAAGGAACUUUUGAGGAAUUUCCCGAGGAGCAACACUUUGAGUGCGAGGAAGCACUAGUGGAUCAUACUGGAGAACCUUCAGGUGAGGGCAUCUCACUGAAUCUCUAGUUAAUGCUUAGGGUCGAUGUUUCGACAUUGUUUAUGUAAGACCCAAGUUUUUAAGCUUAUGUUAAGUGAAUAAACUUUUUAUUCACGAUUAGGGUUGAUGUAAUGUGAAGGGAAACCUGAACGAAAGUUUAUUAAAUGAAAUAUAUUUAUGAAGGAGAAAGUUCAGGAAAAGUUCAAGGAUUUCAUUAUGAUCGAUAAAAGUUAUAGCACGAACGUUUUACGCUUAAACCUAGGUCAGAAACCCUAGUAUAUAGCUAAUUUUCACUUUUAGGCACGCUGGCAGUUAAUUCCAAAAAUCUUCAGAGAAAUGUUAGAAUUUCUCUUCUUCCAUAUAUAACAAUCGUUUCGAGGCGAAACUCUAGGAUCUACGAACGUCCGAUUCCAAUCAUCGGAAGUUUGCCGAAACCGAAUCCCUGGUAUUUCAAAACCCUAGAAUUUCCCGACUUUGAGGACUUUAUCUAUUCAGAGCUUCAAAUGAAUAUUCCACACGCGUACACCCAUUUCUCUUGAUGAUUUCAAUCUUUCUUCAGAAGGAAGUUUUCCAUUCCGACAUUCGAGGCAAAAAGCAACUUAUCGGGUAAAAUAGUUUUACACCGACUUUGCACCGACUUUGCAUUAGUUGCCAAAAAUACAAGGAGACAUCUUCUUAGCUUGGGAAUUCCUUUGCCAAAACCUAUCUUAGAAUUCAUGGUGAAUGACGCCGGAAAAAUCGGAUUCGCGGAACUUUCAUUUUCCCGCGAAUUUCCACCUUCUAUAUAUAGCAAACAAAGGAAGAAAAAACACAAUUUUCCUCCAUUUUCUCUCCUCUAAACCGCGGCCAAGAACAAGGAAGAAGGAAGAAGAGUUUUUCUUCAUCGUUUGCUUGAUCGUCGAUCAAUCAGUUGCUACUUCAAGGUUUCGAGGUAUAGUCGCUAAUCCUUACCUCCGAUCGCUUUUUCCAUAGCUUUUCUGUAGAGUUUUCUGAGCGGAUAGUUUAUGGGUUUUUGCAAAACUAUCCUGAAUCUUUCAUUUCUGAUUCUAAACCUCUUCUAUGUAUGCCCAAGAUCACUUCUGCCGGAUUAGAUUUUCCGUUAUGUCGCCGGAAUUCCGCCGGAAUCAAUUUGAACCUAAAAUACCCAUUUUAUGUAGUUUUUGAGUAAAGUUCCAACCUCUAGGCUGAAAACUAUCGCCUUAGUUUAGUGUUAGUAGGAUUAGUUGUCAUAAACGUCAUUAGUAACGUCCCUGCAAAAUUUUAUUUUUGGGAUUUCAGUUUUGAAAAUCCUAAGUUAAAAAUCAUGACCAAAAUACCCCUGCGACAGUUUUUGAUCCGAUAAUUUUUCCGAGUUCAGAAUACCCUUAGUUACGGCUUAUGAAAGCAUAGGAACCAAGUUUGAUCGAAGAAAAAUCGAACCCUACAAUUACCUAUAGUGGCCGAGAGCUAUAAGGGGGGAGGAGGAAAUUUCCUUUUCCGAAAACAUGUCUUUUCGCGCUAGAUUAUCGUACCUUAGAGUAUAGAUUACUUCGAGUAACCUUAGUAAGUAUCGAUAGCUUAGUUUCCGAUAGAUUCUGAUUGAUUUUUGUGGUUUUGUUCUAAAGGUGAUUUUGAGGAAUUUCCUGAGGAUCAACACCUUGCUUGUGAAGAAGAGUUUGAAGUUUUUGCUGGAGAACCUUCAGGUGAGGGCUUCUCACUGAAUCUCUAGUUAAUGCUUAGGGUCGAUAUUUCGACAUUGUUUACUGUUUAUGCACUGAGAUUGUGUGUGAUUGAAAAUGUUUUCUGAGGCUUCGGCUGACAAUGUAGAUGAUUCAUCUACUGAAUGUUUUUGAAGAUUGACUUACAUGCUAUGUGCUAUGUGGGUAAUCUAGGAUGUGUGGUGCAUGCUUUAUAUGCUAAGUGCUAAGUGUUUAUGAUGCGAUUUAUUGAUAUAUGACAUGUUGUUGAUUGUGAUGAUUUAAAUAUGCUUUACACUGAAAAUCUGAGAUUCUGAAUGGUGAGAAUAGCGGGCAGGUCAUGCCGAUUUUAUUUUGAGAGUUUUGAGAAAGUUUGAUAGGACGAACGAGGUUCGGGCCUUGUAUAGGGUUUAUGGAUCGAGACAUUCUCUGGAGUCAUUUGGGGAUUCGAAGAUCCCGAGAACUUAUAGGAAUUGCGAUAAGACUAAAAAUGAUAUUAUUUUGAAAAGAAAAUUCAUAAGACAUUAAACAACCUCUAAAUCUUUAAGUAAGGGUAAUAAUCUCGAAAGGAGGCUUUGGAUGAAAAUCAUAGUUUGGAAAACGAGAAGUGUCGUCGGAUCCAAGUGUUGAGUCUGUUGUUGUUGUGCUGUUGGAGCAGCGUUGGUUGUUGUGCUGUUGGAGCAGCGUUGGUUGUUGUGCUGUUGGAGCAGCGUUGGUUGUUGUGCUGUUGGAGCAGCGAUGUUGUUGGGCUAUCCUGGGGAUAAGUCCGGGGAACCGUUAGUUCCCGAGUAUGUGAUACUCUUGUGCUGUUGGAGCAGCGAUGUGUGUUGUGAAGUGUGUCUUUUGUCGCAGAAUCGACUUUACCUUAGGGUAAGCUUUUAGAGACUUUAACUUCCCUAGAACACGUGGCGACGUGUCGAGUGAGGACGGAGACGUUGUUUGACUAAUCAUUUUGCAUACAUGCAACAUUAAUGAGGUAUUAACACAGGACGUACUCUGGACCUCGUCGGUUUCCAAAAUGGUCAUAAGACCCGGAAUGCCGUGAAAGAGCGUUUGUAGACGUCUCUUGUAGCAGACCGAAAUGGCAGACCUACGGGUUACGGCUGAUCUGGCUACCUUGGUUUGGUGUAAGAGACACGCGGGCGGAAAUGGUCCCACCGUUGCUGGUGCUAGGAUUGAUCCGUUGAUGUCCAUCCCAGAGGCACGCGAGCGGAAAUGGUCCCACCGUUGCUGGUGCUAGGAUUGACUCGUUGUUGUCCAUACCUUUGCUUGGUGUAAGAGGCACGCGGGCAGAAAUGGUCCCACCGUUGCUGGUGCUAGGAUUGAUCCGUUUUGAUGCCCAUCCGUUUCCGGAUUGCAUAUUGGUUGACUGGGUUAACCUGCAUACAUAUCACGCAACAUGCAUACUGACUUAGUUGAUGAGUGUGGUUGCUAUUUGAUAAACUUACUUGGAACAUGCUAAAUGUUAUUAUUGUCAUUAUGAUUUGGUGGAACAUGCAACCCUAGGAAUGAUAUCUCUAGUUAUAAGCCUAAGUGGCUAUAUAUUAUUUGUACCUAUUGGGUUUAUUAUCUACAUAGUUCUUUAGAGUUGACCCUCGCGUCUUCUGUGUGUGUUUUGGCGGACAACGCCUUUUGUCAGAUGAGUAUUGCGGACUGGUUCACCAUGGUUUACCCUUCGGGGGAAACUAGGUUGGGAUGCUGGAACAGGAGCGCGUCGCGGUAGCGAGAGGAUGACGGAUGGUGUACAUAGACUAGGUCGUUCUGGAUUUCGAAUUCGGACGACGAUCAUGCUAGCAUGUAGGUUUUGGUGCUGGUGUGAGCUCCUCAAGAUGGGAUUAGUGUAGGAGUAGAGUCUUAGCUCUGAACAUCAUUUGUUUCUUUUGGGACAGGGUAGCUUCCCACCUAUAGCUUUUGUGUGGUUUCUUAACAGGAAUCACAGAGAGUUGGUUGGACUUAGGAGGUCUUGCUUCAGGCCGAUGGGCCAGCUGAUUUUCAGUUUUGAGGGAUGGUGUUGCGGACACUUCACCUUUAUUUUCAGUCUGUACAUAUUGCCUUCGGGCGCUACACUUUUCUUUCCGUCACUGGAGGUUUACUCGUGACGAGGUUAGUACUACAGCGGGGGCUGUUUAUGUAUCAUAUAUUAGUUCUGAUUUUGUUAUUGUUGGGUUUUAUUUAAUUCAGUCUCGUCUUAGUUAUUAUCAAAAAAAAAUAUUCACGUUUUUCCGCAUUAAGUUUACUUUUGGUUACUAAAGUGACGCCACCGAAAUCGGGGUGUUACAUUGUGGUAUCAGAGCACGGUCGAGUCUUUCGGGAGUUGUUGGGGAAUAGGUCUUCUGUGCUAGGUUGUGUGACUCUGCAAAGAGUGAAAAUUGAUUGUCUGCAAGCGAUUUUUCGCUUAAAAAUUGAUUGAAGUUAUUGCUUACUCAUAUUGUAUAGUUAUACUAGAUGCUAUCUUAUGAUGAGUACUAACUGUUUGUUUAACUUAACAGAACAUGGUGAAUACUAAUCAGCUAGCUGAGAUGAUGGCCACUAUGGCCCAAGCGGUAACAGCGCAAGCCCAAGCGGUAACAGCACAGGCAAACGAUAAUGCCAUGAGGCGUGCUACUGAAGAAGCACGUGAACAACAUCAGCGCCAGAGGGAAAUAACUCUGGACCAGAACAAAGGCCUCAAUGACUUCAGGAGGCAAAACCCACCAAAGUUCUCUGGUGGUACUGAUCCAGACGCAGCGGAUCUCUGGAUCCAGGAAAUCGAGAAGAUUUUCGGUGUUCUGCAGACUGUAGAGGGUGCCAAGGUGGGCAUGGCGACUUAUCUUCUGCUGGGAGAUGCUGAAUACUGGUGGAAGGGCACCAGGGGGAUCAUGGAAGCUAACCAUGAAGAAAUUAACUGGAACUCGUUCCGGACCGCAUUCUUGGAAAAGUAUUUUCCGACAAGUGCCCGGGAUGAGAGGGAGGCGCAGUUUUUGACACUCCGUCAGGGAGGUAUGUCUGUACCGGAAUUUGCUUCGAAGCUGGAGUCUUUGGCGAAGCAUUUUCAAUUCUUUAAUGAUCAUGUUGACGAGCGCUACAUGUGCAAGCGCUUCGUGAAUGGACUGAGGCCGGAUAUUGAGGACUCAGUGAGGCCACUAGGAAUCAUGCGAUUCCAAUCAUUGGUGGAGAAAGCCACGGAAGUGGAGCUGAUGAAGAACCGGAGGUUGAACCGGGCUGGAACUGGAGGGCCGAUGAGAUCAGGUUCUCAAAAUUUUCAAGACAAGGGGAAGUUUCAGAGCAGGAAACCAUAUCAGCGUCCUGCUGGAGGAGGGAUUACUUCAGGAUCUUACAGACCCAUGACGGGUACUGCUGGUGGUUCUGGAGAUCGGACUUUGAACAGGGAGGUGACCUGUUUCAGAUGUGAGAAGCCGGGGCACUAUGCUAAUGCUUGUCCCGACAAGAGGCCCAAAUGCUUUAAUUGUAACAGAAUGGGGCAUAAUGCCGAUCAGUGUAGAGCACCCAAGACGGAGCCAACCGUGAACACUGCUCGUGGAAAACGUUCUGCUGCUAAAGCAAGAGUUUACACCAUGGACGGUGAGAGAGCUGAAGGAUUUGUCAGAGGAGAGCGCAAGAACGAUGGUAACCUUCUAACCAAUCUUUCUUAUUUCAGUAUAAUAUUGUUCCAUUUCUCUCGUAACGUGUGCAAACACACCUAUCUUGCUUACAUCGUUUAAGCUUUGACCUUAUAGUUAGUACGCCUAUUAAUACCUUACUUGACCGUAGCUCGUAUUUUAACUAUAGAAGUACACGAGGUUUAGGAUAACAUGCUAAGCCUAGGAAGUAGUCUUCCACCGGUGCGUUUAAACGGAAGUAUAUUGCGGAUCUGACACAUGCUAUCGAGCUGGAUGACAGUAAGUUGAAGGAUGAGAUGACGAGAUGACUAGCUAAAUUCCUUGAAGUAUAGUUAUGAUUGGAUUCCUAGGGGAUAAAUCUCAUUUUAUGCGAAGUGUUAGGGAUUUCAGUAAGUCUGAGUUGGUUUGAGCGAGGAGGGUUUUGAGGACGAAGACGAUAAUAAUGAAUUGUAGAUAUUAAGAUGAAGGUUAGCUUAUAAGUUAUUGAUAAGUUAAUGUUAAAGGGGAUGAGUCUUGUGAUGCACAAGGUAUUAAGACUCAAGUUGAGCAUUCACUCCGGAGCAUAGAGAUGUACCGAGUUUCUAAUCAACAUUUUGGACGAACAAAAGCAAAGGAACGAGUGGUUAAUGUUGUGCAAUUGCAUGAAUGCCAACAAGUAUUACUUCAAACGGAGACUCAACGCAAGUGGUCGAACCGGACAACAUAGAGUUGGAAGAUGAUAUGUCUUUUGAGACGCCGUCGAAUCAACAUUGGGACUAGAAGAGUGAAACAAUCGAAGGGAAAGUAGAGUGCUUUAGUAAGAGUUAUUUGGAACAAAGACACGGACGGUGCUAUAUGGGUAUUAGAAGAAAAGAUCAAGGAAUAAUAUCCAGAACUUUUACGGACCCUUAAGUUUCGAGGACGAAACUUUCUUUUUGGAGGGUAGUAAUGUAAGACCCAAGUUUUUAAGCUUAUGUUAAGUGAAUAAACUUUUUAUUCACGAUUAGGGUUGAUGUAAUGUGAAGGGAAACCUGAACGAAAGUUUAUUAAAUGAAAUAUAUUUAUGAAGGAGAAAGUUCAGGAAAAGUUCAAGGAUUUCAUUAUGAUCGAUAAAAGUUAUAGCACGAACGUUUUACGCUUAAACCUAGGUCAGAAACCCUAGUAUAUAGCUAAUUUUCACUUUUAGGCACGCUGGCAGUUAAUUCCAAAAAUCUUCAGAGAAAUGUUAGAAAUUCUCUUCUUCCAUAUAUAACAAUCGUUUUGAGGCGAAACUCUAGGAUCUACGAACGUCCGAUUCCAAUCAUCGGAAGUUUGCCGAAACCGAAUCCCUGGUAUUUCAAAACCCUAGAAUUUCCCGACUUUGAGGACUUUAUCUAUUCAGAGCUUCAAAUGAAUAUUCCACACGCGUACACCCAUUUCUCUUGAUGAUUUCAAUCUUUCUUCAGAAGGAAGUUUUCCAUUCCGACAUUCGAGGCAAAAAGCAACUUAUCGGGUAAAAUAGUUUUACACCGACUUUGCACCGACUUUGCAUUAGUUGCCAAAAAUACAAGGAGACAUCUUCUUAGCUUGGGAAUUCCUUUGCCAAAACCUAUCUUAGAAUUCAUGGUGAAUGAUGCCGGAAAAAUCGGAUUCGCGGAACUUUCAUUUUCCCGCGAAUUUCCACCUUCUAUAUAUAGCAAACAAAGGAAGAAAAAACACAAUUUUCCUCCAUUUUCUCUCCUCUAAACCGCGGCCAAGAACAAGGAAGAAGGAAGAAGAGUUUUUCUUCAUCGUUUGCUUGAUCGUCGAUCAAUCAGUUGCUACUUCAAGGUUUCGAGGUAUAGUCGCUAAUCCUUACCUCCGAUCGCUUUUUCCAUAGCUUUUCUGUAGAGUUUUCUGAGCGGAUAGUUUAUGGGUUUUUGCAAAACUAUCCUGAAUCUUUCAUUUCUGAUUCUAAACCUCUUCUAUGUAUGCCCAAGAUCACUUCUGCCGGAUUAGAUUUUCCGUUAUGUCGCCGGAAUUCCGCCGGAAUCAAUUUGAACCUAAAAUACCCAUUUUAUGUAGUUUUUGAGUAAAGUUCCAACCUCUAGGCUGAAAACUAUCGCCUUAGCUUAGUGUUAGUAGGAUUAGUUGUCAUAAACGUCGUUAGUAACGUCCCUGCAAAAUUUUAUUUUUGGGAUUUCAGUUUUGAAAAUCCUAAGUUAAAAAUCAUGACCAAAAUACCCCUGCGACAGUUUUUGAUCCGAUAAUUUUUCCGAGUUCAGAAUACCCUUAGUUACGGCUUAUGAAAGCAUAGGAACCAAGUUUGAUCGAAGAAAAAUCGAACCCUACAAUUACCUAUAGUGGCCGAGAGCUAUAAGGGGGGAGGAGGAAAUUUCCUUUUCCGAAAACUUGUCUUUUCGCGCUAGAUUAUCGUACCUUAGAGUAUAGAUUACUUCGAGUAACCUUAGUAAGUAUCGAUAGCUUAGUUUCCGAUAGAUUCUGAUUGAUUUUUGUGGUUUUGUUCUAAAGGUGAUUUUGAGGAAUUUCCUGAGGAUCAACACCUUGCUUGUGAAGAAGAGUUUGAAGUUUUUGCUGGAGAACCUUCAGGUGAGGGCUUCUCACUGAAUCUCUAGUUAAUGCUUAGGGUCGAUAUUUCGACAUUGUUUACUGUUUAUGCACUGAGAUUGUGUGUGAUUGAAAAUGUUUUCUGAGGCUUCGGCUGACAAUGUAGAUGAUUCAUCUACUGAAUGUUUUUGAAGAUUGACUUACAUGCUAUGUGCUAUGUGGGUAAUCUAGGAUGUGUGGUGCAUGCUUUAUAUGCUAAGUGCUAAGUGUUUAUGAUGCGAUUUAUUGAUAUAUGACAUGUUGUUGAUUGUGAUGAUUUAAAUAUGCUUUACACUGAAAAUCUGAGAUUCUGAAUGGUGAGAAUAGCGGGCAGGUCAUGCCGAUUUUAUUUUGAGAGUUUUGAGAAAGUUUGAUAGGACGAACGAGGUUCGGGCCUUGUAUAGGGUUUAUGGAUCGAGACAUUCUCUGGAGUCACUUGGGGAUUCGAAGAUCCCGAGAACUUAUAGGAAUUGCGAUAAGACUAAAAAUGAUAUUAUUUUGAAAAGAAAAUUCAUAAGACAUUAAACAACCUCUAAAUCUUUAAGUAAGGGUAAUAAUCUCGAAAGGAGGCUUUGGAUGAAAAUCAUAGUUUGGAAAACGAGAAGUGUCGUCGGAUCCAAGUGUUGAGUCUGUUGUUGUUGUGCUGUUGGAGCAGCGUUGGUUGUUGUGCUGUUGGAGCAGCGUUGGUUGUUGUGCUGUUGGAGCAGCGUUGGUUGUUGUGCUGUUGGAGCAGCGAUGUUGUUGGGCUAUCCUGGGGAUAAGUCCGGGGAACCGUUAGUUCCCGAGUAUGUGAUACUCUUGUGCUGUUGGAGCAGCGAUGUGUGUUGUGAAGUGUGUCUUUUGUCGCAGAAUCGACUUUACCUUAGGGUAAGCUUUUAGAGACUUUAACUUCCCUAGAACACGUGGCGACGUGUCGAGUGAGGACGGAGACGUUGUUUGACUAAUCAUUUUGCAUACAUGCAACAUUAAUGAGGUAUUAACACAGGACGUACUCUGGACCUCGUCGGUUUCCAAAAUGGUCAUAAGACCCGGAAUGCCGUGAAAGAGCGUUUGUAGACGUCUCUUGUAGCAGACCGAAAUGGCAGACCUACGGGUUACGGCUGAUCUGGCUACCUUGGUUUGGUGUAAGAGACACGCGGGCGGAAAUGGUCCCACCGUUGCUGGUGCUAGGAUUGAUCCGUUGAUGUCCAUCCCAGAGGCACGCGAGCGGAAAUGGUCCCACCGUUGCUGGUGCUAGGAUUGACUCGUUGUUGUCCAUACCUUUGCUUGGUGUAAGAGGCACGCGGGCAGAAAUGGUCCCACCGUUGCUGGUGCUAGGAUUGAUCCGUUUUGAUGCCCAUCCGUUUCCGGAUUGCAUAUUGGUUGACUGGGUUAACCUGCAUACAUAUCACGCAACAUGCAUACUGACUUAGUUGAUGAGUGUGGUUGCUAUUUGAUAAACUUACUUGGAACAUGCUAAAUGUUAUUAUUGUCAUUAUGAUUUGGUGGAACAUGCAACCCUAGGAAUGAUAUCUCUAGUUAUAAGCCUAAGUGGCUAUAUAUUAUUUGUACCUAUUGGGUUUAUUAUCUACAUAGUUCUUUAGAGUUGACCCUCGCGUCUUCUGUGUGUGUUUUGGCGGACAACGCCUUUUGUCAGAUGAGUAUUGCGGACUGGUUCACCAUGGUUUACCCUUCGGGGGAAACUAGGUUGGGAUGCUGGAACAGGAGCGCGUCCCGGUAGCGAGAGGAUGACGGAUGGUGUACAUAGACUAGGUCGUUCUGGAUUUCGAAUUCGGACGACGAUCAUGCUAGCAUGUAGGUUUUGGUGCUGGUGUGAGCUCCUCAAGAUGGGAUUAGUGUAGGAGUAGAGUCUUAGCUCUGAACAUCAUUUGUUUCUUUUGGGACAGGGUAGUUUCCCACCUAUAGCUUUUGUGUGGUUUCUUAACAGGAAUCACAGAGAGUUGGUUGGACUUAGGAGGUCUUGCUUCAGGCCGAUGGGCCAGCUGAUUUUCAGUUUUGAGGGAUGGUGUUGCGGACACUUCACCUUUAUUUUCAGUCUGUACAUAUUGCCUUCGGGCGCUACACUUUUCUUUCCGUCACUGGAGGUUUACUCGUGACGAGGUUAGUACUACAGCGGGGGCUGUUUAUGUAUCAUAUAUUAGUUCUGAUUUUGUUAUUGUUGGGUUUUAUUUAAUUCAGUCUCGUCUUAGUUAUUAUCAAAAAAAAAUAUUCACGUUUUUCCGCAUUAAGUUUACUUUUGGUUACUAAAGUGACGCCACCGAAAUCGGGGUGUUACAGUUUACUGUUUAUGCACUGAGAUUGUGUGUGAUUGAAAAUGUUUUCUGAGGCUUCGGCUGACAAUGUAGAUGAUUCAUCUACUGAAUGUUUUUGAAGAUUGACUUACAUGCUAUGUGCUAUGUGGGUAAUCUAGGAUGUGUGGUGCAUGCUUUAUUGAGAAAGUUGAGGGGCUUCGAGUAUGUAGAUGUUGUGGUGCUGUUGGAGCAGCGUUUGUUGUUGUGCUGUUGGAGCAGCUAUUGUGGUUGUGCUGUUGGAGCAGCUAUGUUGUUGGGCGUAUCUUCGACUUUGCGGCGCGAAUCCGUAUGUCCAAACCCGACGGUUUGGGCCGAUUCGGCAAUAAUUGUUGACACGCGCGAAUCCGUAUAUUCAAUCCGAUGGAUUGGAUCGAUUCGGCGGUAGUCACUCAGGCUCGCGUGAAUUCGUAUGUUCAAUCCGAGGGAUUGGAUCGAUUCAGCGACAACUUUUCGACACGCGCGAAUCCGUAUAUUCAAUCCGAUGGAUUGGAUCGAUUCGGCGGUAGUCACUCAGGCUCGCGUGAAUCCGUAUGUUCAAUCCGAGGGAUUGGAUCGAUUCAGCGACAAUUUUUCGACACGCGCGAAUCCGUAUAUUCAAUCCGAUGGAUUGGAUCGAUUCGGCGGUAGUCACUCAGGCUCGCGUGAAUCCGUAUGUUCAAUCCGAGGGAUUGGAUCGAUUCAGCGACAACUUUUCGACACGCGCGAAUCCGUAUAUUCAAUCCGAUGGAUUGGAUCGAUUCGGCGGUAGUCACUCAGGCUCGCGUGAAUCCGUAUGUUCAAUCCGAGGGAUUGGAUCGAUUCAGCGACAACUUUUCGACACGCGCGAAUCCGUAUAUUCAAUCCGAUGGAUUGGAUCGAUUCGGCGGUAGUCACUCAGGCACGCGUGAAUCCGUAUGUUCAAUCCGAGGGAUUGGAUCGAUUCAGCGAUAACCUUUCGACUCGCGCGGAUCCGUAUGUUCAAUCCGAUGGAUUGGAUCGAUUCGGCGAUAGUCAUUGGACACGCGCAAUGUCCGUAUGUUCGACUCUUUUGAGUGAACCGACUUGGCGUUGUCAUUUGUUGCGUGUGCGAGUCCGUAUGUUCAACCCAGGGGGUUGGAUCGACUUGACAUGCCUAAUUGUUGGGCUAUCCUGGGGAUAAGUCCGGGAAACCGGGAGUUUCCGAGUAUGUGAUACUCUUUGCUUGUUGAGCAGUUGUGACCAUCGAAUUGAGAUGAGUCGGAUGAUCCGGAGAUCAUCAUGAGUUACUAUGUGGAUGUGAAGAAGUGUCUUUUGUCGCAGAAUCGACUUUACCUUAGGGUAAGCUUUUAGAGACUUUAAUUUACCUAGAACACGUGGCGACGUGACGAGUGAGAGUCGGAGACGUUGUUUGACUAAUCAUCCUGCAUUCAUGCAUACUGAUUUAGUUGUCGAGUGUGAUUGUUAAUUGUUAAUCCUAUUUGGAACAUGUUAAUUGUUAUUAUUGCUGUUAAGUUCAUUAUGGAAAAUGCAACCCUAGGAUGUUAUCCCUAGCUAUAAGCCUAAGUGGCUAUUCUCUUAUCUAUAUCUAUUGGUGCUAUUAUUUAUGUAAUUCUUUGGAGUUGACCCUCGCGUCUUCUGUGUGUGCUUUGGCGGACAAACGCCCUUUGUGAGAUGUCUUUGGCGGACUGGUUCACGACGGUUCACCCUUCGGGGGAAACUAGAGUUGGGAUGCUGGAACAGGAGCGCAUCGCGAUAGCGAGCGGAGGACGGAUGGUGUACAUAGACUAGGUCGUUCUGAAUUCAGGUUCGGGCGACGAUCAUGCUAGCAUGUAGGUUUUAGUGCUGGUGUGAGCUCCUCGAGAUGGGAUUAUUGUAGGAGUAGAGUCUUAGCUCUGGACGUCAUUUGUUUUCUUUGGGGACAGGGUAGUUUCCCACCUAUAGCUUUUUGUGUGGUUCUUUACGGGAAUCACAGAGAGUUGGUUGGACUUAGGAGGUCUUGCUUCAGGCCGAUGGGCCAGCCUAUUCUCAGUUUUGAGGGAUGGUGUUGCGGACACUUGACCUUUCUUUUGGAUUAUACCUUUUGCCUACGGGCGUUCUUUUCUACUACUUUCCGUCACUGGAGGUUACUCGUGACGAGGUUGGGUACUUACAGCGGGGGGGUUGUAAAUAUAUAUUGGAUAAUAGUUUUAUUGCUUAUCGCAUUUGGGUUUUAUUUAAUUCAGUCUUGUCUUAGUUAUUAUCAAAAAACAAAUAUUUAUGUUUUUCCGCAUUAAGUUUACUUUUGGUUACUAAAGUGACGCCACCGAAAUCGGGGUGUUACAGGUGGAUUCCAAAAUGGUCAUAAGACCCGGAUUUCCAUAAAAGAACACUACGGUGAUUCUUAGUAGCAGACGGAAAUGGCAGACCUUCGGGUUCACUAAUGAUCUGACUACACUUUGUGUGGUGUAAGAGACACGCGAGCGAAAAUGGUCCCACCGUUGCUGGUGUAAGACCCAAGUUUUUAAGCUUAGAAUAAGUGGAAGAGAUUUCCAUUUACGAUUAGGCUUGACGUAUCGUGAAGGAAAAACCUGAACAAGAGUUUAUCGAAUGAAAUAAAUUUAUGAAGGAGAAAGUUCAGGAAAAGUCUAAGGAUUGUAUCCGAAUCGGUAAAAGGUAUAGCACGAUCGAUUCACUUAAGCCUAGGACAAGAACCUUAGGAAAAGACUAAGUUCCACCCUUGGAACACUGUAGGAAUUUAUUCCAAAAAAAACUUCAGAGAAAUGUUAGAACUUCUGUUUUUCCAUAUAUCACAAUCGUUUCGAGGCGAAACUCUAGAAUCUACGAACGUCCGAUUCCAAUCAUCGGAAGUUUGCCGAAACCAAAACCGCUGAUUCAAGAUGGUUCGUCGUUCGGGGAGGAUCCUAAGCACAAUGACUGCUACUGAGCCUUCGACGUGGACCCGGACUUCAUGCAUGAUUGGAUGAGGGUCGAUGUUAGGAGUGUAUUAUAUGGGGGGAUUGUUUUCACAACUCUGAUUGUCAUUUCCCAUUUGGGGCUGACUUAUCUUCUUGAAAACUGUAUUCAUAAAACUCAUGGCUCUGACCAUGGGAUGAACUUAUUCGCCUGCGGGCACUAUCUCCAAUCACUUUAUGUUUAUUAUCUUUGGGUUGAGUCUUCAUUAUGUUAAGUCUUAUAUUUGAAAAGAAAACGAAAAAAAAAUAUUUACGCAUUUUCCGCACUAUUGAUUUAAAGUCACUAAAGUGGCACCACCGAAAUCGGGGUGUUACAUUGUGGUAUCAGAGCUUAUCGAGUCUUUCGGGAGUCUUUGGGGAAUUGGUCUUCUGUGCUAGGUUGUGUGACUCUGCAAAGAGUAAAAAAAAUUGAUUGUCUGCCAAGCGAUUUUUCGCUUAGAAUUGAUUGAAGUUAGUGCUUAAUCAUAUUGUAUAGCAUGUUAGACGCUAUCUUAUGAUGAGUACUAACUGUUUGAUUGACUUAACAGAACCUAGAUGUUAUCCUAGGGAUGGAUUGGUUGUCUCACUAUCAUUGUCUUUUGGACGAACAAAAGCAAAGGAGCAAGUGGUCGAACCGGACAACAUAGAGCUGGAAGAUGAAAGGUCUUUUGAGACGCCGUCGAACCAGCAUUGGGGCUAGAAGAGUGAAACAAUCGAAGAGAAAGCAGAGUGUUUUAGUGAAAGUUAUUUAGAACAAAGACACGGACGGUGCUAUAUGGGUAAUAGAGGAGAAGAUCAAGGAAUAAUAUCCAGAACUUUUUACUGAUCCUUAAGUUUCGAGGACGAAACUUUCUUUUUGGAGGGUAGUAAUGUAAGACCCAAGUUUUUAAGCUUAGAAUAAGUGGAAGAGAUUUCCAUUUACGAUUAGGCUUGACGUAUCGUGAAGGAAAAACCUGAACAAGAGUUUAUCGAAUGAAAUAAAUUUAUGAAGGAGAAAGUUCAGGAAAAGUCUAAGGAUUGUAUCCGAAUCGAUAAAAGGUAUAGCACGAUCGAUUCACUUAAGCCUAGGACAAGAACCUUAGGAAAAGACUAAGUUCCACCCUUGGAACACUGUAGGAAUUUAUUCCAAAAAAAACUUCAGAGAAAUGUUAGAACUUCUCUUUUUCCAUAUAUCACAAUCGUUUCGAGGCGAAACUCUAGAAUCUACGAACGUCCGAUUCCAAUCAUCGGAAGUUUGCCGAAACCAAAACCGCUGAUUCAAGAUGGUUCGUCGUUCGGGGAGGAUCCUGAGCACAAUGACUGCUACUGAGCCUUCGACGUGGACCCGGACUUCAUGCAUGAUCGGAUGAGGGUCGAUGUUAGGAGUGUAUUAUAUGGGGGGAUUGUUUUCACAACUCUGAUUGUCAUUUCCCAUUUGGGGCUGACUUAUCUUCUUGAAAACUGUAUUCAUAAAACUCAUGGCUCUGACCAUGGGAUGAACUUAUUCGCCUGCGGGCACUAUCUCCAAUCACUUUAUGUUUAUUAUCUUUGGGUUGAGUCUUCAUUAUGUUAAGUCUUAUAUUUGAAAAGAAAACGAAAAAAAAAUAUUUACGCAUUUUCCGCACUAUUGAUUUAAAGUCACUAAAGUGGCACCACCGAAAUCGGGGUGUUACAGCUGGUGCUAGGAUUGACUCGUUAGUGCCCAUCCGUUCCGGAAUGCAUUUGUUAACCAGCAUUGCAUUUCAUGCAACAUGCAUACUGACUUAGUUGCUGAGUGUGAUUGAUAAUUGUUAAUCUUAUCUGAUGCAUGUUAAUGGUUAUUACUGUCUUUUAUAUUCAUUGUGAAAUAUACAACCCUAGGAUGCUAUCUCUAACUUAUAAGCCUAAGUAGCUAUCUCUAUCUGUAUCUAUUGGAUUUAUUAUUUACGUAAUUCUUUGGAGUUGACCCUCGCGUCUUCUGUGUGUGCUUUGGCGGACUACGCCUUUUGUCAGAUGUCCAUGGCGGACUGAUUCACGAUGGUUCAUCCUUCGGGGGGAACUAGGUUUGAGGCCAGCACCGGAGCGGAUCGCGAUAGCGAGAGGAGAACGGAUGGUGUACAUAGACUAGGUCGUUCUGGAUUCAGAUUCGGACGACGAUCAAGCUAGCAUGUAGGUUUUAGUGCUGGUGUGAGCUCCUCGAGAUGAGAUUAGUGUAGGAGUAGAGUCUUAGCUCUGACCGUUAUGUUUUCUUUUGGGAACAGGGUAGUUUCCCGCCGAUAGCUUUUUGUGUGGUUUCUUUACGGGAAUCACAGAGAGUUGGUUGGACUUAGGAGGUCUUGUUUUAGGCCGAUGGGCCAGCUUAUUCUCAUUUUUGAGGGAUAGUGUUGCGAACACUUGACCUUUCUUUUGGUUUGUACUUCUUGCCUACGGGCGUUCCUUUCUACUACUUUCCGUCACUGGAGGUUACUCGUGACGAGGUUGGGUACUUACAGCGGGGGCUGUAAUUUAUAUUGUAUAUUAGUUCUAGUAUCUUUUGUCGUCUAGUUUUAUUUCUUUCAGUCUUUGGUUCCAUUAUCAAAAAAAAAAAUAUUCACGUUUUUCCGCAUUAAAUUUAUUUUUGUUACUAAAGUGACGCCACCGAAAUCGGGGUGUUACAUAUAACGUAUGUGUGUAUUAUAUAAUUUUUUAAUCUAUUAUAGUUUAGAAAAAAUAAUUUGAAGAAACAUAAUAGAUUAAAAUAAUUAUAACUAAAGUUGACUAAAUUUAAAUUUACUAAAUAAUAUUUUACGAUAUUAAAAUUAGAAAGACAUUAGCGGGUUAUACCAACAUUAACCAAAUUCAUCCAAUCCGUGUCAAACUAGAAUUUUAGUCAUUGUAGUGUUUCUUCAGUUUGUUAUAAGAAAAACAGUUUAAUGGAUAUGCACUGUGAGUUAGGCCUAGCCAGAACACCGACCGAACCCGGCGGUUCGGUUUGGUUUGGUUUGGUUCGCGGGUGGUUCGGGUGCAAAAAACCGGAUUUAGGUGGUUUGGUCUGGUCAGUUUCGGUUUGAACUCCAGACCAACCGAACCAGGUCUGAGAAAAAAACCAGCCCAGCCCAAUACUAACCUUAGUCUUUUUAGCCCAACCCACUAUAAAUACCCUCUCUUAACCCUCAACCUCUCAACUUCCAAACCCUAGUUGUCUCUCUCAACCUCUCAUGACUUUCAACCUCUAGUGUCUCUCUCAAUCUCUCAUCACUCUCAACCCUAAACCUAGCCGCCACACUCUCCCAACCUUCUUCUCUGAAUGCCUCCUGUAAGACCAAGAUUUGGUCAGGUUGUACAACUCUAUGUUUUAAUGAUAACAAGUUUAUUAUUAUGUAUGAACAAUUAUGAUACUCUAACGUUUGUCUCUUUAAGUUGUGACAAACAGGCUAUGACUCUGAUUCAAAGACGCUAUACUAAUCAGAAGUUGAAGACCAAGAGUAACCAGCACAACGCUUCUGCACAUAACUACGUUCUUCUGAAUGGUAGAAAACGCUUCAGAUCCUCUGAAAAUUAUAAGCUCUGAUGAGGACUUUGAACAUUCCAAGCUCUGAAGUUCUGAAGACCAGAUGUUCUGAGGAACGAUCCAGAAGCUGAAGACUCGGAAGCUCUAAAGUCCAAGAGUAAGCUGGCUCUCAAGACCAGAAGCACUUCAUGCUCUGAAGGCCAGAUGUUCUGAUGAACGGUCCAGAAGUAGAAGUUCUGAUGAUCUGAAGAUCCAAGCUUCGCUCUGACUCUGAUCACACGAGCUUCACAAGUUCCAACAUGAAGCGACGCCCAAGAUCAAGAGUCAACUAGGCUAAGGCAUUGUCACUGUCAUUCGUACAAAAGCUAAUGUACUAUUCUGACUGCCUCACCUACGACGAUCAGCCACAGCAGGCUCUGGAAAUUCUAGAACUGCCCUCCAACGGACAGAUUCAUCCAACGGAUACACAUUCUUUACCUUAGAGUAUUUAAAGGCUGAAGACUGAAGAAAUCAACUAAGAAACUUUGCACAUCCAAGUGAAAUACUCUCAGCGAAUAUCUUAGCAAUAUUUCUUCUUUGCUCUUAGUGUGUUUACUUCUGCUUAUUAAGAAGCAUUUCUUUGUAAACUGAACUCUUUCACAAACUUUGUUUGUAGAUUCCUUGAGAGACCAGUGAGGUCAGAAUUCUUGAGAAGACUAAGGCAAGGUUGUCUUAGUGCUGCUAGUUCAUUGUAUUGUUAGUCACUGAGCAGGUUGCUAGUGCAGUUGUAACAAUCAUUGAAUAGUGAAUUGCCUUCAUUCUAAGAAGGAAGAAAUCACCUUAACGGGUGGACUGGAUUAGCUUGAGGGAUUUAUCGAGUGAAUCAGGAUAAAAUCAUUGUGUGCUUUUCUCUUUCCCUUACCUCUUACAUCUUGUGAUCUUUAGUCCGAAAAGAUUAUCUUGAAAUCUUAGAGGGGAAAUUCAAAAAGCUCCAAACCCUAUUCAAACCCCCCCCCCCUUUCUAGUGUUUUUCAUACCUUCACCUCCGUCCAUCGCACCACCACCUCCUUCUCAUUCUCUUCGAUCCAGUGCCAUCACCACGAUCCAGCGAUGCAAAACCUUUUCCUUCUCUGAGGUCCAGAUCCGCCAACACCCUCGCACCACCAUCGUGCCAUCAAAUACCGCUGCACCAUCACCUUAGAUCUAGGUUCUUCCAUCUGUUUUCCUUUUUUGUUGUAAAAAUAUCUGCUAAAUGAUGAUUUAAGAUCAGAUCUGUUAAUUUUUUUUUCAAUCUUCAUCUCCUGUUUUGGAUUUUUCUCAAUCUUUUCAGCUUUGCAGGUGUUGUGAUUGUCUGCAUUUUAUCUAAGUGUGUUUUAUAACAACAUGUCGGACACGAUGUUGUAACAUCUUGACUAUGACAUUUGUCCCUCCGAAUCUGUUGUGAGUUGGCUAAGUAAUCUGUGAAGCUUUGUAUUGAUUACGUGGUAUUUAAGUUAGGGUUUUGAUGGAAGCUUAUGUGCGCCGUUCAAGGAAUAUAUCAAGGGUGAUCAAAUCAGUUUCAAGGGAUUUGAUCUGAGAUAUUUGUGGAAGUUUUUAUCUGCAACUAAAACGCAUCUUUGGAGAUUUUCUGCAGAUUUGUUUUAUUUACAACUUCCUGUUUUAGUGUGGACUAUUGUGCUCGCUCAAGCCCAUUGAAGACAAGCCUGGUCGACUACUACUGAUGGAGACAAAAACCUAGUUGCUAGGUGUGCUUCGUGUUGAGUGAAUUAGGUUUACUCUUGUUAGUUCACACUUGUGAUUUUUCUCUCAGCAGCUUUAUGUUAUUGUUCUAAACUGAGAGUUGUUUUGUGAGUUGUUUGAUCUUGAGAUCGUCUUCACUCUUGUUAAAAGAGUUCAAUCAUCAUGGCAGUGAUUGUGUGUGAGAAAGUGAAAGGGGCUCUCAUACUUAGGGGGGACUAAGUAAUAAGCCACGGGUAGAGAUAGGUAGAAAAGGCACUGAACUGGGGCAGUUCAAUUAAGACCUUUUGUGUACAAUUUCUCUAUUUUAUGAGAACAAAUAUAUUAUAUUAAUAACAAAGAUAGAUCAUGAGAACAAUCCUCUCAUGUAGAUUGAAUGACAAAGUUAUACCAAUAAAAACAUUCACCCCAAGCCCAAGCUUAAAUAACAAUGAGCCUAACCACCCCUUGAACUAUUUUGGUGUAGAAGACAGCUAUGCACAGCCUCAUUAAAACCCCAUUGGGAAAAACCCAGUGGGAAAAACCCAUUGGGAAAAAGCCAACACCAAAAAUAGACACUAAUAAUGAACUUUGAAUUCACAUCAGAUCUUGAUACACAGUAGCAAAAGAAGCUAGAACAGAAACCAUAUAGGAAUUAAUCCAAGCUGUUGCAUAUAUUCAUUCCUUUGACAGAACUUCCUCUUCAUGCCUUCUUUAAUAUACCCACCAAGGACCAUGACACGAAGCCAAAAAUAUUCCAUGAACCUCAGACAUAAACCAUUGUACAGACCGCAACUCUUUCAUAUUUCCAUAGAAAACCAGAGUUUUCCCCAGCCAAAAAACAGAUGAGCAACGACUCUUUUAGCCAAUUUAUCUGCAAUAGAAACUAAAAGCACACCAAAGCUCAACCAAGACCUUCAUUCUUUUUUACCCUUGGCGAACAAUAAGCUCAAUCCCUCACCAAUUGGUCCAUAACCUCCUGGAGCUCUCUCACAAGGCUGGUGACUCUAUCAGAUAUAGCAAUAGCACUCCUCCCCUUCCAACGCUAAAUUUUCUUAUACAAUGAUUUCAGUUUCUCAUGGAACGUGCCUCCUGCCCCACCUACCACCAAGAAGAAAGCCAUCAGGAUUUACCAAGGAGUUAAAAUCAUCAUCCAACAUCCAGCAGUGGUAAAACCUGAAAGGAUUUGGACCAAAGUCCACUGAACCCAUGGCCAGAGAUACAGCUCUGUGUUCAGAUAACCCCCAACUCUCCGCAUAUUGAUUCACCUCGUCAAGUUCACGAAGUAUCUCUUCACAGAUCAACCAUCGGCCUAACCGGCUCCAAAUGACAUCUUGUCUCGAUUUAAACCAUGUGAACUCAAUAUUUUCUAAAGGAAAGUCUAUUAGGUUCAACCCCAAAGUAAAAUCACACAAAUUGUGAUCAACAACCCCCAUCCAAGCCCCAACCUCUGAUCCUAAAUUACAUUUGUUACAGUAAUAUAAACAAGGUCCCAGCAAGAUAGUGAGCCCCCUGCAUAACCUUCCACCAAAACCUCAACGAAACUGAGAUUGAAAGAUUUAUCAAAAAGAUCCCCAAUUCCUCCUUUGUUAACUCCAAGCUUAGUCUCUUGAGUCAAGAUUACCUCAACUUUCCCUUCCAUAAUGCGACUUCCACAGCUUUACGUUUCUCAGCACUACCCAACCCCCUAGCAUUCCAAGAAACCCUCCUCCGUGGACGACCCAUUCAAUCAUCCAGUACAGGUUGGUCCUCUUCCAGUUAUUUUGCUAACCCUUUAAUAGCUUCUUCGCCGCUGCCGGGAAAAACUAGCCCAACGGAUUUUCCCAGGAUCCAAGCCUUUGUGGCUCUAGUAAAAUAUUUGUCAGAGCCACUCCUUGUAGCUGUUGCUUGCAAUUCUGCAAAGCCAAGGUCAAUUCCCCCAAACCCCUCCGAGAUUUCCCUAAGGAUGGAGGGACCAACUUUAGAUUUUGGUUUUCUACCCAUUUUCUUCUUGACCUGUCCCGGUUUAGCACAAUCCAGCUCCAAACACUCCAGAGAUUUGAGUUUCGAGGUCUGGCUAACACCUUGCUUUGCCCUUUUCAACCCUUCCUCGUCAUCGAGCACACUCGAUUAAUAGUGGAUUAUCUUUCUCGGGUGAAAACCCUCCAGACGUAGGUGACAUUGCACCGAACUGGGUUAACAAUCUUCUGUGUCUUGUUUGUUAUUUUUGUUCUUAAACUUGCUUAUCUGAACAUUAUAUUUUGUGUUAUGAUAUACAAGAUGUCAUGGACAUCUGGUAGAACAUCUAUCCGCGUGUGUCAGAAUUUCAAUUGGCAUCAGAGCAGGCACCCUGUUCUGGUUGGGUGAGCUCCAGGGAAAUACUAUUAUGGUAAGAUGGACAACGAAAAAGAUGUGGGAUCGAUUCAUAGGCCACCUAUACUUUAUGGGACUAAUUAUGACUAUUGGAAGGCACGCAUGGUUGCUUUUCUCAUAUCAAUUGAUGGCAAGACCUACAAGUCAUUUCUCAAAGGAUGGAAGCACCCUGUCAAGACUACUCAAGAAGGAACCUUAACCACUGAACUGAAACCAGAAGAAGACUGGAAUAAGGAGGAAGAUGAAGAAGUUGUUGCUAAUUCAAAGGUUGUCAAUGCUAUCUUUAAUGGCGUUGAUAAGAAUAUGUUCAGACUAAUUCACGCUUGUAUUGUUGCCAAAGAUGCUUGGGAAAUCCUCAAGGUUGCUCAUGAGGGUACUGCUAGAGUUCGCAUGUCAAUACUUCAACUAUUAACUACUCAUUUGAGAACCUCAGGAUGAAGGAGGAUGAAACUAUCUCUGAGUUUCACAUGUGUGUACGUGACAUGGAAAAUGCAUCCUUUGCCUUAGGAGAACAUAUGUCAGAGGAAAAACUCAGCCUAAGAAAUUUGACAUGAAAGUCACAGCUAUUGAGGAGGCACAGGACAUCAGUAGCAUCAAGGUGGAUGAACUUAUUCGCUCGCUACAAACAUUUGAAAUGUCUUUCAAUGAUAGAACAGAGAAGAAGAGCAAGAGUAUAACAUUUGUGUCCAACACUGAUGAGAAUUAUCAAAGUGAGAAAGACACUGAGGAGAAUUUGACAGAGGCUUUAGCACUGCUUGGGAGAAAAUUCAACAAAGUCAUGAGGAGGUUUGAUAGAAGACCUAGGCCAAAUGGUUUAGACAAGCGGUCAGACAUUGCCAAGAACUCUGGAUAGGCUCACAAGAAUAAGGAGGAAGACAAAUCUAACAAAAGCAAAGGAUUUCAAUGCCAUGAAUGUGAAGGUUAUGGUCAUAUCAAAGCUGAAUGUGAAACUUAUCUGAAGAAGCAAAGGAAAGGAAUGUUGGCAACUUGGUCAGAUGAUGAUGAUUCUGAAGAUGAAGACGAGAGUCAAGUACUGGGUUUGACAGUAAAAUGCCAUUCUAACAGUGAGUCUAGUGAUGAAGAAAUUUCAGAGGAAGAACUUGCUGAAACCUACAAGUUACUUUUCAAGAAAUGGCAAGAAGCUUGUGACUAUGCAAAGAAGCUGGAAGGAACUGCCAAGGGACUUCAGAAGGAAAAACAAAGUUUCAAGACAUCAAUGACAACCUUCAAGAGGAAUUAUCAGUGAUGAAAUCCAGACUUGAAGGGAUGGUAAAAUCAGUACGUAUGCUGAACAAGGGCACUGAUACGUUUGACCAGAUUCUGAAAUCAGGAAAAACAGCCAAAGAUAUGAAGGGUCUGGGAUAUGAGAGUGACACCACACCAGAAGAAACCAAAAAGGCUACUCCUAAGUUUGUUGCUGCUGAAAAGAAAAGUGAAUUCAAGAUGUCGGACAACAUGUGUACCCACAAAUACCCUAUGUGUAUCCACAGGUUCAGAAGGCAAAAAGCACUAGCUGGAAAUGUCAUCAUUGUGGUAGAUAUAUAUGGACACAUAAGACCUUAUUGCUACAGGUUGUCUGGAUUUCCAAAAGGAAAAUCUUCUCAGUUAAUAACUCAUGAAGCAAGAAAGAAAGAGUGGAAGGUUAAAAGCAACAUGUCUACUUUAUUUGCUUACACCUCUCUAAGAGUAUCCUCUAAAGAGGAUUGAUAUUUUGACAGUGGUUGUUUAAGACACAUGACUGGAGUGAAGAGCUAUCUUGGUGACAUGAAGCCUCACUCUACCAGUUAUGUUACCUUUGGUGAUGAUGCUAAAGGAAAAAUAAAGGGAUCUGGAAAACUUGUCAGUAGUGGAUCUCCUGAGUUGAAUGAUGUGUUCCUAGUUAAAGGUUUAGCAGCCAACCUGAUCAGUAUAAGUCAGCUAUGUGAUUUAGAUCUCGAUGUUACCUUUUGUAAAACUGGUUGCAAAGUAUCUGAUGAGAAUGGUGAAGUGAUAAUGAGAGGAGCUAGAUCAAAGGAUAAUUGUUAUAUGUGGAUCUCUCAGUAUAAAUCCAUGUCUUCAAGAUGCUUGGUAACCAAGGAAGAGGAAGUUAAAAUGUGGCACCAAAAACUUGGGCAUCUGAAUCUCAAGAUCAUGAAGAAGUUCAUCUCCAACGAAGCUAUCAGAGGACUACCCAAACUAAAAAUAGAAGAAGGGAGAAUAUGUGGAGAAUGUCAGGUUGGAAAGCAAACCAAGGUUUCACAUAAGAAGUUACAACUUGUGGCUACAAACAGGAUUUUGGAACUUCUUCACAUGGAUCUCAUGGGACCAAUGCAGGUAGAAAGCAUUGGAGGAAAAAGGUAUGCUUUUGUUUGUGUAGAUGAUUUCUCUAGAUAUACCUGGGGAAAGUUUAUUGCAGAAAAAUCAGACACAUUUGAUGUGUUCAAGGAACUAAGUCAACAACUUCAGAGGGAGAAGGGAUCUAGAAUUGUGAGAAUUCGUAGUGAUCAUGGCAAAGAGUUUAAAAACAGCAGGUUUUCAGAUUAUUGCACUGAGAAUUCGUAGUGAUCAUGGCAAAGAGUUUAAAAACAGCAAAUCGUGUUACCAUCAAAUUUGGAACUACAUCAAAUCAGUAUGAGUUGUGGAAAGGAAGAAAGCCAACUGUGAAUUACUUCCAUGUCUUUGGUAGUAAAUGUUACAUUCUAGUUGAUCGUGAGCAGAGAAGGAAAAUGGAUCCAAAGAGUGAUGAAGAUAUUUUUCUGGGGUAUUCUACAAACAACAAAGCUUAUAGAGUAUACAACUCUCGUACCAAGAUAUUGAUGGAAUCUAUAAAUGUUGUAGUUGAAGACAACCUAGAAGACAUGAAAAUUGCAGAGGAGAUUGUUGAUGAUCCUUUACCUCAGUCAGAUGUUGACAGACCAAAUGUCUCAGACAUCUGGUCAGACAAUGAAUCUGAAGAAGAAAAUGAAAGCUUGACUCCUCAGAAUAAAGGACCCUCUAUUCGAAUACAGAAGAUUCAUCCUAGGGAAAACAUCAUAGGGGAUCUGAAUGAAGGUGUCAUUACUAGAUCCAGAGAAGUCAUCUCCAAUGGGUGUUGCAUUUCGAAAAUUGAUCCCAAGAACAUCAAGGAGGCUUUGACAGAUGAUUAGUGGAUAAAUGCUAUGCAAGAGGAAUUAGCUCAAUACAAGAGGAAUGAGGUUUGGAACUUAAUUCCUAGGCCUGAUGGGGUAAAUGUCAUAGGUACCAAGUGGAUUUUCAAGAACAAAUCUGAUGAGAAUGAUACUAUUACCAGAAAUAAGGCCAGAUUGGUAGCUCAGGGAUACACUCAGAUUGAAGGAGUGGACUUUGAUGAAACUUUUGCUCCAGUGGCUAGACUGGAAUCAAUCAGACUUUUGUUGGGAGUAGCAUGCCUAUUGAAGUUCAGACUGUUUCAAAUGGAUGUUAAAAGGGAUUUCUUGAAUGGGUAUCUGAAUGAAGAAGUGUACGUUGAACAACCAAAAGGUUACAUUGAUUCAACCUAUCCAGAACAUGUGUACAAGUUGAAGAAGGCUCUCUAUGGAUUGAAGCAAGCACCAAGGGCAUGGUAUGAAAGACUCACUGAAUUCUUGACAAAUAAUGGGUACAACAAAGGUGGAAUUGAUAAGACUUUAUUUGUGAAGAAUGUCAAAUGAAAGCUGAUGAUUGCUCAAAUAUAUGUUAAUGACAUUGUUUUUUGAGGGAUGUCAUACCACAUCGUAGAAAAUUUUGUCAAUCAAAUGAAGUUUGAGUUUGAGAUGAGCAUGGUUGGUGAACUGAACUACUUCUUAAGGCUACAAGUGAAGCCGAUGGAGGACUCAAUUUUUAUCUCUCAGAGCAAGUAUGCAAAAAAGUUAGUAAAAAAGUUUAGUCUUGAAAGCGCAGCACACAAAAGAACUCCUGCAUCAACUCAUAUCAAACUGACUAAAGAUGAGAGUGGAGCUGAUGUUGAUGAAAGCAUAUACAGAAGUAUGAUUGGCAGUCUGCUAUAUCUCACUACUAGUAGACCAGACAUUGCUUUUUCAGUUGGUGUGUGUGCUAGGUAUCAAGCUGCACCUAAGGAGAGUCAUCUCACUCAAGUAAAGAGGAUUAUAAAGUAUAUCAGUGGAACUAUUGACUACGGUAUCUUUUAUGCUCACAACACUAAUUCAAGUUUAAUAAGAUAUUGUGAUGCAGAUUGGGCAGGAAAUGCAGAUGAUAGAAAAAUCACUUCAAGAGGAUGUUUCUUUCUUGGGAAUAAUCUCAUAUAUUGGUUCAGCAAAAAGAAAAAUUUUGUUUCAUUAUCCACUGUUGAAGCUGAAUAUAUAGCUGCUGGAAGUGGAUGUACUCAACUAUUAUGGAUGAAGCAUAUGUUGAAAGAAUACAAUGUCGAACAAGAUGUCAUGACAUUGUACUGUGACAACAUGAGUGCUAUCAACAUUUCAAAAAAUCCAAUCCAACAUAGCAGAACCAAGCAUAUUGACAUUUGUCAUCACUUUAUUAGAGAUUUAGUUGAAGAGAAAAUAAUCAUUUUUGAGCAUGUGGAACCUGAGUUGUAGUUAGCAAAUAUUUUCAACAAGACAUUGGAUGUGGCUAAAUUUGAGAAUUUAAGAGGAAAAUUAGGGAUUUGCGUAAUAACUGACUUAUAGCAGUUAUUGACACAUGUCAAGGGCAACGACUAUAUUUCCUUCUAUUUAAUCUCCCUUGAUCGCUUGUUGGAAGUUAUCUAUUCUCAUUUCCUUGAUCGUGCAAAUUGAGAUUACUCUCUCUCGCUCAAAUCUCUAACCUCAAACGGUUAUCUUCAAACUUCUUUUAAUUUCUCCUACAUCAUGUCUCAAGAAUCAGGAAAGAAGAAUGUUGCUGGUCCCAAACCUGUCACAAAUGUUCAUGGUGUCAAGUUUCUUGGAAUGAAGUCUUCAUCGUCCACACCUUCUAGGGUGACUCGCUCCUCUGCUACAAUUGCAUCUCCAGAAUCUUCUGGACCUGCCAAGAGGGCAAGAAGUAUGAGAAUCAAGCAUGUUGCAACUAAGAAAGGAACUGGUAAAGCUUCUAAUGCUCAGAACAUUUCUGAUGACUCCGUGCCUGACAACAAUGUUGAUGUUGGUCAAGAAGACGAUGUUCCAAAUGUUGAAGUAAACAAAGUGACAAUGAUGUUCUGGAGACCCUUGCUGAUGCUGCAAUAGCACCAGAUGUUACACCACAUGUCGAGUCUCAAGAAAAACACGGUUCUGCCACUGGUUCUGAAGAGAGAUCUCGUCCUCUGUGGAGGUCACUCCAAAGAAGAAUCCUGAACCUUCUUCUAGAAAGGGAAAGGAAAAACAAACUGUUGUUCUAAUGAUGAGGAAUCUCAUGAGGUACUAAUCACAAAGGUUGUUGUUCCUGCUAGUGUUGUGAAGAAGGUUGCUGUCUCUGCAAGCAAGAAGAUUGCAGAUGGAAAGAAGAAAAAGAAGGAAGGGUCAUCUCUCAAGACCCCCAAGACGUCUAGAAGUUCUCAGGUCUAAGAGUGUGAGAAGAAGAAAAAGAAAGAAAAGAAGAAAGAGAAGGCUAAAGCCACUGCUGGAAGAAAAAGAAAGCAUGUCUCUGAAUCUGACUCUGACUCUGAGUCAGAUGUCGUGCCAGAUGUCCCAUACAUCUCAACCACUGCAAGGAAGAGAGUGAAAGGGAGGAGAAUUCCUACCAAUGUUCCUGAUGCUCUAGUGGAUAAUGUGUCGCUCCACUCUGCAAAUUUUGCACAGAGGUGGAAGUUUGUGGUUCAUAGGAGGCUGGCUGUUGAAAGAGAACUUCAUGAAGAUGCCUUGGAACUCAAGGAGAUUGUGGAUCUGUUGACUGAAGUUGGCUUGAUGAAGAUUGUCAAGGAUAUUGGCAGGUGUUUUGACCAAUUGGUCAGGGAGUUCAUUCUGAAUAUCCACACUGACUGUGAUGAUGAGGACAAUGCUGAGUACAAGAAGGACCACCCUUCUCAAGUAGGAAAAGCAACGUUACACAAAAUCAAAUUGCUACCAAAGUAGGAGACUCUCUAUUGCACUCUAUUUUAGCUAGAUAAUCUGAUAAUAAAUUUUCUUCUCUAUAGAUAUGAACUACUCCAACACAAUCAAGCCAUCCCACCCAACCUACAGCUAGCAAAAGAAUCACUUUUGACCAUAAUAUGUUUAUGAGAAAACUGUUUCCAAAAGAGUAGUGCUUUCAAGAUGACCUUCACUUCCACUUCGUAAGCCCAAAGGGCUCUCAAUAAAAGACAUUAAAGGCCAAGAAUUUUCCAAUCGUGAUUCCUCAGCCCUACUCACUCGCAUGGCCCAGCCUAUAUAAGGCCAAGAAUAGCCUUAUAACGGGCCAUGCGAGUGAGAGAGAGUGGUCGAAUGAUCAUCUAGGACUUGAUCUUGCACCGCUCAAAAUGCAUGCAAUAUGACAUAAAGCUUGGUUCUCUCUUCCAUGAAGCAUGAGAAAAUCGUAAACAUGUUAGUGAAUAGAGAAAUGAUGAGAACAUAGUUAUAUUGAAGGUAUGGUGAAGAGAAAUAGUAAAUAAUAUAGUGGGUUAAGGGUUUUGCUGGUGAAUAGUGAGAGCAGUGAUGGUGGUUGGUGAUUUAAAGAAAGAUUAGAUUUCUAACUCAAUUAAAUUUGAGAUAUCAAUUAACAAGAAUAUUUUUCAUUAAUUUCCUAUUUUUUAGAAAUUUACUUAUAUAAAAUAAUAAAAUGGAACUAUAAUGAAGUGUAAAUAAAUCAAUACUCAAUUUACAUUUUUUUUUUUUACAAAUACUCAAUUUGCUCACAAGUACAUUUAUGUUUUUUAUUUUUAGAAAAUAUGUUAAUAGCAAUGGUAAGUUUUGACCUUGAGCUAGACGUCGUUAUUGUUUUAUAAUUUAGGCAAUCGAACUAACUAUUAAGUUUCCUAUAUUUUUCUUUAAUUUCGAGAAAUUCAUCAGGACAAUCAUUAUUCUAAAUGUAAUUAUUGCAGUUGCAAAAAGAGGAUUUUCUCAUGUCUAUUAUUUUCUCAUAUAUGGUUUUUUUUUGUUACAAAUGGAACUACCUCAUAUAUGUUACUUCAACAUUAAAUAAUGCAAGUUCAAAAUAAAAACAUUAAAUAGUGCUAAAUUGUUUUAUAAAAAAUUGAAUUAAAUAAUGCUAAACAAAGACAAAAACACAAAUAAAUAAAAUAAUUGCACUUCUAUAAAAAAAAAAAAAAGCUUAUCAAAUUCAUGUGAUAAAAUAAAACGAAAAACCCAUAUGAAUUGCACAAGUCACAAUACUAGUGAGCAAUAAAGUAUAAAAGUAAAAAAAGGUAAAUUAUAAAUAAAAAAAACAUAAAAUAUAAAUUGAAUUUUUUUCUAUCAAAAACAUUCAUUUCCAUCUGCUGAAAUCUUCCAUGCCUUUUUUUUUGAAUUAAUAAUAAAAACAGAUAAACAUAUAUGGUGUUCAAGAGUAGCAAAGAAAAUAAAGAAACCUCAAAAUUAAAGGUAUAUCCAAAAACAUAUAGCGCAUAUCCAUCAACGAAGCCUAUCCGACAUAUUCGACAGUUCACUCAGCUUAUAUUCCGAAAGACUCAGUCUCAGGCACCAUUCUAUCAAUAAGCUUAGCAUACUUAUUUUCUUUCUUUCUAAAUUUCUUUAGAUACUUCUCAUGAUAUUUAGUUGCUACUUUGAUAGUUUCUUCAUUCCUCCUCAAGUCAGACUUCAAUUCUUCAAUCUGGGUCCAGAUUGCUCUAGUUUCUGGAGGUAGAUUCUUCUGGUUCACACAAGGGAAACAUAUAAAUGGAUCCCUAAAAAUUAAAUGAUUAGUGAGUUUUGAAUGAAAGAAAAAAUCAGUGACAAAAAUCACACAUAGGUAAAUAUGAAGGUUAAAAGAAACAAAACAAUCACAGAAAUUCUAAUAUGUCAUACAUGGCAGUUUUUAUAACAUUAUUUACAAUAUAUAUUUCAAAUAACUGAUGAAGUUAAUAAAAUUCCGACCAAUAACAGGGAGAAUCUUGUCAUAUGUCCGAGGGAGGGUAUAAUGAGAUAUACAAGACUUUCAUCUUAUAAUAAAACGUAUUGAAAAUAGGGUGUUGUAAUCGAGAGGGUUUUAAGAACACCGUUGUUACUUUUUAUUCUUCCAAUAUGUUUCAUCAUAUAUCUCUUCUUUUUCAUCACUGACGUUUAUAUGGAGUAAAUCAAGAGUAACAACAAUGACCGGUAAACUUAGAGAAAAAUAAUGAACAGAAGACAUUAUUUCUCUCAAAAGAGGAAUUUCAAAGAUGACCAUUUUUCCCUUCCAAAUUUUAAUUUGGUUUAAGAAUUUGGGUGUGGGUAUUAGACUUAGGGAGGCCGAACUCAACCCAAAAGUCCGAGGGAGGGUAUAAUGAGAUAUACAAGACUUUCAUCUUAUAAUAAAACGUAUUGAAAAUAGGGUGUUGUAAUCGAGAGGGUUUUAAGAACACCGUUGUUACUUUUUAUUCUUCCAAUAUGUUUCAUCAUAUAUCUCUUCUUUUUCAUCACUGACGUUUAUAUGGAGUAAAUCAAGAGUAACAACAAUGACCGGUAAACUUAGAGAAAAAUAAUGAACAGAAGACAUUAUUUCUCUCAAAAGAGGAAUUUCAAAGAUGACCAUUUUUCCCUUCCAAAUUUUAAUUUGGUUUAAGAAUUUGGGUGUGGGUAUUAGACUUAGGGAGGCCGAACUCAACCCAAAAGUUAGCUCAAGAGUUGAGGUUGUUCUACCCUUUAUAAGCACUUAUUUGGCCACAUCUCUAGCCAAUGUGGGACUUCUAACACACCCCCUCACGCCUAGGGCUGAAUAUCUGAAGCUUGGAAUUAACAUAAACGGGUGGCCCAAAUAUGGGAGGUCUCCACAACAAAUGGAUCUAGGAUAGGCUCUGAUACCAUAUUAGAAUUAAUGAAUCUAGUAUGGUAUAAUAUGUGGAGAAAAUGAGGUUAUCUUCUAUUUCAUUCACGGCAGCGGCGCAAGGACACAUGUUUUCCCUGGCGCACCGCAUAGAGAUCGCACCCUAAAGGGUUUCAACGAGUAUGAGCUCACCUACUACUCUCUCACUCACAACAACACUCUUUCUCUCAAUGGUCUGUCUUCUUUUCUCCAUUUCUAUAUGGCAAUGACAAUGUCUUCUUUUCUUUUUUCUAAAGGGAAGUUAAUUUACGCUUGAGUGUUAGAAUAUGCAAAAGAUAUCUCAUAAUAUCUCUAUCAUAUCAUUAGAGUAGCUUAUAAUAUCUUGGUCUUAGCUUAGAGUAAUUAAGGCAGUUUAGAUUAUUUCGUAGAUUGAUGGGCUUUUACUUAUUUAAUUAGGAUUAAGAGUAUUAAUAAGUUUCCUAAUUUAACAAAAAUCAAAAGUCUACUCAUUACUAUAAAUAUGGGUAAGUAGUUUAUCUUUUAAUAAAGCAGUUGUUCAUAAUGUAAACCCUAGCGGACUUUCACUUCCACUUCCCUUCUCUCUUCUUUUCUCCCUCAUUCCUUUGCAUUGUUUCUCUGAACAUGGUAUCAGAGCAUCUAUGAUCAAGUGGUCUAGAGUGCGACCUUUGCCUUUUUCAGCACAUGCUAUGUGGGCAUAUGCAUUGUCCACGCUUCACGCCCAAGUGGGCUCUUACGUGAAGAGAUGUGUUUGAAAUAUAAUAAAAAAUUAUGCAAAGUUAUUCACCCAAUAGCUUAAACUUUUUGGAUAAUUGGUUCCUAACAAUACCAAAAAGUAGUAAAAAAGAGUUGUCUAAAAGACCCUAAACAAAUUUGGUAACAAUCACCCUAAGUUCUAGGUGGACCAAUGAUAUUUAAGAUAUGUGGACCACCUAGGAUUACCAAUGGUCAUUUGACAAGCCCUAAUAAAAAGAAAACAGAGCCGAGUGAAUAUUGAAGAUGAAACAGAGCGAGAAAGAGAGAAUAUAAAUACCCAAAACCAAGUGAGUGAAUUCCAUUUUCCCUUAUAAUACCACCAUCUAACGAAACAGCACCAUCCUCUAUAGAAGCACGGGCAGCUUCCAUGCUCUUUUUUGUAUUGUAAACUUGAAGCUUCUUGAAAAGGCUAAACAGCACUGUCUCCCGAAGCCCAUGACCUGAAGCUGUCCUCGUCUGCAAGUGAUUGAUGUCGAGGUCAACCAUAUUAACUGCAUAGCCCAUGAAGCCUGGUGGAGUACUCCCAUUUGGUAACCUAGGAUUAGGCAACGCUAGCUUUCUCUGAGAGUCAUUUUCUUGCAAAUACCGCGUGUAAGGCCUGUCAAACCAAUGCAUGCACAUCUCAAGGAACUAAAAAGCAGCAAGCCACAAGGCCUUAUCAUAAAUAUUUGAUAAAAAUAUAUGAAAACUUAAUCAUAUAACAAUUAAAAUUACUGUCAUGGCUCAUUAAGCACCCUAUUACCUUAAUUCUUCAAAGCAUAUAACAAGGAAACGCUUGCUUAUAGCUCUUCCAAGAUCAGCUGCUUGAGCAUGCAAAGCUUGCUCAGAAUCGAUUUCGCCAUUUUGAAUAUGGUUCUGAAGAGAAGUUGCAGUGUCAAAAGAUCUACAGAUAACACCUAGCAUUCUAUCUUCACCAAGAUACUCUGCCAACAUUCUGCACAUAAAAGAUAUAAAUUCAGAAGUAAAAUAGAGCCGAAAUGCAAGAAAUUUCUGUUUCAUCUUUUAUCUUUUCUUUGGGAAGUAAAAGGGGGGUGGGGAUUAUACAAACCUACUAAGCUGAGGUCUCUGAACGGUACCCAGGAGGGCAACGACCCCAAUAAUAUCUUCCAUAAAAGGUUGCUUUUCUUGGGUAGAAAGAUCACAAAACACAGAAGAUGCCCAGUUUUCCACGCGUUUAAUUCUGGUCACAACUUCAUCUUUCGUAAACAAAGAGUCCAUAUUGCCCACUUGGUAAUGUUGAACCAUCUCUGUGAAAAAUUAAAACAGACAUAAAUCAAAUCAUUUCUGUCAAACAACCACAUAUCCCAAAAGGGGUAAGGGCCACAUCAAUGGUUUUAUAUUAUAUUCUAAUACGCCCCCUCACGCAAGAGCCAUUUGGGCUUGAAGCGUGGACGAAUGCACAGGCCCACCUACCAUGUGCUUAAAUUCCACUUUUUAAUUAGAACGUGAGGGGAGCAAAGAUCGAGCUCUAGACCGUUAAGUUAUAGAGGUUCUGAUACCAUGUCAAAUAACCACUUAUCCCAAAAGCUUAAGUUGUUGGGUAAGGUCCACAUCGAUGGUUUUAUAUUAAAUUCUAACAAUUUAUUUAUUUUGAUCAAUUUUUAGUUUAAGGCGUUAACAGGAAAAAACUAGCAUUCAUAAAUGCACAGUGGCAUCAACAGAUAUAACUCAAGACAUCAAGUGCCAAAAUUUCAUCCAAUAAACAUUAUAUUAAAUACUCUAUGCCCUAUCUAGCUUUAAUAACAACAGCUAAAAAUAGAGAGAGAAAAGAACCCAGUAGUUUGAACAUCUCUUGCUCAGCUUCGGCCUUUCCUUCAUUAUAAAGAUUAAGACGCUUUUCAAGUUUAGCAAUUUUCUCACCCAAUCUGAUGAGUUCACCAAGUUUCUGCAAACAACAUGCACAUGAAGACAGACGUUUUGAAGAAAAGAAUUUAUUGAAAGAGACUAAAAAGCGUAAACAAAUAGUUUUCUGUAACCAAACAAUGACUAUGUAAGAUGUAUAAAAACAACCGCAAAACUUUCAUACUUCACCUAAACAUAAACCCAAUCUCACACUAUCACCUAAACAUUUCAGGAGAUAGUCCAUGACUGACACUAUUCAACAAGUUCAGUGUAUCAUGAAUUACUACAAUUCAUGAUAAAAAAACACAAAGGACAUUCUUUAUUCACAGAUUAAACACUCAUAUCAAAGAACAAAGCAGAAUUCAACUUUGAUACCUUGUCAUCAUUAUCAUUAUUUACAACGGAAAGCAUUAAGUUACAUUCUUGGUUAAGUACUGGAUCAUCUUGCAGGAAUAUGAUACUCUUAUUGGGGGUUGGAGGUAGAUCGAACUUCUUGUUUGGUGUUUUAAAAACAGGAACCUGCACACAAAUCUUAACAAUUAUUAUUCGAAGCGAGGCCAAAAAUAGGUAAAGACAUAAAUGAUAUAACCUGAACAAUUAGACAGAGCUCUGAAUAUUGCGAAUGAGCAGCUUCAAAGCAAAAAAUCCCAUCGUUCACUGGAAUACGGAUUAAAGGGACAGUACAGCGUCCAUGCAUAAAAGUGUAGCGAACAGAUUCCUCUGCAUUUAACAAGUCCGACUUAAUUGUAAGCAUAUGAAACUGGCCAUCUUUAUCGCUGUGAUGAAUCUUUCUAUCUACUUCUCCAUCAGGAUUGACAAUUUCAAAAUCAAUGUUUUCCAAGUGACCACCAGCAGCACAAAAAUCAGGCACCUGAAUUCAUGUAAUAACCAUUGAAACAAACGGGAAAAAAAGCUAUUUACACUUUUACAAAGGUGAUGAAAAACCAACCCCUGAUGCAAUUCUCAAAAUCCUUCUCACAGUUGAAAAAUCCUGCUUGACCAUUGUUUUAUUUUCAAACGUAAUACAUAUGGACACUGCACCAUGAAGCAAACAAAUUAGACCAUGAGGUGGAAAUAAGAAAAAUCGAAAACAUUAAAACAACAUAGUGAAUCUGCAUAAAAUAGUUGUCAAGACAUGUCUUCACAGCUUUCAAAAAAGAAAACAACUUACAACAAUGUAGAAGAUUUAAAAGUUAGAGGGAAUAAUGAAAGUUACUAAGGGCAGCCAAUUAAGACCAGUAGCUUAGCUGAUAUCAAAACUAAAUACUACGUACCAUUUUCUCCAUAACCUGCUGUCAAUUUCAGUAGACCACUAAGAUUAAUUCUUCCUUCUUCAUCCACCUGUAUAUAAGAAUUUUGAUAGACCAAUUAUAUCUCAUAAGAUUAAAUCUAAGGGUUCCCAAGUCCCAACUAAGCUCGGUUACCAAAACAGUUAACAUAGUUCUGACAGAGUCCUAACAGUGUAAAAUAAUUAAAUAAAAAGAAGGAAAAAGGAUAAUCAGCGUCAUUAUAUUGAUACGAUGAUAUAAACAUAUAUACAUGUUUAUCACAGUACACCAUAGUUGGUACAAAAGCAUUACCUGGUGCACUGUACCUAAAUGAUUCAGUAGGAUGAAUCCAGUCAGAGUAAUAGUAACCUCCAAUCCUUUAGGAACAUGGUUUCCAUAACUAUCAAACAUCUGAAUGAUACACAUCAAUAUGUCAGCUAGAAAUUACCAUUAAUGCAAUUCCGAAUAAUACAUAAAAAUUACAAUAACUAAAAGCUUCUGAUUAACUCUUCAAGGAGAUUAAAAAUAAAUAAACAACCAAUUUUAUACAAAAAAAAACGUAUGAACUCAAGGUCCACUUGAUUGUUUGCAUGGUAUGAACUCAAGAUCCCCUUGAACAAGCGCUUAUUCCAUAAGCUAUGAGUCCAACUUUAAUAGUAAGCCAUCAAAACCAUUUGUUGGGUUGCCUUAUUGACUUUUUACAGUAGAAUAAUCACUAUUAAUGGCUGUGAUGACUUACUGGACCAUCUAAAGUAAACUAUCUUACUUUAGAGGAGCUAAAUCCAAACAUGUUAAAUAUAUAGAAAUUCAGAUACCAAUCAAAAAGAUACACUAUGAAACUCUUAACACAAGAUUUCAAUAUUGUUGUCUAUAGAUUGCUGUCACAUAGAUUCCAGAGGGUUUAGUUUUUAGUAGCUGUCACGGCAGCUAUAGAAAAAGAAAAUGUAGCGGUGUGGCAUCUGAUGGGACUUGUGAAAACUAAGAAAUUCCCCUCAACUGAUAAUGUUAGGCUUUUUUUACUUUAGAAUUAAUCCAAAAAAGGCCCUGUUUGAGAAAACCCUCACUCCUUUGUGCUUUUCAUCCUUUCGCCAUCCAAGUAGACCGACCAAUCGGGCGACCAAACUGUUGACCUGCUAAGGCUUUCAUCAGCUCAUACUCCAACAUGAAAGUGCUGAAUGUCUGCCUGCUGUCUUAGCUCUUGAUCUUGAAACAAAUGUUUACAAGUUGCAACUUAAGAAUCACCCUAUCUCCAGCCACUAGAUCAAGUGGUUUUUGCUGCAUAUUGCUUGUUUGCUUCAUCUACUCACCAUGAAAAGCAAUACUGUUUCGUAGAACCAAACAUAUGAUGAGCCCAAAAGAUCUUUUGUGAUAGAAAUAGUGGUCUCAGCACUGAAAAUCAACACUAUUUCAUGAGACCCAAGUUUUAAAGGAUACAUCGAAUGAUGCCUCAAGAUCUGUUCUUGCCUCAUUGUACAGGUCCAAGUCUUGGCGGGGCUUCGUGACAUUUUACCUUGGUUAUACUUUGUUUGUUUGAGGUGAUUUUAGAUGGAGAGAGGUUUCUAACAUUGUUAGGUAGAAGAGAGUGAUAGCGGGAAGAGAGAAAUAAUAUGUGGGACCCACCAACUUUUUGGGGUCUCUCUAAUUUGAAAAGUGCAGAAGAGAGUAAGUUUUUUUACACACUUUCCCAUUUUAUCCCUCCAUUAAUAUCAUAUUUAUUUAUAAAUGUUUAUUUAUUCAAGGUAAAAAUAUCAUUUCUUAAAAAAGUAUAAUCUCUUCUUCCAUUCUCUACCCAACCAAACAAAAAAAACGAAGACACGCCUCAUUCUUUCUCUUGUCUUUCAAUCAUACCAAACAACUACAAAAUCCUAUUUAAUGCACCUUGACAGUUGAGCGAAGCACCCAUCCAAGAAUAAGUAAAACCGGAGAAAUUAGAUAAUGCCAAAAUAUAUAACAUUCAACAUUAUAACAUUCAACAUUUAUACACAUUCUAAAAUACCUCCAACAUAAACUCUUCAAAAAUGUAACCUGGUACUAGUUGAUCUUCAGUUAUUUUUGGCUUCAGUUCAACAAGUUUAAGAACACCUGGAUAAACUGAAUAUGAAACAUAAAACAAAGAUGAGCAAACCAGAAAACAAACUCAUUUCCUGAUGAAGAAGAAGUCAACAUCAAUAAUGAGCACCUCGACAUGGAACUGAAAGCACAAAUGGGAUACUUUUUGAUUCAAUAAACAAAGAAGUUCUGUAGCUUGGCCGUAUCUUGUCAAGUUCAUUACUUAUGACCAUUGCAUCCUAUGACAUGUACCAAAACAAUUCAAUAGGCGUUUUCUUUCAAGCUAUAAGAAAAAAGAAUUACAUAACUAGCAUACCUCAAUUUUUAAAGUCAGUUUGUCAGAAGUAAUCGUAUUUUUCAUUCCACAAACAUCAAAGUGCAAGUUAUUAGCUGUCUUAAUUUUGAUUGUUACAUCCGAAAUUGAUUGAAAAGGUACUCGUUUAUCUUGGCUGUCAUAACCUGCAAUGGCUAAGGUUGGAAAAGGAGAACCAACCCUGUCCAGAAAUUAUAAUCAAUUCAACAAGGGCAUAUUAAUGUAAACAUAUGAUAGAUCAGAAGUUUAACAGUACAUGUGCAGGAAUGUAAAAUUACAGAAUAUAUUAGAAUAAGGAAAACAGCUAUGUCUGAACUAGUACAUCACUGGAAAAAACUAUAAAAGUUUUGCUGUGAAAAGACGUUAUCUAAAGUGAUCGUACCUCACAUCUAUUCGGUCACCAGUUUGAAGGCUAAACUUCACAGCAGCAAGAGAAGGCUUCACAAUCACGUUUCUCUCAUAACUUUGACAAUUUGAAUCAAUCUAGUAGACAAAUUACCAAGAAAACUUAAUGCAUGACGCUUCCAAAAAAAAAAGAGCAGAAGAGAAAAUCAGUUUGUGCUGCUAGACAACAGAACAUAGGAAUAAAUGAAAAUCAGCCCUGCAAAACAUAUUAGGCAAUUUGCAUGUAUAGAUAGAAAGAAAAGUCAACCACUAAAGGUAUGUUUGGGGGUAUUCGUUCAUUCAUCCCAGAGCAAACGGAUAAUAGCACACAUUUCAUGGUAAAUGUUUUUAUUGAUUUACCUAGUGACCAGAAUUUUUUAUUGAUUAAGAUAAAAGUAUAUUAGGGUAACGUGGAGAAGCUUGUGGAAAUCGGUUAAGGUGGUAUGGACAUAUACAAAGAAGACCUUUGGAGGCACCGGUGAGAAGGGUUGAUAACAUGGUAUUUAGUCCUGUGAAGAGAGGUAGAGGGAGGCCAAAAAGAACUUUGGGAAAUAUUGUUAAAAAUAAACUACUCCCUCCGUUCCUAAUUAUAAGCCCUAAUACAAAAAAUUGCGCUUAUUAAGAAAGCAUUAAAUGUGUCAUUUUCUCUCACUAAUUAAUGCUAGGUGAUAAUUAAAAGUUAAAACUUUGGAAUUGAAAACACACAAUUAAUGUGAGGGUUAUAAAUGGAAGAGUAGAAUACUUUUUGCUAGAUUAUUGUAGAAGGUCUUAUAUUUUGGAACAUGAAAAAUCUAAAACUAGGUCUUAUAAUUAGGAACGGAGGGAGUAACUAUCAAUAAUAUCUCUUAUACACUGGUUUUUAUGGAGUUCAAUGGUGUAGUGUGAUUCAUAUAGCCGACCUUAUUAAGUGGGACAAGGUUUUUUGUUGUGGUUAAAUAAGAUGAAAGUUUGUUAAUGUUGCACUCAACUGGUAUCCAAACAUACUAAACAAUUAACAUUUUUAUGAUAAUACCAAAUUUCAUUUAAUUUUUUGUACAUAUAGAAAUACCAAAUUUGAAAUAACAUCUCAGCCUACUUUUAACAAAAAUUUUGUAGCCACUUUAGCAUGUAAAUGGUUUUGCAGUAGGAAGUCUGAUGAACAUUGACCUCCAAUUAGGAAGGUUUAUGAGAGGAGAAAUAGGAGAAAGGCUAUAGCCUAGUUAAAUAGGGAUAACUAAAAUUGUAGGCAGUUAUUGCCAGCUGGAUCAGUUAGUUAGUUCAGUUACUGUUAAGUCAGUUGGGGAAGGGUAUAAAUAAAGGGAAAGGAGAAGUUAGAGUCAGUUAGAUAUUCAGUUGGAAAUAGGAGAGACUGGACUCUCGAAUAUUCCAGAGGGAAACUAGGGUUCUUCAUUCACCAUUAUUGUACUCUGAGCUUUGAUUCUCAGUUUCUGUGAAUCACAGUUCCAAUUCCAUCAAUAAAAUCUCAGUUCUUGUUCUUGAGUUCAUCAAAGUCUCAUAAACACUACAGGAUCAAUGCAAAAAGAGUAGCUUGAGAGUUUAAAAUUCUAGCAAUUUUAGAAGGUCAAUUUAGCUUCCAUAUAAAAAAGUCACUUCUCAAGGAAUGUGUUAACAUUCUGAAGGAAGGACCUAAAGAAAAAAAUGUAUUAGAGGAUGAGCAAAAAAGGUAUGUUGCUAGCUAUAUUCUUAGCUGGUAUAAUGCAAGCAAAGAGACAUUUCUACGACAGAAUUGCAGUUGCGGUUAGUGAUUUCUUUUGCAUACAGCAUACCCAACAUAACCCUUCACAAUGUUAUGGUAACAUAAACAUGUCCUUUAUAGAAAGAUGUUAAGUUUCUCAAAAUAUCCAUCUGAAAAUUGUUUAAUUUUUCUUAAAUUUUCCCUUUGUUGAGUCCAGAUUAUAUUCAAGUUAGUUGUGAAAAAUUUAUAUAAUGAAGUCAAUAUCAGCAGUGGCAUAAAUGUUAAAUAAAAAAUGUGCCUGCAUUACAGCUAAAACCAACACAGAUUCAGCGAUUUCUUGUUUUUACAGCAAGAUUAAAGACCUACCGUCAGCGGACAUAUAAACAGGAUCACAUAAAAAUAUAUAGUUUAACAGCUUAACUAAAGGAAUAUAGGCCAGAUCAGUUAUGAGCUCAAGAAACCUCUUUGACAAAAAGAAACAUGAAAAGCUAUAUAUGUGCAAUACAGGUGUUGAUUAAGAAGAACAUUUGUAAUCGAAUUUUUCGUAAACCAGUACAGUUCAAGAAUUGUAAUCAGUAUUUUUUUUGUAAAUUUGGCGAAUAAAUUAAAAACUAUGCAAAUGCCAAAACAAUUUACAGGAGAGAAGAAUGGAAAAAAAUAAUACUAAGCCCAAAAACUACAGAAUCUUUGUAAUGGUUUGAACACAGCAAAUCAAUCAAAGCAGGAGAUUUCUGCUGUUUCUUAUUAACUUGAUUAUCCCAUUUAGUACUUUUGACAGCUACGACUUGAUUAGAAAUCAUAUAUCUUUCCAACUGCAUAAUAUAAAAUUUAGGAUAUACAGCCAUUUUCUGAAAGCUUAAAUAAAUGAUUAGAAGAUUGUAAUUUUGAAGAAUAUAGUGAAAGAAACUUUCUAUCAGCAGAAUGGGAAGAAAUAAAUAUACCAACCCCAUCAACCUCCGAAUCUUGGUAAUGGUCUGAACCCAGCAAAUCAAUCGAAGCAGGAGAUUUCUGUUGUUUCCUAUUAACUCGAUUAUCCCAUUUAGUACUUUCGACAGCUACGAGCUGCUUAGAAAUCAUACGUCCUACCAACUGCAUAGUAAAAAAUUUAGGAUAUACAGUUAUUAUCUUAGAGUUUAAAUAAAUGAUUUGAAGAUUGUGCAAAAAAACGAUUGUUUGAAGAAUAUAGUGAAAGAUAAAUUCUAUCAGCAGAAUGGGACAAAAUAAUAAUACUAACCCCAUCAACCUCUGAAUCGUGGUAAUGGUCUGAACCCAGCAAGUCAAUCAAAGCAGGAGAUUUCUGUUGUUUCUUCUUAAGACGAUUUUCCCAUUCAAUACUUGCAACAGCUACGAGCUGUAACACGUUAAAAUGCUUAGAUAGCACAUAUCCUUCCAACUCCAUAAAACAAACUUCAGUAAAAAAAAAUUGUAGAUUGUGCAAUAAAGCAAUUAACAUUUUGAAGAAUUUAUAUAAAGGGAAAUAUAAUUUCUAUUCAAAUGAAAUUAUAAAAAAAAUUGAGAAACCAGAGAGAAAACUGAGAAGAAUUUUAUUGAUUCUCUCUGAAUCUGAAGAAGAAACAGAGGAAACUCACAAGCUCACAGAACAAGUCACUGGUUAUUUGAGACCGGUCUCUCCACAACUCUCAACAACCCAAAACUGACUCUAACUACCCUGCUAAUCAACCUUUAUAGUAGGUGGUUAACAGUUACAAUUUGCAAACAGAAUAUUACGCCUCCCUGGAGUUAGUUACAGAGUUAUUAUUCCCUGCUACUCCUCUCUCCCUCCUAACAUAGACCUUCCUACAAAGUAGUUUGGGUCCAAAAUGACUUGAAACUCUUGAUGAGACGAAGCAUAGUCUCUGCUGCUCCUCCUCUCUCCUCCGCUGCUUUCCUCACCGGUGCGGCUUGAAGAGGCGAAGCAUAGUUGCCGGCUCGCCGCUGCUCCUCCUCUCUCCCAUGUUGGAUGUUGGUUCUUCUUGUUUUCUUUGGUGGUGACUGCAAACAAGGCUGUGUUGUUCAAUUUUAGUCACCAUCCCCUCCAAAAGUCUAUCCUUUCCUUCUUCUUCCCUUGUUCACUUGUUACCCGUGAAAACCGACCAGUCCAACCCGUCCACCAACCCAACCCGCACCCGAGUUCCGAUUCUUGAUUCGGUCGAAAAUGGGUUAAGAUAUCCUUGAUUUAAAACCGUCCAAACCCGACAAGUCUGACCCGAACCCGCCCGAUGCUCAGCCCUAGUCCUUAUGAUGAAAUGGCUGCCAAAAAGAUCACGUCACCACCUCUGAAUAGCCCUUACCACAGCCAUCAAUUCCCUUUCAUAAACAGAUUUCCUCUGCCCUUGAUCAGAUAUGAUGGAACUCCAAAAUGCCAAGGGCCUUCACACCUGUAAAAGGACGACCCCAGUCUCUCAAUAACAAAAGUUAUUGAAAAUCAGGGACUGCCAAAGCUGGCAGGUCAAUCAUGGCAUGCUUGAGCUGGUCAAAAGCUAGUCGUGCCUCCUUACUCCACACAAAACUAUUCUUUUUCAGUAGCAAAGUCAGGGGUCUAGCAAUCUUCCCAUAUCCUUUCACAAACCUUCUAUAGUAGCCUGUGAGCCCCAAAAAUCCCCUUAACCCCUUGACAUCCUCAUGGGGCAGUUGCUGCCCCAUGAGAAAUAAUCCAAAUACUCUAAUUUCAAUUGGCCAAACAAACACUAAUAUUAUGGCCCAAAUACUCUAAUUUCAAUUUCAACCCAUUCUGAAACAGUAGUUCAAAGAUCUACCUCAAUUGAAUAAUGUGGUCUUCCAGAUACAAACUAUACACCAAAAUGUCAUAAAAAAAAAGACCAAAACAAAUUUCCUCAGUUGGGGCUUCAAAACCUCAUUCAUCAAAGCUUGAAAAGUGGAUGGGGCAAUAGUGAGCCCAAAAGGCAUCACUAAAAAUUCAGUGGCCUUCAUGGGUCCUAAAAGCUGUUUUUUCUAUGUCACAAGCGGUUUUUAGCCUCCCCCAAUUUAUAAAGCAACUCAUCAAUUAUAAGGAUGGGGAAUUUAUUGGGUAUGGUAAUCUUGUGAAAAGCCCGGUAGUCAAUGCAAAAUCUCCAGCUACCAUCCUUCUUUUUAACUAAGAUAACUAGACUAGAAAAUUGGCUAAUGCUAGGUCUGAAUAUUCCAACAUCUAACAUUUCCUUGACUAACUUCUCUAUUUCAGAUUUUUGGUAGUGGGGACACCGGUAUGGCCUGAUAUUUGGAAUUGCAGCUCCCUCUUGCAAGUGAAUGGCAUGAUCCUGCACUCUACUGGGAGGUAAAUCCCAUAUGGUAGAGAAUAACUCAGAGUAAUCCCCCAUCAACCCUUGCAACUGCUCAGGUACAGCUACCAACUCUUCUUGUACCUCAGCCAGAUGCUGAAAUUCCACCCAAAACCCCUCAGCCUGUUGCUGCAGAGCCUUAACCAAGGAAGAUAAAGAAGCAUUCUUCCUAAUGAGACCAAGUUCACCUCUCAGCAACACCUUCUCCCCCACAUGAAAUCUCAGACUCAGCUCCUCAAAAUUUGCUCUAAUGUGCCCCAAACUUGCAAACCAUUACAAACCUAGAACCACAUCUAGUCCCCCCAAAUUAAACAGAAAAAACUCUUGUUCAAUUGGGAUGUGUUGAAUACUUAAUUGAACAUCCCUGCACUUCCCUUGACAUUCCACCUUAUGUCCAUCUUCAAGCUCUACCAUAUAAGGAGUUUCCACCACUGGAAAAUGCGCAGAAGACAUUAAUUCUUGAGAAAUGAAAUUGUGUGAAACACCACAAUCCACCAGAACAAUCACUCUCAGUUGUCCCAAUUCCCCCCAAACUUUCAAGGACCUUCUAGAGGUAAACUCGGCUAUGCUCUUGAGAGACAAUUGGAACAUUUGGGCUUCUUAUUUGUCGACUUGGAAAAUACGCUUUUUCCAACUCCUCAACCUCCUCUUCUGCCCGCCGCAAUGGCGCGCUAUUGACAACCCUGCUCCAAACUCUUCUUGACCAUAGAAAUUCGAUACCACAUCUCCUGCAUGGAGCUCUGAUACCAAUUGAUAAACCAGAGAGAAAACUGAGAAGAAUUUUAUUGAUUCUCUCGGAACCUGAAGAAGAAACAGAGGAAACUGACAAGCUUACAGAACAAGCCACUGGUUAUUCGAGAGACCAGUCUCUCCACAACUCUCAACAACCCAAAACUGACGCUAUCUACCCUACUAAUCAACCUUUAUAGUAGGUAGUUAACAGUUACAAUUUGCUAACAGAAUAUUAACCCUCUCUAGAGAGUUAUUAUUCCCUGCUACUCCCUCUCCCUCCUAACACAGACCUUCCUACUAAGUAGAUUGGGUCCACGAUGACUUGAAACUCCUGCUUCUCCUUCAGGUCCACAAUGACUUGAAACUCCCUAAGCCUCAGGUCCACGAUGACUUGAAACUCCUGCUACUCCUCUCUUCCUCCUAACAUAGACCUUCCUAAUUAAAGGUCUACUUAUCAAAAGUGCAUUCAAUUUUAAAAAUCAAUUAUAAUAUUUUUAAUGUGUUAAUUUUAAUUUGAGAUGCACAAAAUAAGAAUAUAUAUAUAUAUAUAUAUAUUUCUGACUAUUUUCAAAAGGUAAUUUAAGUAACUUCGUGAAAUAAACUGCAAUUAUCCUUUAAAAUCAAAAGAUAAUUUAUAUAAAAUCUCUAAACAAAAUCAACUUUUUCUCACAACUUUAGAAUCACUUUUCAUUUAAAUUUUCACAUACAACUAAAAAAAUUCUAUUGUUCCCUGAAUCUAAUCAAAAUAGUUUCCCAAUUUCUUUUUUCAUAUUCAGACUUACUUAUAAUCUUAAACAGAUUAAAAAAGAUUAAAAAAACAUUUUUUUUCAAAAUAAAAGUAUCUUUUGUUGAUAAAAAACACGAAACAAUCAGACUCAUAGUUACGACCUUUCCAGAGUCGAUCACGCCGAUAGGUAUAGACAUAGAACCACGAAUUUCCAAACUUGCAUUUUCAUCAGUGACUGAGAGGAGACAUCCAUUUUUGUCUGGAAUAUCCAUUGACCUUUAAAAUCAAACAAGAAGCAGUGAUAAUUCUGGAGGUGCAACAAUUUUAGAGAAAACACUGGCUUAGAGAAGGUUUUGCAAAAAUGUGUACAACUAACCUGCAUAUGAUUCGGGAGUCUCCUAUUAACAAAACGAAAAUAAAAGUGGUCAGCUUUAAUCAUGUUAUCAUAACAUAAUUUCAAAUGUGAAGUUAAUAUCUUGGUUACAGCAUAUUAUUUUUUAUUUAUAUAGUUAAUAUAGUUCAGUUGAAAGGGAAUAAAGUGUUUAGCUUUUUGUUGCUUCUUCUUUAAUUUUAGUACAAUAGGACCAGUCCGCAGUUUAAAAUUAAACCACAGUAAUUGGAUGUAAUUAUAUUUCAAAGUAUGAACUAAACGACAUAAUUUCAGUUUCGCUACUUUUAGGUUUUAGAAUUUAAUAGUUAUAUAAACAAAUUUUAGACAAACUUCCAAUCAAAUUCCAUAACUUUACAUUCUUGGGUUAUUUUUAAUUUUAAUAUAAUUAUAAAAUGUAAAGAGGGUGAAAGAAGAAUGGACGUCCAUGUAAAACUUGUGCAGUUAUUAAAUUCUUUUUUUUAAUAGACAUAUAAACAUUACAGUUAAACAUUAAAAAUUAAAAUCAACCGACAAUUACAAAGACAGACAACUGAUGGGGAACUCGCCGCUGUCUGUUCGGAUAAAUCUCUAUCAAGAGUAAAAUUACAUGAGUUUGAAUUUCUGUUAGUUUUCAUGUACUUUCAACAAAGGUUUUAGGAGAUUGUAACGGAAAUUCAAACACAAAGUAAAAGUAACACAAUUAUUUGUAUGCAUAUAAAAUCAAUUCUAAUGUAGAUGGAAUUGGGUUUCAAAAACAAAAUGUAGAUGGAAUUGACUCUACAACUAAUAGUUGAAACUUUUACAUUUUCCGUUGACAAAAACAAUUUUAGAUAAGCAACCCACAAGAAAUAUCUACCUCAACACCUUAAAAGAGACUACAGUUGUUUAAACUUUAAAAUAUCAUAACAAAAGACAUCAAUUUUAUUAAACUUACUUGAUUUGAAAUUAAUUCUUUCGACAUCAAUUCUUUCAAAAUCAAUUCUACGAAAACCAUAGGCAAACAGACCCUAGGUAGGUUUCAGUGUUUCGUUGUUCAAAAUGAAAAGGGAGAUAAUAAAUUAGCAUAUCUUUCUUAUUUGACUACAAACCUACAAUAUUUAAAAUUUAUUCCAUGUUGAACAUUAAAGAUCAACAGAAGAUGAUGAGUUUGAUUAUUAUGUAAAAAUACUUUUUUACAUGACUCCUGAAAUAUAGGAUUUAAAUUUUAUUCCGUGCUUAUUGUUGAAGAUAAAUUCAAACGAUGAAAUAAACAAAUCUCACAUAAAAAAUGCAUUACAGUAUUCCACCAAUAAGACACUGUUUAAUCCCAUGACUUUUGCCAACCAUGUUUUUUUAAUGCCACAAUCAUGUUAACUUUCAGUGUAAUAUGGUACAUCGACUAAGAUUCUGACCCGUAAUUGUUCCUUUAGCAUAUGAAAUAAGAAGACUUAUCAUUAUCACCAAGCAGGACUGAAUUGCUUAUUAAAAAUAAAAGAAUUUAGUUCACAACACAGAAGAAAGGGUGAUAAGUCAAAAAUUAAUGCUUUACUUAUGUACUACAAUCGUCCCCGAAGGAUAGCUCAAGUGGUAAGAGCUAGGGACAUAAGGGUUAGGUGGGGUGAGGAUGAAGGGUCCCGGGUUCGAACCCGGAGGAGGGACUAAUUUACUAACAUUUGCCUAUCAAAAAAAAAACUUAUGUACUACAAUCAGAAAGCUUACCACCAGCGUCUCCUUCAAAUCCUUCGAGCAAAAAGUACUCUAUGGUUGCAAAAACAGUGUUCUUGUGACACCCAGCACAUGCGCCCUUUUGCACCUUAAUUCUUUCUCCGUGCUUCCAUAAUUUUUCCUUUCUCUUCAGAACCUUAUGAACUCUGAUAACUGCAUAUAAUAAGAAAGAUAAUCAGAUAAAAGACUAAAUUUUUUCAGUAGUAGCAUAUAUAAAACAUACACUGGUAUUUUCACUACCCUAGACUACAAUAGAAUGGUUUGUGUUCAUAUCACAAAAUUACUGUUUCAGGAAGAAUUGUUUUUUAUUUCAUGAGUUGGAAACUAUUUUUUUAACUAUGGUUUGAACACAUACCAUCUGAAGAGAUCCGAAGUUCCUUUUUGUUUGCAGGAUUAACAAUAAUAACUGCCUGAUCCUCACCAGAAUCAGCCUCUUCAUCAUACUGACCAUGCAUUUGCAAUAACCACUCCACAUACUCUUUUUCUAGCUGUAAAGGAGUUAACACUUUUCGAUCCUUAAAAAUUUCAAUAGCAACAUCUGCUGAUUUUAAAUAACUAGUUAGUUGGGUAUCUAAAAACCUUGACAAUAAAGUUGUAACAGUGUAAUAGGAAUUAAUAAGAAUACCCUUCUGAUUGUCUGAAAUUUUAUUGCCUAUGUUCUUCAGAGCAGUGGUCAAAGGACUGUGGUGAGCUAGAUCAGUCUGAAAAGGCAAUAACUUCUUGAUGAUCAUUAAAUCAGGAAGAAAAUAAAAUACAAGACGGGUUCAUUUUUGUAUAUAUUUGUAGUCAGACAUUAAAAACAAUGGAGCAAACCCAUUGCUUCUGUAUCCAAUGGUAAAUGCCUUUAUAUUGAUUUCCAAUUUACUCUACCAAGGUUUCAUCUCAUCGGCGUACAUGCAUAAGCAAAUAUAAAAAAAAUCCAUUACAAUUCAAGUUACGUAGCUAUGCUCUACUAUUUAUAAUGAAUUAUUUAGUCAUAUCUCUAGUCAAUCUAGGACCUCAACACACCCGCUCAUGUUAGCUCAGGGAUAAGGAUUGUUCUCCCCUUUAUAAGAAAUUAUUUAGCUAGCGUAUAUGAUACAAAGAAAGAUUCAAUUCAAGCAUGACAUAAUAGUUUAAAUAGCUCCAGUUAAUCAUUAAUUGGCAAUAAACUUCAAAAAAUUAGUUAGUCCUGGUACUAGCAAGGAUAUUACAACGAUGUUAUGUCUGGUAUAGAUCAUUACAUAGUCAGAAAAACUUAUAACUUACUUCAAAAGUAGUUCAAAAAAAGUGAAAUUACAUAACAGUUAGAGACAAAACAAGAACACAGGUCAGGUUAGUAAAGGACACAAAAUAGUAUAUUCAGUAAUAUUAUGCAAGUAUUGCAGGUCUAACCUUGGUCUGUGUUGGCUUAAAACCAGCAUCAGUUUCUGCAAAUUAAAAAGUUUGUCUUAGAUGGACAAGCAAAGAAACAAAAAGUAAAUACAAAGUAUUGGUGACGGAUCACUAAUACGAUAUACCAAUGAAGCAUUUCACCCUCAGCGAACAUCUUUUCAAUAUGUUAGCUCUAUUUCCCUUUUUGUUCCUAAUGUCCAUAAAAGGAAGUAAAGUCUGUAGACAAAAAUGAAAAUGCAAGUCAAUAGCACUCUAGGAAUUAAGAUUCAGUAUGAAUAAAAUGAAAACACGAGAGUCUACUAAAUGGAAAAACAUGUAAUCUAUAUGAACAAAAAGCAACAUUAGAAUUGUCAAAUUUCUUAUUUAUUUGAGUCCCGUUAUGAUUUAGCAUACUCCUAUUGAAGCCUGCUGGCAGUCAGUGUUGUGCUUGUUGCCCAAUUCUGAGAUGAAGUGGCUCAGAUAUGGUACAAAGGAAGAUUCUUCAAAAGCUCAAGCUCAAACCAACAAGUAGGUCUGAUUGUAUAAUGUCUAGUCAAUACUUCUCCUCAUGACAGCAGCAUGAUAAACCCAACAUACAAAAAUGGUUUGAAACAAGGCAUGAUUUCAACUUAGCGGCAACUACUUAAAAAGAAAAUUUGCUAAAACCAAACAAAAAAUGAGCCAAUGGAAAAAAAUUGAUGCAUAAUAUAUAAAAUAAACAAUAAAAAUGAAUCAACAUAGAAACACAUUUUAAAGUAUGCACGUGCUAAGGAAGGAUGGAAAAGAGAAAAGACAUUGCAGAAUAAAAUUAAUUGAAAUAAUGAGUUAGGAAUAGUACAAGUCCAGUCAUACGUAUAGUUGUGUUACAUAGGCAAAAAUUGAAAGGACAAGACGAAUAAGAAGUCUUGUUUGCACGACAAAGUAAAUCAUAUGGCUUUAAUAAGAAAACAGCUGCUGGAACCAAAGUACAGGGUAAAUUUUCACUGCAAGUUCAAAGCCAAGGUUGGAAGUUUACCCAGCGAGCAUCAGGAAGUAGACGGCCAAGCCGCCUCACAGAUACACGACUAAAGUUUAGGAAGUUUUCUCUGAUUACACAACCAUCAUCCGCUAAUUUUUCCAAAAUCCUCUCGAUAUUCUCCUUUCCCUGUAAUAUAGAAAUACUCAUUGAAUUGGUUAUGAAUUUCAGAUCUAAAUAGACAAAUACUAUAUGUUAUCUGUAUUACCUUUGUGAAGGGGAAAUACACAACCCUCAGCCGUGCAUUUGCUACUUGGAUUUCCCUUGAACCUGAAACACAGUUAUUCAAAUGGAACUUGAUAUCCAUAUUUCUUUACAGAUUUACAGAUAACUAAAUAAAAUGAUUAAACUGUACAAAUAUUAGGGAUACAGCUAAAGAAAUACAACAAUGAUUUUCUCAAAUCCUCUUUCUCUAUCACCACUUUUAUCGUUCAUAUUUUCUCUCUCGAAAAGAAUAAAUUAGCUGGAAGAGGUAGAAACUCUAAUUAAUUACUCAGCAGUGUUCUUGGAAUUUUUCUCCUUGGUUUAUGAGUUUUGUAGAGGGCUGGAAAUUGGGAAUUCAUCAAUACAGAAUUAAGUUUUUUAGCUUUCUAUUAAUGGUUCUUACUUCCUACUGGUAUCAGAGCUCCACCCUGGAACUGUAGUGUAACUAACUAACUAGUGAUAGCAAGAAAAUGAAGGAAAGGCAAGCGAUUGAGAAAAAGUUGGAGGCAUACAGAGGGAAGAAGAGGCGGGGAAGAAGGAGCAGGAGGCAUGGAAGAGAAAGAGAGGCAUGAUUCAAGAAGUUGGUAAGGAUGUUGGCGGAAGAGAGCUAAAGAAGUGGUGAGAAAAACUGAGGCGAGAAGGAGAAAACGACUAACUGUACGAGUAUCGAGAGGGCAUUGCGCGUAUCAAGGGUCUAUUAGAGUAUACUAUAUAGUCUGGUAUAGUUACUGUUAGUAGUGUUCUAAUUACAGUGUGUUACUGUUAAGUAGUUAGUUACCCUAGCAGUUAAGCCUAGCUGUCAAGUUAGUUAUCUUAGCUGUCAAGCUUAGCUGUCAUAACAGAAUUAGUUAGCUUCUUACGCAAGCUUUGUAAACUCUCUAUAAAUACAGAGAUCAACUCUUGUACUCUUUAGUUUUACAAUCAAUGAAAUUCGGUUAAACAUUUCAGCAUUUCUAACAGGGUCGACGAUGGAGGACGAAGGGUGACGAAGAACAAUGAGUGAGUCACGCAUCUCACGCGAGUCAGCAGGGCAGGAACUACAAGGAGUUGUUCAAGUCGUACUCGGCUCCAGACUCCACAGGCAGAGUUUGGAGGCGUGGAAAAGUGGAUGGAUGAUAACGAGUAUGUCAUCCCAUUCCACCAACCAUGGCGACCGUAACAACCCAAACCUGAGUCAUGUAUAAACCCGAGUCGUUCGACAACUCCUGAGCAUAGCAUGACUAAAAAGGCAACCAAGACACAUGUAAUGAGUUUCAAUGAAUUGGUUUAAAAGCUUUGAUCUUCAUAUUGUAGGUUCAGAUUUAUAUGGGACCAAUAAUUCUAACCCACGAGAUGAGUGCUGCUUUCACAAAUUGAUAGAAGCUCAUAUUAUUGAGUUCGAGAAAGUUCGAACAGAGCUGUCAACACACAAGAUAUGAGAGGCAUAGGAGCAUUGUCUGAACUUUUGGUACACUGAGUUGUCUCAACUAUGCAAACCUGAACAAACAGUUCGACCUUGCCCUCUUCUCCCCAUGUCAAUGAAGGUCACUCUGAUGAAGAUGAGGAUGAAGGGAAAGUGACCCAUUGUUGUCAGACUGCAGAGGAAGGAUUUGAUGGAGCCCUUUUGUAGAUAAGUGGAGAAAAGAGACAAUUUCUGAGAACAAAACAGUGCAUUCAUUUGGGUUUGAAAUUAUUGGUCAGAAUUUGAGGUGGAAGGAAAUUUCUGAGAAGAAACCAGUGGAUAGUUCUUAGAGUUGAAAUGGGAGUUUAAAUGAUCUCGGCCAAGAGAUUGGCUUGGAUUGUUAUUGACCGGAUAGUCCUAUGGAUAAUAGUUAUCAAUUUCUGAAGAUGAUAUAUGGUUUGAAAGAGUGGAUUUUGGUUUUUAAUGUUGUUUAUGGUUGGAGAUAAAGAUGAUGAGAUGAAGAAGCUGAAGAAGGAAAAUUUUAAAAAAUUAUAUUUGUGCAAAAAUAAGUAAAGAAUAUAUAAGCUUGGGCAUCCAAUGUCUUCAGAAUUUUAGUGAAAGGUGUGGUGUCCUUCACUAAUCUAGUUCAAUCUUUGUCUAAUGUGGUAUGCAGAAAUACAUCUAUGCCUCCCUCAUGACACAACUCGUUUUCAGAAGAAGACAGUCUUGGAAUAUUGUGUCUUCAGCUAUAAUGGUAUCUCUUAGUUCCCAGCAAUGAGACCCAGACAGGAGAUAGAAGCUGCUAUACUAGGUUCAGCAAACAGGUGGUAACAUAAGGUUGGCCUAGUACUUCCAAUGAACUUAGAUUUCCAAGCUUAAGAUUCCAAGUGUCAAGAGUUCAAUAUUCAAAAGUAGAGGCAUGAAGAGCCAUUUUCGGCUGCUAAGUUCAUAAGGAUCUUUUUUAUGUAGCAUUACUGCAGUGGUGAAUCCCACAUGUUGCUUGUCAAGUCACCAAGACAUCUCAGAAAGGGAACUCCGAAUCAAUUGUGCUUCUAUUGAGGGACAAUACAGUUGGAAAUGUGAAGCUGAAAAUUAUAGUUGCAGUCAUUUUAGACCUCAAAUGAUGGGAUCCAGGAAAAAGUCUUGUGGCUACCCAGUUGUGGACAUUUGGGAAGAAUCAAUAGGUAGCAACUCUGCCUUGAGUGAACAGCCAUCAGAGUGCAUUUGGUUGUAUAGUUCCUUGAAACAUAGUGGGACUAGAGUUCAUCAUGAACAGUGCAAACCCCUACAAUGACAGGGGAUUUCCAAGCCACUACAAAAGAUAAUGAAGGAGUAUUUCCAAGCUUCAGCUGAAAAUAUGAAGUCAACUGCUAUUGGAGUCUUUGAAGAAGACUAAUGGAACCAUGAAGGACACUACUAUUUCCUAUUUGUACCCUGGUUCACUUGUUUCAAACAGUUGGACCAAGGUAGAACAUUGUUUCAGGUAACGGUUCUGGUAAGCUCAAAUGGCCACUUAGCCAACCAUCAUCAUGGUUGGCCCAAAUAACUACAAGGAUGGUCAAGCUGGUUAGCCAGGACGACCAAAUUUGGAGCACCUAUUUGUUAACCAAUUGGCCCAACAUAACGUUAAGGUGAUAAAGCUGAUCGAGUGAUUCAACUUAGCAAGGUUAAAAAUCCUCGACACCGUUCACUCCAGCCUCUAUAUAUACAGGUUUGUCAUUUCAAAAAAAAAAAUUGAUCAAAUUGUAAGAUUUAAGCAUAGCUCAAAAUUGUUUUCUCAUUGCUCUUCUAGACUCUAUGUGAGUUCUCUCUCUGGUCCAUCGUUGACUUAAACGUCAAAGUGUCUUUUGCAAUUACCUCCGCCGUGGCCCAUCCUUUACCACCAUGCCCUCAGCCGCACUUUUCACCGUGCACUGCCAUACAUGAUCAGAGGACCAUCUCACCAAAUUUUCUCGAAGAAUACAGGUCCUCCUGUAUGAUGGGAAGAACCACAAAUUCGAGGACAACAAGCAGAGGUGUGGCAGAUCUUGAGAACAGGAUGAUCACUUUUGGUAUUGAAAGGAAUAAACCUCCAAUAAGGAAUGUCUAUUAGAAGGCGAGAGGAUGACAAGCAGGGAGAGAAUCAAAACCGUUUGAGGGUUAGUUGGUUAUAGAGAUUGGGAAGGGUGAGUUAAUGGUUACGACAUAGGAGGUUAGGAAAGACAUUGAGCGGGGGACACAGUGUAAUCGAGUCUCGGAUUAUUCAGCAAUGUUCUUCUAUUCUUUUCAUCAUCCGUCUCUCGCUCUCUUACGUACACCAGUCUCACACUUGUAGAUGUGAUGUGAAUUCAAGGAAAUAUUACAUAUCUCACACACAAAAAAUUGCUAGAGAUCAAGAAAUUCACACUUGUUGAUGUGAUGUGAAUUCAAGGAAAUAUUACAUAUCUCACACACAAAAAAUUGCUAGAGAUCAAGAAAUCAUAGAGAUAGAAAUGGUUACUUGCAGUUUUGAUGCCAUCACUGUCAGGUGAAAAGGAAAGACGAAGCUGAAACUGAAAUUCAGGACCAUUGCAAGAAUGCAAAUUGGUGAUUGCAACCUCCCCACCUUGAAUCUCAGUCAAAUCAACACUAUUGACCUGUAAAAUUACCAAAUUUGAUGUGCUUGUCCAUAGCUACUAGUAACCAUUCAAUGGGGGAAAAAUUCAAAUAUCAAAACUAAAACUUGUAAAAUUGACUAUAGCGUAAACAUUUUUUUCAUCUAUUGAAACUGAUAAGAAUAAACCUCCUUUGAUCCAUGUUUAUCGCCGGAAAAAGAAGAAUUUCAGGUCUGGAACCACCAUGGGAGGUGGCGCAGCCACUACUGUGGCCAUGGAGACUGCUGAGCAGCCAAAACAGCAAGGAGAAAGGGGAAAUUCAAAUUUGGCAGAUGGUUUAGAAGCAGUUACCAGUCAGUAGUUAUUAGGAGUUAGCAGUUAUUAAGUGUGUAAGUUGGUUAUUAUGUGUGUAUGUCAGUUUGUAUUCAAAAUAAAAACUGCACUAUGCAGUUGUAUAAAUAAUAGGCGCAGCCUAUUAGAUGGUUGUCCAGAAAAUUAAAAGUGUGGUAGUAGGGAGAGAUCAGGCUCUCGAAUUCCUGCUGUAUUGUACUAUUUCCGGUAGAGAUUCUUCAUCUCUGCAGUAUCAAUAAUAAUUAUCCAUUACUCUAUUUCCUUAUCUUAUCAGAAACAGUGAAAAUAUGCUCUAACGUGAAAACUGCUAAGCUCAUAGUCUCAUAUAAAAGAAAAAUAUAUUUAGAAGAGAGAAAUAAAAAAUAAAGAGUUCAAUAUCUGCAUUAUGAUCUUGUCAUCUUUCUUCUCAUUAAGAUUUGACAUGGGCUUGACAAGACUGCCACCAAAAGAAUAACAGAAUCCUUGUACAGAUUUAGAAAAUUAGGUUUUCAAUAUAUUUGGAAAAAAUUUCUUGGAUAGUCGAGAGUAUAAACAUGACUCCAGAUUAAUCAUAACAGUAUAAGUAAGCAGCUCACGAAAAUGAUGGUAGAACAAGAACCUGAAACUUGAUUGGGGUAAUAGUCUUCCCUCUUUCAGAUAAUUCAUCGCACUGAAUGAAUACAACAAUUAGAAACAUACACCUCAAGUUAGUGAAGAACAAUAUGUUUCCCACAAAAUUCUAAGAAAAAAUAUUCUGAGCACUUGAACAUUAAAAGCAAAUUUCUCUAACAUUAAUGUAAAAUUUAACCCCUUAGAAACAUGAAAAACUAAUUAAAAUAUUUGGAAAAUCCAAUUCUACACAGUUGCAAUAUAAUAUAAGGAAUAAACAGACACAUUGAAUGUAUUCAAACAUAUACUUAGUGUGUAUUUUAGAUACCAGUUGAAUGCAAUGUGAAUGGACUUUCAUGUCUGUCCAUUCAAAAUUGUUUUUUUUUAGUUGGUGCUAACAUCUUUCGUUUGAAGUAUUUAUUUUCCUUUAAAACUGAUGAAUUCUGAAACCAUUUUUACUGACAGGCAUUACUCUCAUUUCAAAAAGUUUCCCCAACGAGCUCUACUAAGUAUAAGCAUCCCUAUGACAAUAUCGGAAUGAACAGAAACAUGAAUUCAUAAAAUCUGAUAAGAAAAUAUAUCAUCUCAUCUGAAUCAUGAAUUUUAUUCACUAGCGGGUUAAUCAAACCUGAAUGUAGGGAAAAUAAAUAUCUUUCAGGUGGCACUGAAGUCUGUUUAUGUCAAAAUCUUUUACUUUAGGGUCGAAAAUUUCAACCUGCAACAGGACCAUAUAAUGUUUAUAUGACUAAAAAAUGACAAGAUAACCAUUUGCGCACGUAAGUAUAACAUAAAGAAGAAACUAGAAAGUGAGAGAAUUUUGCUGGUUGUGCUUGUACACCUCAAUAUAGAAUUCCAUUAACAAGACAAACACAAACUUAUCCAAUAGCAUCAAUGAAUUAAGAGAAUACAAAACAAGUGGAGCUAGCAAAAUGGCAUCUCAAAAAUAAUGAAUUGUCCUAACAAUUUAGAAUAUUCAUGAACAUCUCUUUACAAAUGACAUUAUCUCUUUGUGAAAAAAUAAAAAUGUUAAUAGUUGUGGUUAACUACAUAAUGCACUUUAAAUUAUAUAACAGGUGAAUACAACUUUACUUGCUCAUUUUAGAGGAGCGUAGAGUACUAUAAACAAGUGAUCAUCUUUAAAUCUGCCUUGCAUCAUGGCUACGGAAAAUUUUCGACUUACAGAAGCAAAGAAAGUUUGAGGAUUCUCAUAAAACUCAAGAAUAAAUAAAUGAUAGCCAAAAGAAAAAAAAAAGAUAAGAGAUACUUUGCCAGGAAGAAACAUCAGGGGAAAUGGAAGGAAAGGAAGCUUACCGUAAAUACAUGAUUAAGUAAUAUCAUAUAUGAUUAAGAGGUUAAUUAACAACUAAGGUCAUAUCCACAAUGCCUAAAAUGGAUAAAAGGACGACAAUAUGCAAAUGAUAGAUAUAAUGAUAUACCAUUGUAAAGCUUCCAUGACAGUCCUUGAUUUCGUCCUUUGAGGGAUCUCUGAUGCCACCAUCAGUCUGAAUGAGAAAACAAAAAUCUAUCACUACACAGAAUAUUUGAUUUCUCAUUCUCAUUUAUUAUGAAGUCAUGUUAUCAUUUCAAUUCUCAAUUAUUCUUAUAAAAUCAUGCAAUCAUUUUCAAUUCUCAGAGAACUAAAAAGUUAAAUAAAUUGAACAUAAAAUCUAGACAUUUGAAAUUAAGUUUUUGAAUAAGAUCAUACAAUUUUAAAUACAAAAGAUACAUAAAAAGAUUUUCUUAAUUUAAAUUUAAAAUUCCUGUUGAGAUAGUAAACAAAGGAAUUUGUUUUUGUUUAAAGAAAUGACAGAUGAUGAGUGAUUUUUAGGGGAAAAUAACAAUACCAAGAGAAAGUAUGUUAAAAUGGAUUGGACGAGAAACUGGGUGUGAAUCUAUCAAAACCCAUAAAUAAAUAAAUUAAUAAGAGAGAAGAAAAAAUACAUGCAUUGAUAGGGAAACAUGAAUACCUUCCAUUUGACUUCAGAGCAUGUAUUUAACAAAGCUUCCCUCUCAAGAUGUAACAUGUAGACUUUCUUCACAUGUUUUGUUUUGGAGGAAACUGAAGCACGCCUGUUAUGUGAUAAAACAUGAGAAGGAGCUAUGAAGAGAUAAAUAUAAUUUUGGGGAAGUGCUUGAACAGAAGUAGGAAAACUGUGUUAUUACCUCCCCAAAUGCAUAGAUGCUAUAGGUCCACCGUAUCCAAACAUUCCAAAGUAAGGCUGCACAAUCACUAAAAUAAAUCAUUUUAAAUAACAGAGCUGAAAUUAACCUGCCCCCCUCUGAUUAACAUAUUGCAUAAAGAAAAUAAUUCCAGUUACCAGUACAUGUCUUAUAUAUGUACGCUCUUGAAGCUUAAAAAUACUUGUACUUGUUUAAGCACGUUACAACAAACAGACACAACAAAUAUUGAAAUGCAAAAGUGAACAAAAAAUUAAGAGCACCAUCAAGUAUGGAGGUUUUCCUCCAAUAGCCUGCAAUUUUGAAUUUCUGUGAAGUGAAGCACCCAGCUUUCCCCUGUCAAAGAGAAAAAAAAGUAUAUAUAAUCAAGAGAAGACAGUGCAGCUGACAGAUGUCCUGACUGAAGUAUUCUAUAAUUUGAUUGAAAGUGGUUGCAACUGAAUCUUUCCAAACCAUCAAGUGUAUCAUGUAUUCAUGUAUGAUGAAAGUAUAAACAAAGAUAAACAUGCAAUUACUCUUGUACUAUGAUUGAAAACGAGGUGUCAUUUAGAAAACAACUAAUGUGUGAGCACUGAGCACUAGCAGAAUUGAGACUUCAGAGCUGUUUCCUUCGAGUUUUGGGUAAACGCUUCUGUCUACAUUUCAUGUUUCGUUAAGAAUAGUAAAAAGUCUACUUUGUUUCCUGUUUUAAAGAAAUUGUAAUAAGAUGUGGUGAAAACAAAAAAUAGACAAAAAUUAAAGUGAUAUUUUUGAAAAUUACAACAAAAAGCUGAAAAGGAAAUAUUUUUUCCAAACAUUUACUCAAACAACUUAAUAUGAUCAUGUAAUUUGGAACUUUCAGAAAAUUCAAGAAAAAAUAUAUACAAUCAGAUAGCUACCACUUCACUAGGGAAUUAUCAUCAGUGUCAUCCAUGCCAGGGCCAUUGUCGAAAAUUGAAAUCUUAUCUGGACCAACAUUUACUCUGCCAAUCAAAAAAUACACAUAAGCAGGUGAUGAUUAGACCGGGGUGUGAGAAACCAGCCAAGCAAACAGGAGAAAACCAGAUAAUUAAUAUACCUAUGUACUUUUAAUACUAAAAGGAAAGUUGAGAUCCUAAACGAACUGAACUGAACGGUCAUACCUAAUUAGCUUUCUACUAUUUCCCCCAUUAGACCACACAGCUUGCAAGGAAUUAUCCUGUAAAUGAUCAGCAGUUUUAGUGUCUGAAUGAGAAAAAUAUUUAUAAUUAUGAGAUUAUAGUCUCUGUUCUGUUUUGUUAAUGUUCUCACAAUCAAGUCUGCAAGGGCUGUUUGGAAAGAAUAUUCCUCAGGAAGCUCCAGAAGCAGAUCAAUAUCUGGCGUCAAAUCCCACAUAUUCUGCAUUGCAUUUCAAACAGAAUCAAAAUAUCCCUAAAAAACAAAAGAAUAGUAGGCUAGUAGCAAGGACAAAGAAACUACGAUAGGAAAUCCUAACCUCAAAAGAUUUGGCAAUUUCAGUUCUCCCAUCCUGAUUCAGAAGAAACAAGAGUAUAAAAAACUGAGCAGAGGAAAAAAACCUAACUCAAAAUUAAAGAAAUAACUAACAUGAAGCUGUAAAAUGUGACAUUUGUGAGGCUUAUAGUUGUGGAAAUCAAUAACGUUCUUAAUCUUAGCGUCAGUGGAAUCGUGCAGAAACAGAGGAGCACCAAUCCAGUUAAUGUCCUUUUUCCUUUUCAUUGAUUGAUUGUGCUCUCGAGCUCCAUUGUAAGCAUCUUCCACCAAUUGUAAAAAAUCCGGCAACGGCAUUUGAGGUUGAGGAUCCCGCAAUGUGAGUUCCACACUAGUCCCGUUAGGUAACAAGAUUUUGAACCUAUAUGCCUUUCCAGUAUCAUCAUCGUCCUUCCUCAGCACCAGUUUCCUCUUUGCAUUGCCAUCCAUGUCUGUUUCCAAUACAUAUGGCGGAGGUGAAACGAGGGUUUGUGAGGGAGAAUUUGCUAAAAUUGGGAAGAGAGAAGAAAGAGUGAGUGAGAGAGAAAGAAAGAAAGAAGGGAAAAUAAAACGACGAUGGAGGGAGGAGUUAAAGAGCCUGCGGUGAAGUACUGUUGGCCAAUAAAAGGUUGACACGUAGCAUCAUGGUUAGAGAGUGCUGGACUGCGUGCUAUAGUACUACUAUUUAUUAUUUAUUAUGCGCUCGUCGUUUGGACUCAUUGAGAAAAACAACGAUUAUAAAAAAUAAAAAUAAUAAAAAAUAAAGAGUAAGAGGAAGACCAGUAGUCGUGAUUUCGGUGACUUGCGAAGGAAGUCAAAGUGGAGCCUUCUAUAUCUAUCUACUGCAUAUAAUUAGCAUGUUGAAGUUAAUUGUAUUGUUAUUCGGAGUGAAUGCUAAUACUUAGGUAGCGUUUGGCCCAGUUUUUUUAGAGCUUAAAAGUUACUUAUAAGUCAAAGUUAAAAAUAAGAGCUUUAAAAUUAAAGCUUUAGUUGUUUGGUAGUUUACAUAUUUUUACAUUGUAAUUGUAACUUUUAAGCUAAAAAUUGUUUGAUAAAUCAUCUAUAUUUUCUCAUAUACUGGUCUUAACAUUUUAUCAAAUGGUUGGUAUGCACUACAUUUUCCAUCUGAGUGGCCUUCUUUAUACACCAAACCAUCAAGCUUACAUAAGAAACAAAAAGCAAACCCAGAUUAUCAGAGACCCUGAACGGUUAUCUUAAUACACCCCUAAGGAUUCCCUAAAUCAUUAAAAUUGACAACCCAACUCACUAAAAACAUACUUCUAAUUGUUACUGUCUGCAUCUUUCCAAGCAUAAACAAUAAUUGGUUCCCAAUUGCUACCGUUUGGGAUUACCUCGCACACUCUCCCAAUAGAAAAAGGCUCGUGUCCAAUUUGGAUCUAAUUUGCCAUCAGCAAAUACAGUGAUGAUUGGAUCUAAUUUGAUACCGUCUGCAUCUUUCCAAGCGGACGAAUUGGAUCUAAUUUGCGAUCAGCAAAUACAGGAUUUAUUAUUCUGCAGAGCAAUGGCACGCCAAGGAUCGACCAAACAGGGAAGGGAACAAGAACGAGAUGGAAAUUUUUAGAGGAAAGUUUGUGAGUUACUUUUAAGUAAAAACUCCUCUCAUUAACUUAUUCUAAUAAUAACUUUUCUUUAUUUUACACUAUAAAAAAUAAGCUCCUUAAAAUUUAAGACCUUUUUUAAAAUUGUGUUUGGCCCAACUUUAACUUAUGAGUUACUUAAAAGUAAAAAAAAAAGCUGGGUCAAACACUACCUUAAUUAGAAAUAUGAGAGAGAAAGUUAGAGAGAGAGAGAGAGUGGGAGUGGGAGAGGAAUCGUUGAGGGGAAAGGAGGCAAUGCAAUCCGCGACAGAGAAGGAGAAGGCUGGACUAAGGUACAUGGCAGAAAGAAUGGGCGUGAAACCCUGGUCACCGGCGAUAGCCCCGACCAGUAGGGUAACCUGGGUGCGGUGUUCAGGCAUCCCGUUACAUAUGUGGUCACUAGAUUGUUUCAAGUAUAUAGUGCUACAACUUGGUGAUGUGGUUAAGGUUGAUGAUAAGACGAGUACUCUCUCCAUCCUGGAGUUUGCGAGACUGCAGAUUAGAACUACGGCACUUGAUUUCAUCACCCUGUCAAGGAAGAUUAUGCUAAAUGGCACCAGUUACACGGUCAGGAUUAUGGAGGAAGUGGGCAUAUCUGACCAUCAAGGUUGUUGUAGCAUCGAUGAAUCAGAGGAUGAGGAGGAUGAUGACUACUCAUAAUGGUCCCUGAACGGCGGUGCAAUUUCACCAGAAGGCUCGGAGGUUGGCGGUGGUAACGGCGAGAAAAACCUAGAGGAGGACGACGGUCAGCGCAAACCACAAGAGAAUCCUAAUCAUUCCCUUGGGGACAGAAACAAUCAUAGUCCCAAGGGAGGUGCAAUCACUCCUACCACAGUUGUCGAGAAAGCCAAUUAUGAGGGAAUUAUCAGUGGAGGAAAAUGUGGAAACUAGGAAUGAAGCGGUGGGACCGACAAGAGGGGGAAAAGAGAAUGAAGAACUGUUUCAAACUGAAUUACAGGAGGAGGGUAAUAUGGGUAAUGCACAGGGGGAGAGGUAAUUCUCAUUCCUACCCUGAAUAAAAAUGGAGUGGGCCCGAGUCAGUCAAAUAUUUGGGCCCCGGGUGUGGAGGUGGGUUAGGAGAACCCGAUCCAAAAAGGAACAACCCAAGUGCUAGAGGGUGUGGAGGAUAACGCACGUGAAACAACUACAGAUAAGGCCAUAGCUAUUGUUGGUGCUCGCAAGAAAAAUAGAGCAAAGCCAAUGUUGAAUCUGAAUCACUCCUUCUAGGGAUCCUCGAUGGACUCGGUUAGAAAUCCUCAAGCAUCUCAUCUUCCGUUCACUCUGCUUCGACAGACAUCGACGAACUCAGGGAGACGGAGCGAUGAUCUUCAAAUUGUUGCAACAGUGUCGGGAAUUCAGAGGAACGAUGGUGGAUUCAGAAGUUCACUGUUGUCCGUUAGUAAUUCUAAUUCAGGAACUGACUUUCAUAAUUGUAAUAAGGAUGUAUGGUUGAGAGGAGUGGAGGAGGAAGCUAAGAGGAUCUGGGAACUUGGGAAAGAAUUUGGGGUUACUGCAACAGGUGAUGAAGGGGUAGUAGUCUCAAAAUUAGUAGAUAUGGAGCAUAGAGAUGCCAAGGAAGUAGGCGACUUGGUGAAUGUGGAGCCAAGGAGGGGUGAAGAUGGUGAACAAUGAAGAUUAUGUCAUACAAUGUUAGAGGGCUGAGGAGCACUGCUAAAAGGCGAAUAAUCAGGGAACUAGUGGCAAAAGAAGGAAUUGAUAUGUUGCUCAUCUAGGAGACCAAACUUGAGGAUGUGGACUUACAAACAUGUUCUCAGGUUUGGGGGGACGCGGAUUAUGAAUGGCAGGCUACAUCGGCAGUGAAUAGGGGAGGCGGGCUAUUGUGUAUUUGGAAGCGGGGUGUAUCUCUCCUUCAGAAUUGCGUGAGAGGACAAGGCUUUCUUGGACUGAUUGGCACUUGGGGAGAUAUGUCAGAUGUGUCUGUGAUUGUGAAUGUUUACUCUUCUUGCAGGCUUGAGGAAAAGAGGAACUUAUGGCGUCAACUAGUUGAUUGGAGGAACAACAGCGACGAGGUCACGUGGUGCUUAGGAGGAGAUUUUAAUGCAGUAAGAUCAUAAGGGGAACGCAAGGGAGUUGCAACAAAGGUGGGUUCACAGAGACGUGAGAUAGCUGAAUUUAAUAAUUUUGUAGAGACAAUGGAGGUCUUGGAUUUACCAUUGGUAGGACGUAAAUUUACAUGGUAUAGGCCGAAUGGACAAGCCCAAAGCAGAAUUGAUCGGUUUCUGAUUUCUCAUGAAUGGCUAUUACAAUGGCCAGGAUGUCAACAAGUGGGUCUUUGUAGAGAUAUCUCUGAUCACUGCCCACUUGUAUUGAGAUCUGUUUUGCAGGACUGGGGACCGAAGCCAUUCAGGGUACUAAACUGUUGGUUGAAACGUCCUGGAAUUUCUGGGUGUGUGGAGAAAACAUGGGCGGAAACACAGGCAGUAGGAUGGGGAGCUUUCGUGCUCAAGGAGCGCUUAAAAGAGCUAAAAUUGAAAUUGAAGGAGUGGAAUAAGGAGGUUUUUGGGGACUUGACAACCAAGAGGAAUGACUUGGUGCAGAAAAUCAAUGAUCUGGACCGCAAGGAGGAAGAGGGUGGGCUGACUACGACAGAAGUGGAUGCAAGAAAGGUUCUGAUUGGUGAAUUCUGGUCAGCCAUUAAACACCAGGAAUCUCUUCUACAUCAAAAAUCCAGGUCCCAGUGGUUGAAAGAAGGAGACUAAAAUACAAGGUACUUUCAUUCUUUGAUUAAUUGGCAGCGAAGAUCUAACUCGAUAGUAGGACUUAUGAUUGAUGGCAAAUGGGAGGAGAAUCCGCAGAAUGUGAAGGAGGAGGUAAAAAAGUACUUUGAGAGGCGAUUUGUAGCUGAAAAGUGGGCGAGCCCGGUGUUGAAUGGAUUGUCUUUCCAAACACUGUCUCAGGCUGAUAAUGAGCUACUUACUAGUAGGUUUGGUGAGGAAGAAAUUAAGGAGGCUGUUUGGGACUGUGGUGGGGAUAAAAGCCCGGGACCGGAUGGAUUUAAUUUUAAAUUCAUUCAGCAAUUCUGGGAACUAAUGAAGACUGAUUUUCAGAAGGUAUUGGAUGAGUUUUGGAGUAGGGGGUGUGGUCGAAAGGUAGUAAUGCAUCUUUCAUUGCAUUGAUUCCUAAAGUGAGCUCUCCGCUUGGCUUAAAUGAUUUUCGACCCAUUUCCUUGAUUGGGUGUAUGUAUAAGGUGGUCUCAAAGGUGUUGGCAUUAAGACUGAGGAGAGUACUACCAAAGGUUAUUAGUAGUAAUCAAUUUGCUUUUCUUGGGGGCCGGAAUAUGCUUGACAAUGUGGUGAUGGUUAAUGAAGCUCUACAUGCAGCAAAGAAAUUAAAGAAAGCAACUUUGUUCUUCAAAGUGGACUACGAGAAGGCUUAUGACUCAGUGAGCUGGGAAUUCUUAGCAUACAUGAUGAGGAGAAUGCAGUUCAGUAAAAAGUGGAUUAAAUGGAUUAUGAAUUGCAUCAAAUCAGCCUCUGUCUUUGUAUUAGUUAAUGGGAGUCCAUGUCAGGAGUUCUCAAUGAACAAAGGCCUUCGUCAAGGUGAUCCACUAGCUCCUUUUUUAUUUUUGAUUGUGGCUGAGGGUCUUAAUAAAUUCUUUGCGAAGGCAGUGAGUAUGGGCAGAUUUCAGGAGUUCAACUUUGGAGGAGACGCAGGGAUUAGUAUCUCUAUGUUGCAGUUUGCAGAUGAUACUGUUUUUAUGGGUGAUGCAACAAUCCAAAAUGUGUAAGUUGUCAAAUGUAUAUUGCGGUGCUUUGAACUUAUUUUUGGUCUUAAAAGUUAAUUUUCAUAAGAGUAAAUUAGCAGGGGUGGCAGUGGAUCGGGACUUUUUAGGGAGGUUUGCAGCUAUUCUUCAUUGCAAAAUAAUGACUAUACUCUUUGUAUACCUGGGAAUUCCGGUAGGAGGUAGAUUAAAGAGCUUGGAAUUGUGGGAUCCGGUUAUAAAAAAGCUGCGGGGGAGACUCUCAUCAUGGAAACAAAAAUAUAUCUCUUUUGGAGGACGGGUAUGUCUUAUUCAGAGUGUAUUAUCUGCAUUACCAUUAUUCUUCCUCUCCUUUUUUAAAAUUCCAGUUGGUGUGCUUGAGAUUUGUACUGGAAUUAUGAGGAGAUUUCUUAGGGGGGGUGUCGCUGCGGAGAGCAAAAUUAACUGGGUUAAAUGGUCGGAGGUUUGCAAACCAAAGGACCAUGGUGGGCUUGGUAUCAAGGAUUGGAGGCUGUUCAAUAUGGCACUAUUAGGAAAGUGGCACUGGCGAUCUUUGACGGAGCCUUAUAGUUUAUGGUGUCGUGUAGUUAAGGCCAAUUGCAAUAGUUGUGGUGAAUCCUCAUGGUGGAAGGCAGUUCAAUCAAUCAGCCAAGAAGAUGGUUGGAAUUGGCUCCAAGACAGCUUACAAAAAACUGUUUUUGAAGGUAAUGAGACAAAAUUUUGGGAUGAAAAUUGGCUGGGCUUAGGAAGCUUGGGUCUCCGCUUCAAACGAUUAUAUAAUUUAUCCUGUCAGAAGCGUGAAUGUGUAAAGGACAUGGGACAGUGGGAGAAUUGGGUAUGGAUAUGGACAUUUCGGUGGAGGAGGAAAUUGCAAGGAAGGGAACUAGUUUGGCUAGCAGAGCUGAAGGAGGCGUUGUGUAGUGCACAACUAGUAGAGGACAAGAAGGAUCGCUGGGUAUGGAAGCUGGAGGAGGGUGGAAUUUAUUCAGUUAAUUCCUCUUAUGUUUUUUGCAGGAACGAUUUUUAGAGGAACCUGAUUCUGUUUUCCACUAGAUUUGGGCAGCACCAGUUCCGUCAAAUAUCAAGGCGUUUGCAUGGCGAGCUAUGCUGGGGAGGCUUCAAACUUGUGAUAAUUUACGCAAGAGACAAGCCAUUCAUGAUGCAGAGGAAGCCUUAUGCGCAUUUUGUAGAUUGGAGGAGGAAUCAUGCUCUCACCUACUCCUAUCUUGCUCUGAAUCUUUGACAAUCUGGUAUGAAUGUUGUGCUUGGUUGGGGGUGUCUACUGCCCAAGUUCCAGUUCCAAGGACUCACCUACUACAAUUCCCUGUGGUUGGGAGAAGUAAAGCUCAAAGGUUAUGCGAAACAACAAUUUGAUUGGCAACUGUAUGGUCGAUCUGGUGUGUGCGUAACAGGGUAAUAUUUAAUGGAGGUGGGCUGGAUAAAGGUCAAGUGUUGGAUCAGAUUCAAGUGAAGUCCUGGCAAUGGUUAAAGGCAUGGCUGGACAAUUUUUCUUAUUCCUGGUAUGAGUGGAAAUUAAACCCCCGUGUGUGCAUCUUGUCCUUAUAGCAAACAGGGGCGUGAAUGGAGGAUAUGUGGAUUGUGCUACUGGUAGAUGUGGUGUUUAGUCCAUUAUGCUAAUACAAAGGCGUUGACAGAAUGUAGCUGCUAAUGUUUCAUAUUUGAAGUGGCUGAAGUUGGUUAUGUUGUUGACUGAACCGAGAAGGAGUACCUUAUGAUCUCUUGGAUAAGGGUUGGGGAGAUGGAUCUCUUGUGGCUUCAUUAUUGACUUUAAAAACCUUGUACUCUUUUUCCUUACUAGGUUUUCCCAAGGGGGUUUUCCCUAGUAAGAUUUUAAUGAGGCAUUGUUUUAAAGUCUUGCUCACAAGAGAUUACUCUAGGCAAUGUUAGAGGGUUUUUUCUUUGUAAUUGUCUUUACUUUUCUUGCUUUUAUCUUUCCUCACUUUGUAUUGGGUUGAAGUACCCAUUGUACUUCAUUUCAAUAUAAUUUUUGCUUACCAAAAAAAAAAACUACUCUUAAUUUCUUUCCUCCUCUUACCUUAUUUGUAUUGGGUUGAGGUACCUGUUGUACUUCAUUUAAUAUAAUUCAUAUUGCUUAUAAAAAAAAAUUAGCAUGUUGAAGUAUUUACUGUGAAUCACUGUUAAUUUGAGUUUGCUUGCCAUUUGUUUUUUUUUUAAAACUUCCUCCCUUCUUUCCGGUUUGACAAAGAUUGUUAAAGAAAAACUAAAAAGAGAUUGAAUAACACAAGUUCCAGUUCAGUAGAUGAAACGUUGUGAAUAAAUAUAUCAUAUGAAUUUCAUGAAUCACACUUAUACCCCUCACGACACGGGUGUAUCCAGGAUUUUCUUGUUGGGGGGCGAAAUAUAAGAUUAAAAAAAUCAUUAGGGAAUUGUUAUUCAGACCCCCCUGAUAGCUAUUCAGACCCCUCAAAAUUGGCGAAUUGUCCAAAAUGCCCCUGUUUAAAAAAAAACUUCCCACUUUCCCCACUAAUUCCCCCCCCCCUCCCACUUCUCCCACUUCUUCAAACUUCUGAAACCCCCCUCCCCCAAACACAUUUCACUCAUUCAAAAUCUCUCUCCCUCUCUCACGCAUCUCCUCCACUGCCUCCGCCUGCCACCGCCAUCGCCAGCGACACCGCAACCGAGUGGAGUCGCUGCCACCCCCAUUGCCACCUUCUGCUGCAACAUUCUUCCCGAAACCCAGGUUUGUUACGCGACCCGACCCAUUCUGUUAUGGUUUUGAUCGCACCUUGUAGAUGCGUCUGUGUCGCAGCUUGAAGGUGCGUGUUCAGAAUGCACGCACCUUAAGGGUCCGCUUGAGACGCACCUUUAAGGGGCGACACAGACGCACCCUGAGAGUGCGUCAUAGACCCUUAUAUGUCAAAGCUUCAAUGCCUUUAUGUUUUUGUUCUGUUUUGAGUCUUAUGUUUCCAAUGUUGGUUCAGAUAUGGCAAGAACAAAGAAUUUGAAUGUGCCCCCGGCCAACGAAAGGAGAAUCCCCCCCCCACGGCAUCGGUACGUAAGGAGCGUGAAGCCGCCGCCCUACGAAAGAAAGAAGAAGCACGUAAAAGGCGUGACGAGGCAACCCGUAAAAGGUGUGCAGGUAGUGCAACGACUGCUGCCACUGUAUUGCAUAAACAACUUGGUGUUACACAAGCAGCUGCUGAAGAGGAGAUCCGGAAGUCCUUAGGACCUUAUGCUCGUUAUACAUGGUUGUUGAAGGUGGCUGAGGACAUGGCUAACGAAGGGAAGACCAAGAAAGUUGCUAGAGCCUUCUUGCUGCGUUUGGUGGGGAUGACGAUCUUCUGUGGGAAGACAAACAACAAGGUGGAUGUUGCAUAUUUGGGGAUGUUCAUGGACUUGGAAAAGGUUGGGGAGUAUGCAUGGGGCGCCAUGGCAUUGGCUUUCCUUUAUGACCAGCUGAAGGAUGCCACCAGGUCUGCACCACUAGCCUUGAAGGAUUGGGAAGCCUUUUUAUAGAGCUGCGGUGACCUAGGUUGUAACGACGCACUUAAUGACUUAUUUAAUGAGUUUUACCGGUUGUUGACUCAUGGUCAAUGGCUGGUGCGUUUUUAAUUCACUCUCAAAGUGCGUCAACAACGCACUCUUAGUGUGCGUUAGUGUCGCACUCGGAAAAUGAGGUUUGUAACACCCCGAUUUCGGUGGCGUCACUUUAGUAACCGAAAGUAAACUUAAUGCGGAAAAACAUGAAUAUUUUUUUUUUGAUAAUAACUAAUACAAGAUUGAAAUAGAUAAAACCCAAAAGCGAAAAGCAACAGAACUAAUGUACAUUAUAUAAUACAGCCCCCGCUGUAAGUAACAACCUCGUCACGAGUAACCUCCAGUGACGGAAAGAAAAGUGUAGCGCCCGAAGGCAAUAUGUACAGACUGAAAGUAAAGGUGAAGUGUCCGCAACACCAUCCCUCAAAACUGAGAAUAAGCUGGCCCAUCGGCCUGAAACGAGACCUCCUAAGUCCAACCAACUCUCUGUGAUUCCUGUAAAGAAACCACACAAAAAGCUAUAGGUGGGAAACUACCCUGUCCCCAAUGAAAACAAUUGAUGUUCAGAGCUAAGACUCUACUCCUACACUAAUCCCAUCUCGAGGAGCUCACACCAGCACUAAAACCUACAUGCUAGCAUGAUCGUCGUCCGAAUCUGAAUUCCAGAACGACCUAGUCUAUGUACACCAUCCGUCCUCCUCUCGCGAUCGCGAUGCGCUCCUAUUCCCGCAUCUCAACUCUAGUCCCCCCCGAAGGGUGAACCGUCGUGAACCAGCCCGCCAAAGACAUCUGACAAUGGGCGUUUGUCCGCCAAAGCACACACAGAAGACGCGAGGGUCAACUCCAAAGAAUUAUAUAAAUAAUACCACCAAUAGAUAACGAUAAAAAAAUAGCCACUUAGGCUUAUAGCUAGGGAUAACAUCCUAGGGUUGCAUAUUCCACAAAACAUAACAACAAUAAUAACACUUAACAUGUUCCAAGUAAGGUUAUCAAAUAGCAAUCACACUCAUCAACUAAGUCAGUAUGCAUGUUGCAUGAAAUGAUAUGCAGGUUAACCCAGUCAACCAAUAUGCAAUCCGGAACGGAUGGACAUCAACGGAUCAGCCCUAACACCAGCCACGGUGGAGCCAUUUCGGCCCGCGUGCCUCUUACUCCAACAACAGCGGUAGUCAGAUCAGCAGUAAACCCGUAGGUCUGCCAUUUCGGUCUGCUACAAGAGACGUCUACAAACGCUCUUACACGGCAUUCCGGGUCUUAUGACCAUUUUGGAAACCGACGAGGUCCAGAGUACGUCCUGUGUUAAUACCUCAUUAAUGUUGCAUGAAUGCAGGAUGAUUAGUCAAACAACGUCUCCGAUCUCACUCGACACGUCGCCACGUGUUCUAGCUACAUUAAAGUCUCUAAAAGCUUACCCUAAGGUAAAGUCGAUUCUGCGACAAAAGACACUUCUUCACAACAACACAUAACCCACGAUGAUCUCCAAAUCAUCCGACUCAUCUCAAUCCGAUGGUCACAACUGCUCAACGAGCACAGAGUAUCAACAUACUCGGGAACUAUCAAUUCCCCGGACUUAUCCCCAGGAUAGCCCAACAACAUAGCUGCUCCAACAGCACAACAACAAUAGCUGCUCCAACAGCACAACAACAAACGCUGCUCCAGCAGCACCACAACAUCUACAUACUCGAAGCCUCUCAACUUUCUCAACACUGGGAUCCGACGACACUUCUCGUUUUCCAAAACUAAGAUUUGACUUCCACGCCUUCCUUUCGAGUUUAUUAUCAUUAAUUAAAGAUUUAGAGGUUGUUUAAUGUCUUAUGAGUUUUCUUUACAAAAUACUAUCCUUUUAGUCUUAUCGCAAAUCCUAUAAGUUCUCGGGAUCUCCAAAUCCCCAAAUGACUCCAGAGAAUGUCUCGAUCCAUAAACAUCAUAACAAGGCCCGAAUCUCAUUCGUCCUAUCAAGCUUUCUCAAAACUCUCAAAAUAAAAUCGGCAUGACCUGCCCGCUAUUCUCACCAUUCAGAAACUCAGAUUCCAGUGCAAAGCAUAUUUAAAUCAUCACAAUCAACAACAUGUCAUAUAUCAAUAAAUCUCAUCAUAAACACUUAGCACUUAGCAUAUAAAGCAUGCACCACACAUCCUAGAUUACCCACAUAGCACAUAGCAUGUAAGUCAAUCUCAAAAAUAUUCAGUAGAUGAAUCAUCUACAUUGUCAGUCGAAGCCUCAGAAAACAUUUUCCAAUCACACACAAUCCAGUGCAUAAACAGUAAACAAUGUCGAAAGCAUCGACCCUAAGCAUUAACUAGAGAUUCAGUGAGAAGCCCUCACCUGUAGAUUCUCCAGGACGAUCUCCUAACACUUGUCACAAUCAAAGGCUUGCUCCUAUGGGAAUUCCUCAAAAUCACCUUUAGAGCAAAACCACAGAAAUACUAUCAGAAUCUAUCGGAAACUAAGCUAUCAAUACAUCACUAAGGUUACACGAAGUAGUACAUACUCCGAGGUACGAUAAUCUAGCGCGAAAGGACAAGUUUUCGAAAAAGGAAUUUUCCUCCUCCUCCCCUAUAGGGCUCGGCCACUUUUCACAAUUGUGGGAUUCGAUUUUUCUUCGAUCAAACUUGGUUCCUAUGCUUUCAUUAGCCGUAACUAAGGGUAUUCUGAACUCGGAAAAAUUAUCGGAUCGAAAACUGCCGCAGGGGUAUUUUGGUCAUGAUUUUUAACUUAGAAUUUUCAAAACUAAAAUCCCAAAAACCAAAUUUGACAGGGACGUCACCAACGACGUUUAUGACAACUAAUCCUACUAGCACUAAGCUAAGGCGAUAGUUUUCAGCCUAAAGGUUGAAGCUUUACUUCAAAAACUCCAAAAAUGGGUAUUUAAGGCUAAAAUUGAUUCCGGCAGAAUUCCGGCGACAUAACGGAAAAUCUAACCCGGCAGAAGUGAUCUUGGGCAUGUAAGGAAGAAGUUUAGAAUCAGAAAUGAAAUAUUCAGGAUAGUUUUGCAAAAACCUCAAAACUAUCAGCUCAGAAAAGUCUACAGAAAAGCUAUGGAAAAAGCGAUCAGAGGUAAGGAUUAGCGACUAUACCUCGGCACCUUGAAGUAGCAACUGUUGGAUCGACGAUCAAGCAAGAAAUGAAGAAAAUCUUCUCCUCCUCCUCUCCUCUCAAACUCGCGGCCUUGGUGGGGAAAAUGGGUAUGGUUUUGUGUUUUUUCUCAUUUCUUGGCUAUAUAUAGAGGUUGGCAAAACGCGGUAAAAUGAAAGUUUCGCGAAUCUGAUUUUUCCGGCGACAUUCUCCGUGAAUUCUAAGAUAAGUUUUGGCGAAAGAAUUCCAAAACUAAAAUGAGGUCUCCUUGUAUUUUUGGCAACUAAUGCAAAGUCGGUGUAAAACUAUUUUACCCGAUAAGUUGCUUUUUGCAUCGAAUGUCGGAAUAGAAAACUUCCUUCUGCAGAAAGAUUGAAAUCAUCAAGAGAAAUGGGUGUACGCGUGUAGAAUCUUCAUUUGAAGCUCUGAAUAGAAAAAUUCUUCAUUGUCGGAUGAUUCUAGGGUUUUGAAAUACCAGGGAUUCGGUUUCGGCAAACUUCCGAUGAUUGGAAUCGGACGUCCGUAGAUCCUAGAGUUUCCCCUCAAAACUAUUUUGAUAUAUGGAAAAAGAGAAGUUCUAACAUUUCUCUGAAGAUUUUUGGAAUUAACUUCCAUCGUGCCUAAAAGUGAAAACUAGCUAUAUACUAGGGUUUCUGACCUAAGUUUAAGCGUAUAACGAUCGUGCUAUAACUUUUAUCGAUCAUGAUGCAAUCCUUAAACUUUCUCCUUCAUAAAUUUAUUUCAUUUAGUAACUCUAGUUCAGGUUUUCCCUUCACGAUACAUCAACCCUAAUCGUGAAUAGGAUUCUAUUCACUUAGCAUAAGUUUAAAAAAACUUGGGCCUUACAAGGUUCAAACUGCGACCAUCACGCAAUUUAAAGGUGCGUUCGAAAUGGGUAAUUUCGGGUUUCAGAAAAUUCCGUCGGUCUGAAUAGCUGUGGGGGGGAGGGUCUUAAUAACAAUUCUCAAAUCAUUAUUGAAUAAUAUAUAAAUUUUAAAUAAUAAAAAAUUAUUUAAAUACAACUUUUUGUUCUUUCAUAGUGCUAAAUUUAUCUAUUAUUGUAUCAAUAGAGAUUUUUUCAGCAAUUUCUCUUUCGAUAGAUACAACUAAUAAAUUUCUGAGAAGAUCAUCUUCAAUUUUGUUGCGAAGCCGAGUCUUAAAAAUUUUCAUUGCAGAAAAAGAUCGCUCUGUAGAUGCUGUCGAAACAGGGAAUGUCAAAACAAGACGUAUCAAUAUAUUAACAAGUGGAAAUAUUGUUACUUUUUCAGUUUCAACUAACUUCUGGUAAAACUCGGAUAAACUAGAAAUUUUUCCUAAAUUAGGAUCUCGGGAAACAUUUGAAUGAUAAUGUCUCAAUUGGAACGGAAAAUUCCUUCUUUCUAGCUCGGAAAAAUACUUAUAGUCGGUGAACAUUUCAAAAUUCUUGGGAGGCGAUGGCCCCUGCCAGCCCUGCCCUAGAUAUGCCCCUGCCCUCACGUUGUAUAGUCUAAAGGAGCAACGCAUGAAGAUGACAAGAAGACGACAUCUCCAAAGAAGAAGACUGGCUAAAGCAUACAAGGCUAUACAAGAAGUUAACUCAAUCAUGAACGAGUAAGAGCAAAGCUACAAAGGCAGACGACACAGUUAAAAGAAGUCAAACAUGUCACAUCGUCUGAGCAUCAACAACGAAGAGAUUGACCAAAGCGUCAAGACAAGAUGAACAAUGAAAGGAAUGCUGAGUAUGCUAAAUGGAUCAACCAGAAGAAUCAAAGCAUCAAGGCAUCAUGAGCCAGCAAAGGAAUGCUACAUGUGCAAGCUAAUUAAGCAAAGAAAAGCGAUAUCUGUCAGAUCGUCCAUCCAUAGAAAGAAGAAGAAGAGAUCAAGAUACAGGAAAAGUCAAAUCAACAAGAUCGUCUUCAGAAGGAAAAGUCAAUGCAUCAAGGCUCAUCUACAUAAGAAGAAUCAAAGCUUCAAGGACACUACAUGCAAAAACAGUCCAAGCCAUAUGGUCGUCUAAAAAGACUGUACUUGAAAUUCUGGCAACCGUUGGACAGAUAUUAUACCAAGUUUCUAAGACAUUGCAUACGUCUUCUUGCACAUAAAACAUUUAAAUUAACAAGUAGAGAAACAAAACAGAAAAGGUAAACACAAGAAGUUGGCAACCUAGUUCAGUGCAACAUCACCUACGUCUGGAGCGUUUUCACCCGAGAAAGCAAAUCCAUUAUUAGUGUAUAGGUACAAUGAGUGUAUUAUUAUUAUUAUUAUUUUUUUUUUUGGAAACGGAAAUGAUAUUAUUAAUAAUAAAGCAACCAUGAGCCAAGAUCCUCAAGGCUGAGACAAAAUACAAGCACACUGCUACACAAAACAUGGAUAGCUAAACAAACGAAGCUAUUGAGCUCUCCCCUGGCAGCUUCCCCGCAAAACGGCUAAGAACAGAAACCUAAGCAUUAGCCUCAAUAAAAUCUUACUAGCAAACGAAGCUAUUAAACCAUCCUCUGGAAACUUCCCCACAAAACAGCUAAGAACAGAAUCCUAAGCAUGAGUCUCAUUAAAACUUUGCUAAGAAAAACCCAGUGGGAAAAAACCUAGCAAAGAAAAAGAGUACCACAUCCCUAGGAUAGCCAAUUUUGCCCCCCUUACAAAUAAACAGAACAUUAAGUCGCCAGUACCCUGAAAGCACUUGAAAAUACUCCUCACGACACCUAGAAAAAAAUGUUGAAACGCCACCAAUAGCAACAACUGCAAAUUUCACACAACUCCAGCCCCCAAACACCAGCCAUUUCGUGACAGUAAAUUUCCGGCAGCAAUAAACGUAAUUUUCGUAACAGCAACAGCAGCCCAAAUUAACAAUAAUUUCUGCCAACAGCAACAGCAAAUUCGUGACAACAGCAACAACAGCAAAAAAUGGCAGCAACAACAACAACACCAUAUCAGCAACAAUUAAACCAAACGCACCAUCAACAGUAAACCUACAGCACCAGCAAACAUAACAACAUCAUGUGUUUGAUAGCAACAUCCGCAGCAGCACCAACGUUAUCCCCACAUGCCUGCAUUAGAACCAAAAAACAAAACUACACAAACUUGAUAUUUUUUCCAAUGCAAGAUAGCCUUCUUUACUACCUCCCACCUUGUCAAACCUCCUAAACCACAUACGUUCCAAGUAAUUCACAGCACAGGCAUCUCAACGGAGAUGAGGAUGGUUUUGUCGUAUCUGAGCUUCUAAACUUCUAAGCAUCAAAGCUUCUGAACCUCUUGGCUUCAAACCCAGUUGUUUACCAAUCAACCACGUUCGCUGUGCACGUGUCGUGACGCCGUCUUCUCCCGGAACUGGUUCCAAGAAAUCAACUGGCAUCGGCUGAGUCUUGUUCUUACUACCUUUAGGGCGACCCCGUUGAGAGCUGCUUUUUCGUGAAGAAUUUGUAUCCCAGUCCAAUCCAAAAUAAAGCUCCCGAACUCAGCAAGUUCCUCGGGCGUCGUACUCAGUUGUGAAACCUCACCAAUUGCUCCAAAGUCUCUUUCCUCAGCUCAACUCGUUCCAAACCUUAAGCAAAGUAUCAUUGCUUAGUCGCUAAGAAACAAUACAACUAAUAACACUAUCAAAACCCGAAAAGAAGCUGCAACAUUUUGUUAUGGGUAGUACAAUCAAAUCAUAUAUGCCCUCCUCAACUGUAUAGUCCAUCCCUACACAGUCUCAGAAUACCUCUUGUUCGGGUGUGAGAUCGGUUCAGUCAUGUGCCCCUCCGCCUAGAAGCCUUCCAGGAGCCGCUACUUGUCCGUGCCUCACUGCACCGGCAAUCACUCCCCGCCCUCGUCGGCCUCGAGUGUCACAGGCCCACCAACUUCCGCUUGGUUCGUCCCUGAACCGCACCGUACUGGGAGAGGUCGGCUCAGAUACCACAAUUGUAACGCCCCGAAUUUCGGGUGUCACUUUAGUAACCUAUUAAAGUAAAUAUGCAAUAUUUUCCAAACGAAUGUAUAAAUAAACACGAGUAUAUUUUUUUUUCUUCUUUUCAAAUGUAUUUCCAAAACAUGUCAUGCAUACUCCCAACUACAAAACCUAACCAAUAGAAACAACUCAACAAAAACUAUUCUGCAAUGUCAUCAUGAAUCCGACAUACUCCCUACGAUCUCCACAUCGGGGAACCGCAGGAAAGCAAUGCAUCGAAACCUACCCGAAACCUCAAAUAUAAAUUCCUAAAACCUUUAUACAAGCUUAAACCAAUAACGGUAAGCUCUCUAACCUAAGGCUCUAGCCUUAAACCCGACUCUACUCGUCGAGUACUCCACUGUCCUGCAAGUCCUCAUCUCUACUUGCACCAAGGUUAAGCUCCUUCGAAGAUUCUCCAUCGCCUAAUAGCGUUAAACGCCCAAACAACAAGUAGCAAAUAGAAAGGGUUAACUCCAUACAACUACCACGUAUAAAAGAGAAAAACAUGUUAUUCAAAUUUAAGUGCAUAUCAUGGCACAUAAACUAGCAACUUAUUUCAAGAUAAAUGACAACAUAUAUCCAACAACAUGAGAUCAAAUCAUAUAUCAGCAAAAAUCAACGAUAUGAAUUUAACUCAGAUAUCAACAACUUAACAAUGUAACAUUUAUUCAGACAUCAACUUAACAGCAUAUAACAACAAAUCAGACAUCAAUAAUCCUCAACAAUAUAACAUCAAAUCAGAUAUCAACAAUCCUCAACAAUAUAACAACAAAUCAGAUAUCAAUAAUCCUCAACAAUAUAACAUCAAAUCAUAUAUCGACAAACCUCAACAAUAUAACAACAAAUCAGAUCUCAAUAAUCCUCAACAAUAUAACAUCAAAUCAUAUAUCGACAAUCCUCAACAAUAUCAAUCAAACAAUAACGUCUCGCAAGACGGGACAAUCACGUGGGACCAACCCACCUCAUCGCCACUUUAGCGUCUCAAAAGACGGGACAAUCACGCGGGACAAACCCACCUCAUCGCCACUUUAUAACGUCUCGACAGACGGGACAAUCCCGUGGGACAAACUCACCUCAUCGCCACUUUAGCGUCUCAAAAGACGGGACAAUCACGCGGGACAAACCCACCUCAUCGCCACUUUAUAACGUCUCGAAAAGACGGGACAAUCCCGUGGGACAAACCAGGGGCGUAGCCAGGAUUUUAACAUCGGGGUGGCCAAAGAUCAAAUAAAAAAUUAAUUUUGGUUUCUUAUAUCUAAACAAUAUAUUUUGAAAUUACUUUUACGUAUAAUUUAUAUACACACAUUCAAUAUUUUAUCCUUAAAUUAAUCAAAUUUCAUUAUAUCAAAAAUAAUUUUAUCGAACAAUAAUCCAAACGACUCUACAUGUGUAAAUCAAUUAGAAAUUGAUAUUUUUUAAAAGUAGAAAAAUAUAUAAUUAGUUUGACUAUAAUAAAUACUAACCAAUCAUUUUUUUUCUCCAUCGGGAAACCGAUACUAACUAAUCAUAAGUUUGUUAAAACUGAAAGUGAGAAAAAAUAUUUUGUUUAGAUAUUAUUUAUAUGUAUGAAUAUGAUAUAUCAUCAAAUGUAACUCUAUAGCCGUGCCUAGCUUAGUGGUAAGACAAGUAGAGGAAUCCAAAGUGUUCGGGGUUCGAUUCCUAUAAGUAGUUUUUUAAAAUUAUGACAGCGUUUUUUUCCAAAAAAAUGAAAAUUUAAUGGCAUAAGUAAGAUUCGAACUCGGGACUGCAGGGAAAAUCAUUGGUGCGCCUACCACUGGGUGCUAAUUUAAUUAAAAUUACAUGAUAAUAUAUAAAUAUAAUGACUGGUGCCAUAAGAAAAAUAUGCCUAGUGUCCUACUGAAAAUCGAAAAGAUGGGGGGCGCGGAGGCACCGGUGAGCCACCCCGGUCCCUCCGCCCCUGGGACAAACCCACCUCAUCGCCACUUUAACGUCUCAAAAGACGGGACAAUCGCGUGGGACAAAUCCACCUCAUUGCCACUUUAUAACGCCUCGAAAGACGGGACAAUCCCGUGGGACAAACCCACCUCAUCACCACUUUAACGUCUCAAAAGACGGGACAAUCGCGUGGGACAAAUCCACCUCAUUGCCACUUUAUAACGCCUCGAAAGACGGGACAAUCCCGUGGGACAAACCCACCUCAUCGCCACUUCAACCAAACCAAAACAUCUCAUCCAACUCAGUAGUCACUCAAACAACAGUCUCAAAUCCAACAAUCAAAUCAAGGUAACAACAUGUUAUUCAUAACCUCAACGAACAUAAAUCAAUUCAAUGCAUACCAACUCAGUUCAAUGACAGAAACCUGUAAACGGUCGAAGCCUCUCAGAAAACGGAGACACACGUCUCAAUAAGUUUACUCGUCCGAAGCCUUCAGAAAACAUUUGGCACAAGCCUCAGAAACAGUCAACAUAAGCAAGCAUACAACAUUGCAAGCAUAAUAAUCAUAAUCCAAUGCCAGUCAAUAUAAACAUCUUCAUCUCAAACGCAUGCAGUGCGAUAAAAGCAGACAGGACUCAAAGACGCUCUAAAACUGAGUUACCCUUACCUUAGCCAAUUUCUCCACCCAAGCUCAACAUCCCAGUCCAAUCCAAAAUAAAGCUCCCGAACUCAGCAAGUUCCUCGGGCGUCCUACUCAGUUGUGAAACCUCACCAAUUGCUCCAAAGUCUCUUUCCUCAGAUCAACUCGUUCCAAACCUUAAGCAAAGUAUCAUUGCUUAGUCGCUAAGAAACAAUACAACUAAUGACACUAUCAAAACCCGAAAAGAAGCUGCAACUUGUUGUUAUGGGUAGUACAAUCAAAUCAUAUAUGCCCUCCUCAAAUGUAUAGUCCAUCCCUACACAGUCUCGGAAUACCUCUUGUUCGGGUGUGAGAUCGGUUCAGUCAUGUGCCCCUCCGCCUAGAAGCCUGCCAGUAGCCGCUCCUUGUCCGUGCCUCACUGCACCGACGAUCACUCUCCGCCCUCGUCGGCCCCGAGUGUCACAGGUCCCAUGGCUGCCAAUUAAAAUUUGAAGUCAGAAUCAUAUCUUGAGUAUUGAAAGAGUAACCAGUAACAACAGAAUUUUGGGCAAAAUCUUUGGCAUAAUUUUGUUGCUCUUUACUCAAGAUUUGAAUAUCCUCAUCAGUUUUUUCCUGAGUCAUUAAUGAAUUUUUCCAUUCCUCAAUUUUCCUGAGUCUUUUAACUGUUUCCCCUCUUCCUCUCCUGCUUUCAUGUCAGAGUUCAAACGUUGUAACUCCUCUAUUGCUGAGAACGUAAGAGGCUCCUCCUCCCCCACACGCGUUUUUUUCUGAAUUUAUCCCCUCCAUCAAUUGCAUCUGGUCUUUUGUUCCUGGAUUGAUGGUUGUUAAUCCUACGUUUAAAGUUUCCAGACUCGGUUGCCAAAAAUCCGCCACCGACUCAGCCUGAAUCUACGCCACCCCGAGAACAUUCACGUGAGAAUUCAAAUUUUGAAACUCAUGUGAUGGUACUAGCAUGACACGCGUGAAACUUGUAAUAACCACCUUCUCUAACAGUUCCUGGUCUUUCAUCCCUGAAUUGAUGGCAGACGUAUCUGAAACAAAUGAUUUCCGGAUCACAUGCGAAAAUUCUGGCUUGCCGUGGUCACUCGCCGGCGACCCAGCCAGCUUCACCACCUCCACGUGACCUUCCUCUGAUACACCACCAGUCGCCCCUGCACGAAGACAGCCAAGGCCCUCUAUUCUAUCAUCCUUGUACAUUUCAUCUUCCUCCUCUGAAUCGACGUCAACGGCAGACUCAUAAUCUUUGUCAUGACCAAAUUCCGGGGCGGUAAGCACACCAACAUUCACGGUGUCAACAUCUAAACCACCAUCUGCAUCGUCUUCAUCUGACACAUAAUUCUUUACCAGCGUUGACGGCAUAUCCUCGACGCUCCCAUAAUCAUAAAUCGCGUCUUCCUUCUCAACCAAAAUAAUACAUGAAGUCCCGCCGACGUCGACAGACAUAGUAAAACAUUGCAAUAACAGAUGAUUCAUACGAACUAAAAUUCUGGAAAAAUCAACACGAUGCCGCGACGAAGUUGCAAUAUCAGACGACAGAUAGGUCCCCAACCUAUUUCCCACUGCCGUAAAGAAGGAAUCAGUCCACAAUCCCAACGGAACUUGCCAUAACCGAAUCCAAACAAGGUGUGCAGCCCCAAAAGUAUGCACUGUACACGGUCUAAUAUCAGAUAGCUUUUGCUCCAAACAAUAAUGACACUCUAUAAUCGUGACCUACAUCUCAUCGUUAUUUUCAAAUUCCAAAAUCGCUUCAUUUGCCCCUAAUGGGAUGAAGCAAAAAUUAAACAAACCGAUCUUACUGAAUUCCUCCUGCAACUCAUCUAACGGCAUAGCUACAAGAGUAUGUGCUUGAGCAUAUCUUUGAACCCACUUCUCAUCCAAAUCCAACGCCAUGAAACUCAACUGACUACUUUCAGACUUGUGAUUAACCUCCUUUGGCUUAUCUGGGAUGUCUUUUUUCUUCAUAUCUGGGAUUGUGAUUAACCUCCUUUGGCUUAUCUGGGACGAAGUUGCAAUAUCAGGCGACAGAUAGGUCCCCAACCUAUUUCCCACUGCCGUAAAGAAGGAAUCAGUCCACAAUCCCAACGGAACUUGCCAUAACCGAAUCCAAACAAGGUGUGCAACCCCAAAAGUAAGCACUGUACACGGUCUAAUAUCAGAUAGCUUUUGCUCCAAAAAAUAAUGACACUCUGUAAUCGUGACCUGAAACUCAUCUAACGGCAUAGCUACAAGAGUAUGUGCUUGAGCACAUCUUUGAACCCACUCCUCAUCCAAAUCCAACACCAUGAAACUCAACUGACUGCUUUCAGACUUGUGAUUAACCUCCUUUGGCUUAUCUGGGAUGUCUUUUUUCUUCAUAGCUGCAACCGGUCCAUCCGGAGGAUGUUGAGCUUUUGGACUACGAUUUCUCCCCUUGAUUUCAUAUUGAUACCGGUCCGGAGACGGAACCUUGAAACUCCGAGAAGGUUGUUGAUACUUUGCUUUUUGUACCAUUAGAAAGUUCCCUUCCAAAUGUAAUCCAUUAAACAUCUUGAUCGCCCUCCAAGCUUCAUCAUCAUGCUGAAAGCGCACAAAACCGAAGCGAAAGCGUCGUUGGAGUUUGUUUUUCUGUUGAAUAAAAACAUCACACAAUCUCCCCGCUUUGCCAAAAAUUGAACGAAGUUUUGCCAACGUAAUUCAAUCACCCAAGCCAUCCACAAACACAGAGAAGGAUACUUGCUGCUCCUUGGAAACAUGCUGCUGAUUCGAAACUUGUCGUACACCUCUAUUAUGGACUGGUUUCCUUUGCUGCCUUUGCAUUGAAUUCGCAAAAAAAGCUCCUGGCCUUGAGGUGCGUUGAGAUCCCCCAUAACCAGCAAAGUUUUGAUUCCAGUUCUGCGUAUCCCAACGCUGCUGUGGGCGCCAGCUUCCUAAGACCUCCGCUGAUCGUCGACAUGGCAGAAACCACCGUGCCGGAGGCUCCCUUCCAGAGCCUCUCUCUCUAAACUCUCUUAUUAUUAUUAUUAUUAUUAUUAUUAUUAUUAUUAUUAUUAUUAUUAUUAUUAUUAUUAUUAUUAUAUCUCAAUUUACUCUAGGAGUAACUCAUUAAAGCCACUCCGAAUCUGAACCGUUUAUUAUUUUAAAAUCUAAUGGCUUAUAUUCAUCUCUAACUCACCUCACGUGCUCUCAAAAUACAGAGUUUGUAGCAUCGCAGGAACAUCGACAGAUUUUUUUGUAUUUGGAUUUCAUUUAAUCGAUUUGAUUAUUCCUUUGGCAGAUCUCAAUUGCGAUGUUGACAAUUGCAGUUUCGGUGGAAGAGAAGCGAGGUUCGCGUUGUACAAUGAGAUUAAGGCAAGAUGGGUUGUGAUAAUUUGAGUUGUUGGGUACGAUCCUUCAAUUUAAGGCGAAAUGAGAGAGAGAGCGAGAGAGGGAGAGAGUAGCAAUCGUCGAUGCCGAAGAGGAAGAGGAGAAAGCAGCAACAUUGGUGUGGUUGGGAGCGAGGAACGACGGCGAGGCGGCGAUGUAUGAAGACGAGAGAAUUGUUGUUGUUAUUCGUCUUCGCUCGUCAGGUGCGCUUUCUCAUUAAAAUUUGUAUAUUCUAACAUUCACAACUGAAACCAUGAUAAAAAAACCCCAAUACAAAGAACCCAAAUCAAUAUAAUAAUUAGAUCAAAUCCAAAUUGUUGAAAUUAUAAUUUUUAUUGCUAACUAUUAAAUUUGAGUAUCAUUAAUUGUGUACUCUAAUAUUGUUUAGGCAGAGACUAUUUGCGCCUCCCUGUUUUGCUAAGUCCGCCAUCUCCUUUUUUAAAAAUUCCAACAAUGCCCUUAGUAAAAAAACAUAAAAAGGUAAUAUUUAAUUUUUACUUCCCACACACCAUCUCCUUCUUCCUCCUCACCCUCCUCCUCACUCUCCUCUUAAUCCUCCACUCCUCCACCCCCAAGCUCUUUUGGGUGAUCUCAAGUCAAGAAUAGAAGCUUACCCAUGUAAGUUUUUACCUUUUUCCGAGCUUUUUUUCAGCUUUUUUUAGCUUCCAUCGCGAUUUCGCGACUUUCUGACGUAACUGGAUAGUCCCGCCCUUAAAACUGCGGGAAUGAAACAAAUUACACGCUCCCGUUAACAUACGUGCGGACGUGUUAAAUUUAUACCUUCCGCUAACUUGUUAGCGGAAGUCAAAAAAACUUAGUCAUUUCAAUCGUCUUAAGUUCUGGUACUGCUACUAUCUAAAUAAAAGAUUUGACAGGCGUACCGCACUUAAACAUGCGGUAGGUAUAAAAGAUUUGACAGGCGUACCGCACUUAAACAUGCGGUAGCCAUAAAACCUGUCCGCGGUUUAGAGUGCGGGAAAGUCACGAAACCUCCUCCCAUUGCAGAAUCAAAUCGAGGGACUGAAAUUUAACACGAAAUACAACCUAAGCCUCGAAAACUUGUAAGAAAUAACUUACAUUGUUGUUCUUCUUGUGGGUUAUGGGUUGUUGUUGUAUUUUGUGGGUUACUCCUUCUUGACUUGGUCUCCUUCUUCCUCUUCUACUUCAACUUCUUCUUCUUACUUCUUCUUCUUACUGGUUGUCCUCCUUUCUCUUCCUCUUCUUGACUUGGUUGUGGGUUUGAGAGACUUGAUUUUGUGAGGGUUGAAACUUUUGAAAUUGGGUGGGAGAGGAAGAUGGUAUACGGUUGAAAGAGGGGGGAGGGUUUGUAGAGAUAAGGUAGUUUUUUUUUUUUUAAUUUAAAUUACUGAAGGGUAUUUUAGUCUUUUCGCGUGUUUGGGGAUGGCGGACUUAGCAAAAAAGGGGGCGCAAAUAGUCUCUGCCUAUUGUUUAUUCGAACAAAGUAUUUUUUAUUAUAUUUAUAAUAUCAUUUCAAAAAAAACUAAUAAUUGUUUUAGGCUAUUUGUUGAAGUUUCUCAUUUGGUUUGAUUUUCCUAGUCCUUUGUUUCUAGAUUUUGUUUGCCGUAGAUGCUUUAGUUUCUUGUCUUAGUCUUUUUUUUUUGUCCUUUGACCACCAGUCUCCACGGGGGAAAGGGGCCCCACGUGACUAAUCUGGCUCAAGAUACGGUAGUGAUAUUCCUGACCACAAAUGUAUUAUUUUUUUCCUCAGAGGGGAUCGGACCCGGGCCAAAAGCCUAGGCAAAAUCCAUUGAGGAAAUGCACAUUCACCACUUAUGCCACCCCUUAUGGUUUUCUUGUCUUAGUCUGCUAUGCUUUUAUAUUUUUGACUUCUGGUUGCUUUUCUUGUUCUUAAAGCUCACUUAGAAAAGCAUGUUUUCAAGACUACCUUAUUAUCAAUUUGAUUCUCUUUUCUAAAAAAAUUUAUUUAUUUAUUUACAAUAUAAUCAUUUUUAUACAAUAUUUAAAAAAUAUUUUAAAUAAAUUCAUGCAACACAUAUACUAUAUCUACUAAUUUUUUUUUUGAUAAGCACUAUAUCUACUAAAUGAAGUAAUGGAAGCAUGAAUCACAAUUUACAAGAUUUUUUUUUGAUAGGCCACAAUUUACAAGAUAAGGAGAUAACAUAAAGGUCUAAGUGUCCCUCCGAUGAAAUAUCGUGAUUUUUUUCAUUUUUUUGUACAUUAUUAUUUUUCUGAAUUAGAUUCUAUAACUUUUUUCAUUUAUUAGAUGAUGUUAAGGAUAUAUUUACCUGCUAUAAAUUGUUGUGCUUUUGGUUGGUUUUUCUUUCAUCUAAUUAAAAUAUUUUCACAAUUUACUCCCCCCCACACACAUAUUAGUUGCGGUGCAAUAAGAUAACUCAAGUAGUAGGAGCUGGGGAACAUAUGGAUUGGAUAGGGGGAGAUCCAAUAUUCGAUUCCUAGCGGGAGCAAUUUAUAUUUCCGAUGUAUCAAAAAAAAGUUGUGGCGCUAUUAUUAAAGUUGUCAAUACAGGCCACCACCCUGAUAGGUUGGAAAAAAACUAGUUGGGUAAGUUCGAAUCGCGUUUAAACAAGUCAUAAAUUGUUGAACUCGACUCGACCCGUCGCGGGUAGGCAAGUUCGUGAGGUGGCUUGUUUGUUUUAGGACAAAAAGUAAAAAUAAAAACUAAAAAAUGGAAAAACUAAAGACGUCAUCAUGAAGAAUAUGGCGACACAUUGAAAGGAUGUUCCUUCUUAUAUUUUCACGAACCCUGAGAGAUGAUUGUCUUCCUUUUUCGGACGAGAUACACGAACAUUUUCGCUAGCCUUAUUUGAGCAAUUCGAUCUUGAACCUGUAAGACCCGGAUUUUCGGAACAAGUUAAUUUCCGACUCACGCGUGGAAUCAGUGUAAGCGUGACAGGAGUUUGAUAUUUGAGAAAGAUUAAUGAAAAAGAAAGUUCAGGAAUUGCUCGAGGAAUGUGGCGUUGUUUCUUUCGGAGCUAGUGCGAGUCGUCUGCACACCUGCCUUAUGGCGAGCGUGUCCAGAAUAGGCUAUUUCGCUCUUAAAGCAACGUUUUGAGUGAGAUUUCGAACUCUCGGAAAAUUUAAAGUUUCUCUUUAUUUUUCCAUCGACCAGCGUUUCAUUUCGGAACUUUGGACUGUACGCACGAUAGGUUUCACUUUUCGGAUGUCCGCCGACGCUAAUUUCUUUGCUUCGAAACCCUAUUUUCGAGCAAUGGAUGAAGACUUUUUCUAUUCGAGACUUCUAACGAAGAUUCCGUCCGCGUUGCCAGAUUUUUUUCGACGUUUCCAAUCUUUCUUCAGAUGGAAGUUUUGUCGUCCGGCGAUCACAGCAAAAAGUAGUUUUUCGGGACAGAUUUAACUUACACCGCUUUUGAGAUUUUCGAUAUCGUUUUUCCCAUAUCAUAGAUAUUUGUUUUGAGUUCUGGAUUUCUGACGCCAGAAUCUCUCUUAGAAUUUCUCGGUGAUCGUGCUGCAAAAAUUGGAAUCGCGAAAUUUUCAUUUUCCCGCGAUUUCACCCGCCUAUAAAUAGCGCGAAAAAGCAAAAAUCCUCUCAUUUUCACCAUUGGAGGCCCAAAUUCGUGGAGAGCAAGGGGGGAGGAGAUUUUCGCGAAAACUUGACCAAUCUUCGUGCAGUUCGUCCCUACUUCUAGGUAUCAAGGUAACUAACACGAUUCCUACCUCUAAUUGUUGUUUCUGUUGCGUUUCUGAAGUCGUUUCUGUGCUCUAAGUUUUGAGCUUUUUCUAAAAUUGUCCGAUUUCUCUGAUUUCUCGCUUGGGUUAUGUUCCUUAUGUUCCCCUGAGUCUAAAACCUCUGUCAGUAAACUCUGAUUGCGAUUCAGUUGUCCAGGAUCUGAAAAAUUGACUCAAAACUCUUUUUGUCUCACAUUUCGAAACUUUAUUGUCGUAAAGCUAUAAUCUGACUUCGUGCCUUUAGGAUUUGUUGUCACGGAUGUCAUGAGGAUCGUUGCUGUCAAAUCUGUUUUCAGAACGGAUAACUUUGAAGUUUUGAGCCUUUAUUUUGGACCAAAAUGCCCCUGCGUAGUCGUAUUUCGGCCCGAUUGUCCGAAAAUUGUUCUGACAGUUUCUUUGCCUUAGUUUUACCCUAAAACUACCUUGUGAAUUGAUUUGAUCAAAGAAAAAGAGCCGAAGCCCUUUUUCCUUUGAGGCCGUGGACUAUUUCCUUUAGGGGGGAGUUUUUCGGUUUCGAAAACUUGUCUUUUCGUACCUGAUUGUCCUAUUCUGAAGCUUUAAUGCUUUGUCUAUCGUUUAUGUAUUGUUUUGCGAUUGAACUAAUCGAUAUUGUUUGGAUUCUGCUUUGUUUUCUCCGAGGUUCAGUUGAAGGAACUUUGGAAGGUUCAGAGCACUUGAGUGAAGGAGCUUGUGAUUUCGAAGCUAGAUCAGCUCGAGGUUAGGGCAACUUGCUAUAUUUAGCUAUGAUUGCAUGAUAGGCGUCGAUAAAUUCGACUUAUGCUUUAUCUGAUGUUGUUUAUGAUGAUUGUUUUCAUAACUUAUGAUAUUGAUGAUGUGUUGAAUUGAGCGUUUCGACGCAACUUCGGAGUGGAGGUUCAUUGAUCUGGUGAUCUUUGACAUUUCGGGUUGGAUGAACAACCCUAGGCAAGUCCAAAUGUGGUUUUGAGACUUAGCCAUUUGUUGGGAUUCGUUGGAAUUCCUAGACUUUCCCCGAGAAGUGUAUUUUGGGUGGUUGAUUUUUUGGAAACUUAGAAUGAUAGAGCUUUCGAAGAAUAAAGACUUGGGAAACUUAGACUUUGAGAAAUAAACUCAUAACUUGGAUAAUUCGAAUUGAAACAAUUUUUAUUAACGUUUAAGCAUAGGAGAACUGAAGGGGAAAAUAUUUACGAAAGGCGGGGAAAAGUCGACUUAUGUUGUGGGUUUGGAGAGUUUGGAAUUGGGGAAAGCCACUGAGGUGAGCUAUGGUGAUGAUUGAAAGUCACCGAGUACUCUAGUACUCCUGGUAGUGUUGUUCGAGUCGUGUUGUAUUGACCGGCAUAGACUCUGGGUUUUGUUUGUGGGUUUUGUGGUGGGAGUUGUGUUGUAUUGACCGACACUAACUCCGAGUCGUGUUGUAUUGACCGACACUGACUCUGGUUUUGAUAAUCAUAUUGCACACGUGCAUAUACGCGAUGAAGUGCCAAGCAGAGUACUUCGGUAUAACAGGAAGUAACGAUCAGCCAUGCAGAGUUGAAUCGGUCCUGACUAUAUCUGGCACAACAGGAGGUAACGAUCAUCCAUGCAGAGUUGCAUCGUGCCUGUUGAUGUUCGGCAUAGCAAGCAGAAAUGGUCAAACCAUGUAGAGUUUGUACCGUCUUGACUAUAGCCAAAGGUGAUAAGCGACGCCCGAGCAGAAAUGGUUAAACACGAGGCCAGUGUUACGACCGUCUCGAGGUGCCCAGCCUAUAAGUGGCAAUACCGUUGGUUUGUCCCGUCGCCAAGCAGAGUGACGUCGUUGAUUUGUUCCGUCGCCAAGCAGAGUGACGUUGUUGAUUUGUUCCGUCGCCAAGCAGAGUGACGUUGUUGUUUUGUCCCGUCGCCAAGCAGAGUGACGUUAUUCGGAUUUGUGUCAGCAUAUUCUGCACUGGCACGCAAUGCAUCUUAUUAUGAUUGAAUUGUGUAAGAGAUUUGAUAACAUGCUAUGUAUAAACCUUAGGGUAAGCAGUGCAUAACUUAUAUGUAUAUAUACAACAUAUAUAUAUAUACCCCUUUUAUCGCAUGUUGAUUGUAUAUCUAUUGUAUUCUGUAAGUUGACCCUAGCGCCUUGGCUUUGUUUGUAUGUUUGUGCUUGGGCGGUCGGCCUGCUGCCAGGCGUCCGUCAGCCGGUUCGUGAUGACUCGUUGUGCGGGAAAGACCCGGAGCGGAACGACUAUUACUGAAGCUUUCGACGAGGACCCGGACUUCAUGACUGAUCGAGGGAGGGUCGAUGAUAGUAGUGUGGGUUAUGGGUGGUUAGAGUCUUUUGAGUUGGUUGUUACUGUAAUAGCUCUGAUUCGUCAUUCAUAUUUUGGGACAGGGUAGGUUCCCGACGCAUGGCUUUUGUGUGGUUCUCUUACUGAGGGAUCACAGUGAGUCAGUCGGACCAUAGGGGUCUUUGCUUAGGCCAUUUUGAGGCCGACUUCCUCCUAGUGGUUUGUAAUUAUAAUUUUCUCACUCACACAUCUGGAUCUGUAACUAUUUGCCUACGGGCACACUACUUUGGAGUCACUGCGAGUGCGCGUGACGGGAGAGUGCAGCUGAGGUUGUACAUGUGUAUAUAUUUGUAUAUUGGUUAGUUAGUGUUGGGGUUAUGUCUUUAUUUCUCUUUUGCUUGAUUUAAAAGGAAUCAAACGAAAAAAAAAUUACCUGUUUUCCGCAUAAAGUUUACUUUUGGUUACUAAAGUGACACCUGGAAAUCGGGGUGUUACAGAACCAUUCAUAGGGAAAGAGGAUACCGUGAAGUACAUGAAUAUUUACUUGUUGAACUUUGUAUUCAUUGGAGAAUCGAGCAAGAUAUCUUGUAGAAUUUAUCCUUUCUUCCCACAAGGGAAAGCCUUGUCCUGGUUCAUGUCUUUACUGCCUAAAACAAUCCAUAACUAGAACGAGCCAUAUUGCAUGUAUUUUUGGUACCAGGCGAUGGGUGAACGAGAAGAGAGAGAAGACAACUGCUGAGAAUAUGAGUUAUUUUUUUUGUAGGAGAAAUCAAAGGUACGAACUUUGAAGGGGAAGCUUUGAAAGGGAGAAAGGAUCGGGUGGGUGGUAGCUUCGGGUUUGGUAGGAACUGUAGAGGCCAUGGCCAAGGAUGAUAGCUGGUGAAGCCUCCUCAACGUUAGUGCCGCCAUUACCUAGAGCUUAAUUGCGAUAACCUUCACUAGAAGGACUGUCAAAACUAAAUGUAGGUUCUCUUUUGGGUGUUUUCUUGACUAGUGUCAUGUAUACUUUAGCAUGCUAUUUUGCAGCAUGUUUCUCAAUGUAUCAACUAAAUUGAAAUAAAUUUUUUUACUUAAAGAUCUGAUAGAAAAUGAAUAAAAUGUUGGAAAAAAACUUUGAUACACAAACUACAAACGAUUAUAAUCUUCAGUGUAGAAUACAGAUUCCCUUGAUUGGUGUAUGAAUAUUACAUUCAAUUCUAUUUAUAAAGAUCAUGAUUGGAAAGUCGAGGGGUGGGGAUGGCAACCAGAGGUGUUUCCUUUUUUAGAACAAUACCAAAUUUUUCAGACACAUCUAACUUUUCUCCUUCUGGUACUGUCCAAUCAAACAAGUGCACUAGUGUUGCUAGAAAGUACAAAACGGACCUCUCUGCCAUAGCAAUUCCUGCACAAAUUCUUCUUCCAGACCCAAAGGGAAAGUAAUUAAAGUCAUUCCCACUAAAAUCCCAUUUAGCAUCCAAAAACCUUGUAGGAUCAAAUUCUAGAGGGUUCUCCCAAAUGGAAGGGUCCCUAUGAAUAGCCCACACAUUCACAAACACCCUAGAACCCUUUGGGAUCGUGUAGCCUCCUGCAGAAGUGGUUUCACUUGGGCAGUGUGGAACUAAAAGUGGAAGCACAGGGUGCAACCGAAGAGUUUCCUUCAUCACAGCCAACAAAUAGGGAAGCUUAUGAAUAUGAGACUCUUCUACCAUGUUAUCUCUCCCAACUACACCUUCUAAUUCUUCUUGAACUCUCUUCAUUACCUCUGGCUUCUGCAUCAUUUCCGCCAUCGCAAACUCAACUGUGUUGGAGGAUGUGUCACUUCCACCUGCAAGCAUGUCCUGUUUAUGCUCAUCCAACAAUUUCCAACAGUGUUAGAUACAUUCAAUCUCUUUCAAUUUUUCUUUUCCCAUUGGUAAAAGCUUUAAAAUAGUGACACCAAAAGUUUCAGAAUUUAAAAAGAAAUUCACACCAAACAAAAUUGGAAAGUGAAAUCAAUCAAUGGAAACAAACGUACCAUGAGAAGGGCCUUAACAUGGGUGAUGGAAAGUGGGGUCUUGGAAUCACCCUCUUCCUUCAAAUUCAACAAAAACUGCAGAAAAUCCUUGCUUUCACUCCUCUUCCCCUCCGACUCCAUCUUCACCCGUUCACCGAUCAUCUUCUCAAAUAUUCUAUCAAAACGCGGCACCACCUUAUGCAUCUGUUUCUCCACUCCUUGCAAAUCAAACCGGGCCAACCCGGGAAAGAAAUCCGACAAGUUCGGUUUCCCGAGAAGAGCCGUCAUAUCCGCCACCGCCUCCCUGAACUCCGCCCCCAAGGUCUCCCUCUCCGCCCCUUCCACCGACCCUCCCCACAUCAUGUUCGUAAUCACGUUCAGCACCGUCAGAAAUACCUGCUCCCCCACGUUCACCGGCGACCCGGCCCGGCUCCGCAGGUACCCGACCGUCUUCCGAACCUCGUUGCGGCGGAGAUCGUACACGGAGUCCAGCGUGGUGUUGCUGAGCAUCUUGAGCACGCAAACUUUCCUCAGCAUCCGCCACUCUGGUCCGUACGGGUUCCACACGAUGUCGGCGCCGCCGUAGGUUGCCGCUCUCCCGGCGGCGGGGACAUCACGGUUGGCGAAGACGGUGUCGUGGUCCUUGAGCACGUGACGCGCCAUGGAAGGUGAGGUGACGACGAUUCCAAGCUUGCUCCCAAGCCAGAGCUUGAAAAUGGGGCCAUGGGUACGGGCUAACCCGGCGAAGUAAGUGUGAAGUUCCGGGUCGAGGGAGAGAAGGUUUCCGAAGAUGGGGAGGCCCGGUGGGCCUGGUGGCAGUGGUGGGGUCUGGGCUUUGGGUUUGAGGAAGAAGAGCCAUGUGUACCAAGUGAUGGCUGAAAUGGCUAAGGUUGCUAUGAUCAGGUUUGUGGUGUCACUGUACCAA
rnacentral:lncRNA from 1 species